GUAAAUUUUAUCUACGAGAUGAUUUAUUAGGUUCUGUUUGAACGUGAGACUAAGUUGGUGAUCAUUUAUUCAAUAAGAAGAUUUUUUUUGCAUUAUUGAAAGUUGGAAGUUUGACUUUUGCUCUAUGAAAGAUCUUGUUAUUUAUGAAUUCAUAGGGCAAUAUAUUUGUUUACAAGAUGAUUUACUUUAUUUUGAAAAAAGAUAUUUCCAAAGCUUAAUUUUCAGCUUCAGACAGAAUCUGCUGGAUUACUAAUUAAUUAUCAAAUUCCUGAUCUCUGAUUCUCAAUUUGUGGAGAAGCUGAUCGGAAUGCAUCUCCAAACAAGUUGAUAUUUUACUAAUUAUUAAUGUUAUGAAUAAUUCUAUUAAUAAAUUCGAAUUUAUCACCGCUAGAUUGGAUUCAUUAAACUAACACCUAAUUUUAGCACGUACAGCGAACUCAAAAUCUACUCUUAUUAGGGACUAAAUGGUUUUAUGCAAUUGUAGUUAAUGCAGUUGUACCUACGUAUAGAUCCAUGUUUUGUAUUUGGUUCUGAUAUAUUGGAUUCAAUUGCUACAGUCAGAAUUGUAUGAGGAGGUUUAAUUGGAACACUUAGGGUGCGUUUGGUUCGCAUUAUGAAAGAUUACUAUGAAUAAAAGAUAUUCAAAAAUUUUAUUCCUAUUCAUUCUAUUACUAAGAAUGUGAAAUUCCUGUGUUUGGUUCGCACAGUAAUAUUAAUUAGUCAUGUUAUUUAAUAUUACAAAAAAUAUAUAAUUAAUUAAUUAAUUAAUUUAAUUAAUUUUAGAUAAUGUUAUCAAAAGUUUCAACAUCUUUUUAGAAAAAAGGGAGAGAGGGUAUAAGUUAGAGAGAGCAUAAUUAAAAAAAAAGAAAGAAAAAUAUAGUCGAAUUUUAGAGAGAAAAAAGAAGUUGAAUUUUAGAGAGAAAAAUAAAUUUAGAGAGAGAUAUAAGAUUAGAGUGUAAAGAAAAAUAAUAUCAAUUAGCCGGCGGAUAGGAAGAAAGAAAGAGAUUAGAUAUAUUAUGAUUACCCCAAUCCAUUAAUAUGAGGAUACCCACCCUCCCUCAAGGAAAUGAGAUUAGUACUUUGGGGUGAAUCUUAUUCCCAAGUGAAUCCAAUAUUACCAACUAGAUUACUUAGUGCGUUUAGCCAAACACCGUCAUAUUUUUUUAUUCCCAUUGGAUUACUAGAAAUCUUUAAAAGAUAGUGCGAACCAAACGCACCCUUAGAAGUAUGCUCAAAUUGACCAUCCUUUCAACCGUUCGGUAUUUGGUUUUGAUACAUUUAGAUUAAACAAUUAUUUAUAUUUGUAGUAUUUUCUCCCACAUCCAAUCAAACAAAAUAUAUACAGUUAUAACUACCGUAUUUUUAACUUUAUAUAAUUUUAGCCACACUAUAUUUUUAAUUCCAUCCAACCAAAUGAACCGUCAAUGCUGUCACUUCGAUUGUUUUCGUUUGGUAAUAAAAUUUGAAGUUAUUUCAAAUUUGAAGUUAGUUUAGUAGCUGUGGCAUGUAGUAGUACCCUUUAAAAGAAAACGAAAUACUUGAUUUAGAUUGUCAAAAUUAUCUUUACAUAUUUUUAAUAGGCUAAAUUAUAUAAAACCCUACUGUCAAAACACGAUUUUUCACUUUUUUUUCCUGUCAUUUAAAAACCUAUACUUUACUCUCUUGUAAAAUAAAAAAUAUUUACAAAGGGUACGGUGUGUAUUGUGAUAAUAAAAUGACUAUUUUGCCCCUCACCAUAUUCGUCUUCUCCCUCAUCUUCCUCAACAACAGUCUUGAUCGGCCGCGGUUUUUCCGCGGUUCACGCUUUAUCUUCCUCCUGCACCCUCGCCGCCCCUCGAUUUCGGCGACAGUAGGGUGAAAAUCGAGGUGGGGGUGGAUGGAGAGAUGGGUAACGACAACGAGGGCGAAGGCAAGGCAGCGGAGAAGGGUGAAGGGGUGUUUGUGGGUGCGGGCGGGGAUGUGGGCGGGGGCGAGGCAGUGGAGGAGGACGAGGCGGCGAGGCGGUGAGGCGGAGGAAUGCGAGGCAACAGGGAAGAGGGCGGAGGGGUAUUUUGGGCAUAAAAAAAUAUUUUAUAACGGAACCCUAACGGAUCACUAACGGUAGGGAGCGAAGUGUACAUUUUUCAUUUUACAAGGGGGCAAAGUGUAGGUUUUAAAUGACAGCGGAAAAAAGUGAAAAAUCACAUUUUGACAGAGGAUUUUCUGUAAUUUAGCUUUUUUAAUACCCUGGCAAUUUAAUAGAAACCAAUUAAAUUUCACUACAUCAUAAUGCCUAUAUAUAUAUAUAUAUAUAUAUAUAUAGAGCUAGGCUGGUAUACUAUCGGUAGCACGGAGGCCUCCGAACUACCAAGUUAUUUUCAAUGAUGUGGCUUUCAAAUCGACGAUCGGCUCCGUUAGACUUGAUCUACACUAUUAAAAGUAUUUGAAAAUUAAAUUUCAUAAUUUUUCGAUAUCAUUUGGCUAGUGAUCAAAAGGUCUCAAAAUUAACAAUUUUAAUGGUAGAUGUGAUGCGUUUGUAAAUUUAACGGUGUAAAGCAAUCCAAAUCUGAUAAAAUUUUUAUAGAAAAUUUUUUUUACUAUUUAGAGUAAGAUCAGUGCCUCUAAUCUUAAAUUCAAGUCUUUUAUUAUCAUUUUUUAUGAGAUUUUUAUUUUUAGCUGUUCAUUUUUAGACUACUCGUUUGAUAGGAAAAUGAUAUCGAAAAAUUAUGAACUUUAGUUUUUAAAUACUUUCAAUAGUGCAGAUCAAGUCUAAUGGAGCCGAUCGCCUAUUUGAAAGCCGCAUCAUUGAAAAUAAUUUGGUAAUAUGGAGGCCUCCGUGCUACCGAUAGUAUACCAGCCUAGCUCUAUUAGAUGUAGGCUGGAAUACUAUCGGUAGCCGGAGGCUCGUCGUACCAAAUUGUUUUCAAUGAUGCGGCUUUCAAACGACGAUCUGUCGUUAAACUUGAUCUGCAUACUGAAAGUAUUUGGAAACUAAAUUUUAAUUUUUCGACAUCAUUUGAUAGUGAUCAAAGGUCUCAAAAUUGACAAUUUUAAUGUAGAUUUAAUGCGUUUGUGAAUGUAGCUGGUAUAAACUAAUCUAAUUUGAUGAAAUUUUUAUAGAAAAUUCUUUUAACUAUUUAGAGGAAGAUCAGUAUCUAUAAUCUUAAAUUCAAGUCUUUUAUCAUCAUUUUUUAUGAUAUUUUUAUUUUCAGCCGUUUAUUUUUAGACUAUUUAUUUGAUGGGUAAAUGAUACAGAAAAAUUAUGAAGUUUAGUUUCAAAUGAUUUUAAUAGUGUAGAUCAAGUCUAACGGAGCCGAUCGUCGAUUUGGAAACUGCAACAUUAAAAACAACUUGGUAGCAUGGAGAGUUCCAUGCUACCGAUAGUAUACCAGCCUAGCUCUCUCUCUCACUCUCUAUAUAUAUAUAUUUAUUGGAACAACAUAUAAAAAUAAUAAUAUGAGGUAAUAUUAUAAAUACUCGUAGCAGUACUAAAACAAUGUGUAAUCUUACCACAGGACGCCUGCUUCUCAAUAGAUUACACACAAGGUUACACCUAAGCUUAGUCCACCACUAUUACUCUACCCCACAUAGACCCCUCAACGUACCUUCUCAAAACAAACAUGCCUACUAAUUACCCCUUACUUAGGGUUACCUAAAUGCUCUAAUUACAAACGCAUACUAAUAAUAAUAAUAAUAAUCACCAUGAAAAUUACAACAAAUACAUAUAUGUAUAUAAAUAUAUAUAGCACUAGUGAUUCAGCCUUGCUUUAAGGUUCAUGCAUGGAGCUCUCUACUGGGUUGCGAUCGGCGGCGCAGCGACGGCUUUCAUGGCCUCGAAUCGGGGCUCCUUCGCCUGGAACUUCUGCCUGACGUACAAAUUCAUGUAAUCCUCGAACACGAAUUUCGGAUACACCUCGUCCUUCUCUGCCGCCGCCUUCUCUACCAGGUCGGGCGCCGGGAAGAUCACGGCGUCGCUCCCGGGGUUGUAGAAUGACGCGAUCGACAUCCGGUUGCCGUCGGUCUGGGCCACCACGCGGUGCAUUACGCUCUUGUAACUGCACGUAUGUUGAACGUACAUUCCUAAAAAAUACUGUUCUCUGACAACUUAAGUUAACUUUUAGGGACAGUCGGUAUAGAAUCUUUUAUACGAUACCUACCUGCCGUUGGUGAUCACCUCGAGCUGGUCUCCGAGGUUGACGACGAUAGAGUACGGGGUCGGGGGCACGUCGACCCACUCGCCGUCCUUGAGGAGCUGGAGACCGCUGACGCGGUCGUCCUGGAAGAGGAGGAUGAUGCCACCGGCGUCGGUGUGGGCGCGGAGGCCCUUGAUCAGGUCGGGGCGCGGGCACGGCGGGUAGCUGCUCACCUUCGUGCCGAAGGUCGGGCCGUUCGACCCGCAGAAGGCCUUCUUCAGGUACCCCUUCUCGAGCCCCAGAUUCUCGCACAGCAGGUCGAGGAGCCGCUCCGCCAGCUUCUCCAGCUCCACCGCGAAUUCCUUCAUCACGUUCCUGCAGUGAGAAUCAGCUCAGGCAACUUUCUUUACACUUCGAAUCCGCAAAGCACUUCCGUAAAGCAGAAGCUUCUGGAAAUCAAAUGCGUAGCUAACCAAUUGUCUGAGGCUUUUCACACAAGCUCUACUUUUUUCGAUAAAAAGUUUUUUUUUGAGAAAUUCUACUCAAAUAACACGGCUGAAUAACAAAAACAUAUGUAGUGCGAAUCACUCUAUUUAACUUGGUACAUAAUAGAGAAUCAAUCCAUGCGGAUAAAAUUAGACUUCUCACUUAUAAAUCUUACCUCUUUUUAUUCAAAAGUUCAUAUUUUAUUUUUUAUCUUGUUAGGUUUUUUAUAUAAAAAAUUUUAAAAAAAUUAUAAAAAUUUAGGAUUAAGAAUAUAAUAUGCAAACUCUUUUUUUCGGAUACACAACUGAUAGCAUAUAUUACUUUUUAUUCACUUUGUUUAAUUACCAUUUUGACCCUACACCUAAUUAUCGAAAAGUUAGAUAGUUAGGCCUUCGAUCAUCAGGGUCCACUUAAUUUGUUAGUAUGUUAUUUUUUCCGCCGUACCACUCUCCGUAUUACAAUACAUUUAAGUAAUUAUAUCUAUUUGCACAAUUUGGUACUGUUCGAAUUUGGUGGACGUUCCGAACCGUUACUAUAAAUAGUACACCUAUAAAUUUCAAAAAAAAAAUAGUAACAAAACCAAAAAUUAUAAUAGUAAUAAUGCACCUGUAGUGGUCAUUAAGAUCGGAAAGUUCGGAGAUGUUGGAGACGGGGAGGUGGCGGACGAAGAAGGUGCUCUCCCAGUCCAAGUUACUGGAGACGUCGACUCCGUUGGUGCCGUCCUCGAGCGCUUUGUUCGCAAACUCCUCGAACCGCUGCUCGCGGCUUCUCCGGUAGUGAUCCUUCGUCAGCCUCUCCACCUCGUCCAUCAUCUCCCGCGUGAUACCGUGGUUCAGAAUCUGCACGUAUAAGAAUUUUUUAUAAGUAUAGUAUUUAGUACGUAUAAAUUUUUUUAAAAAAAAAAUUAAUACAGAUAAAUAUGAUAGAUGAAACAAUCUCACGUUCGAAGUUAUAGCCACCAAACUUUUUGUGUGGCAAAAGAGAGCCCCAGUAACGUGGUCUCCAGUUAAAAUGUGGUAUAGUCCAGAUACCAAAAAUAGUAAUAAUAAUAAUAAUAAUAAAAUGCAAGGUAUAUAUAUAUAUAUGUGUGUGUGUGUGUGUGUGUGUGUGUGUGUNAGCAAUAAGCAGUAAACACUGGAGCCAUUUGUGUAUAAAAAGAAGGGUUAUGUGUGUGUGUGUAUAUAUAUGUGUGUGUGUGUGUGUUUAUAUAUGUAUUUAGCCGUGCAUGCACCUCAAAGAAACCCCAGUUCUCGCACGCAUCACGAAGCAACUCCAUGGCUUGAGCCCUCUCCUCUCCCUCGAGCUUCUCCAUGUUGAUGAUUGGGAACUUACUCUCCAUCUCUACUCUCUCUCUCUCUACUCUUCCACACUCUCUUAUUUUUUUAUCUUUAUAUUUUUAUAUAUUUUUUUCUUUACCGAUCGACUCUAAUAUACAAUGAGAGGUGGGAAGAGGCACCCCUUAUUUAUAGGCGCGAUGGAGAAGGGGAAGGGGAAAAGGAUGAGAGAAACGUAAUGUUGGGGAACCCGUGUCGAAGACGUAUUGGAUCCCAUCUCCAAUAAGAGAGAGAGAGAGAUAGAGAGAGAGAGAGAGAGAUAGCGCGUGCCACUUUCUCUCUCUAGAUGGUAUGUAUACCGGACCCCACGACUUUUGGCCGCUUGUCGCGUGUUAGUUUUUCACACCCGAAAAUUACUCGAGUGCUGCUUUUAGAUUCGGGCAGACUAAUAAGUUGAAUUUGAUGAGCACUGAUCAGCUAAGUGGGACUGCGAUCUUCAACAGAAAUGAACGUAAAAGGAUCAGCGAUAGAUCUAAAAUUUAGGUGGGUCGAGCCAGGAUGAAACGUGCGAGCGCUGUGAUUGAGCCCUUAAAGUCAGCACUUACGAUCCAAAAAAUUAUUUGUUUGUAUAGCUGUAAGUAAGACUGAAAUUUCUCCGAUUUCGUUAUUUGCUUGGUAGGAAAUAAAUGAAAUAAAAACUAAAUGUGUGAGAAAUAAAUUAAUAUUUCAUUAAUAUUUUAUUUUUUAUUUCUAAAUUGAAUUCUCUCUCAGACUGAAGCACUUAUAGUACUUUAGAGAGUUUUAGUUUUUAUUGAAAAAAAAAAAAUAUUUACGAUCAAAAGUGGCUUCACUCUUCUCCACUUUUGGUGAAAUGAACCGCUAUUUACAGCUGUUUUGGAUUCAUGAGUUCACAAAUAAAUAAUUAUAUAUAUAUAGAGUUGAGCUGUAAUGCUAUUAAUAGUGUUUAGACUCUUUUAUUAUCGAUUUUUUAGCUGUCAGAUUUACACUUUAAUUAAUUUUAUCUUUUAGAUAAUACUAUUCAACCAACCUUCUACUCAAUCCUAAGGGGAUCACUAUCAUCUUAAUCUUACAAUUUUUCAUUCAAGAACUAAAAAUUUGAUAGCAAAAAAGUCCAAAUACUAUUAAUAGAUAGUACGUGGAAUAGUGUUUGAUCUAAGGAGUGUUAGUAAUUAAGGAAUGGAUUUAAGAGUUAGAAACCUAGAAGCAACAAGGAGUUGUUGCUUCUAAAAGUAUUCUACCUCAAUUUUAUAUAUAUAUAUAUAAAAAGGUGGGUUUAAGUACAUAAUAAAUUUAAGUUAUUUAUAGAUUUAAACUUGCUAACAUAAACACAGAGUCAUGCCGUAAAGAUCACUCUCUCUCUCUCUCUCUCUCUCUCUCUCUCAUCUUUAAUGUAUUGUCACAAGAAGAAUGGUGGGGGCUGGAGUGGCUGCUUUCUCCGGUCUUGAAGGCUUUGACGAGAAGAGGAAUAAACAGCUUUUCAUUAAAAACGCGUCGGAUUUUCAAAUGCUGUCGUUAUACGCUAUUGAUAUGUUGAUAAUUUUCUUUUGAAUACCGCAACUGUACUAGCCUCAUGCGCUCAUAUAUAAUUGGUUUAUAUAUAUAUAUAUAUAUAUAUAUAUAUAUAUAGCAGGGUUGCUGUGCUCAGGUCUCCGUGCUCCUGAGUCAUUUUUGAUGAUGGAGUUUCCGAAUUGACGAUCAGCUCCGUUAAGCUUGAUCUAGCGUAUUUGAAGUUUCUAGAAAAUAAUUUUUACGAUUUUUCGAUAUCAUUUACCUAGCAAACCUAAGAAUUCAAAAUAAAAAAUUUUUAACGGUUGAAAAUAAAAAUUCAAUAAAAAGUGGUGAUAUAACACUAAAAUUUUCGAUCAGAAAUAUUGAUCUUGUUGUAGAUAGUAAUAAAGAAUUUUGUAUCAAAAUUUCAUCUGAUUUGAAUACUUCUACACCGUUAAACUUGAAAACGACAGAUAUCAACCAUUAAAAAUUAUGGAUUUUGAAUCUUUUCGAUCACUAGGUAAAUGAUAUCAAAAAAUCGCAAAAGUUAUUUUCUAGAAACUUCAAAUGCGCUAGAUCAAGUCUAACGGAGCCGAUCGUCGAUUUGAAAAUUUCAUCAUCGAAAAUGACUCAUGAGUACGGAGGCCUCCGUGCUCCUGAGAGCACAGCAACCCUGCUCUCUCUCUCUCUCUCUCUCUCUCUCUCUAUAUAUAUAUAUAUAUAUAGUAUAAAAAUAUUAGGUUAAAUUACAAAAAAUUUUUAUAAAUAUUUAUUUUUUUAUUUUUGUUUUUAUUUUUCAACAAUUUAUAUUUUAUCCUUCAAUAUUUAAAGUUGUUGCAUUUAAUCUCCUUUUCGUAAGUAUUCUAUCAGUAUUCUAUUAAUUUCUUAUAAUUUAUACUGAAAAUAUUUUUCAAAAAUAAUAUAAAAUAUAUUAAAAAUAAGAGUAAUUUGGUUGUUUAUAGAAAAAGUAAGAGUAAUUUGGUUAUUUGGUCCUUUCUAUUAACGUCGUAUCCUUCUGAAAAUAUUUCUAAAAUUUUAAGAGAGUAAAAUAUAAAAUUUUGAAAAUCAGAAAGGAAAAGUGAAAAGACAGGUAUUUAUAAUAGUAAUUUUUGUAAUUUAGUCAAAAUGUUAUAUGUAUUUUGCGGGUGAGCAAUUUUGUAUGCACGGAACGAGACUAUGAAUAUUAUAUGAACUCAAUAAAUAUUUCACGGCUGUGAUUCAUCUAAUAUACAAAUUUUUACCAAUCAAAGAUGGAUGUAAGUCUUACACAUCUCUUUUUUUCAACUCAUUUUGUGCAUUCUUUUUACAAAUUUUGCUGUGGACGUAGUAAUUAUAUUUUCAAUAAAUCAAUAAUCUAAAAAGAUAAAACAUUCCAAAUUAGAAAGUAAUAUAGAAUAUUAGUUGAUUAUAUGCCAUUUUCAAUUCUAAAUAAGAGCUAGCUUUCAAAAGCGGAGAUUUUUGAACUUUUUAAAUUAUUUCUGAUGAUGGAGUGUCCGAUGCCGCGAUCUAUUUCUUUAGAAGUGACCUACUACGUUGGAGCUAUCUAAAAAAUCAAAUUUCAUAAUUUUUUAACUCAUUUGUCCAGUAAACAAUUAGCCUAAAAAUGAACGAUUGAAAAUAAAAAUUUUAUAUAAAAAAAAGUGAUUGAAGACUUAAAAUUCAGAUAAAAAAUAUGAUCUUGCUCUUGAUAGUAAAUAAAUUUCUAUAUUAAAAUUUCAACUAUUGUAGAUUAUUUUAUACCGUUGCACUUACAAACAUGCCACAUCAGCUAUAAUUAUUUUUAAAAUCUGUUGAUUAUUUGAUAAAUGAUGUCGAAAAAUUAUAAAUUUAAUUUCUAGAUAAUUCUAAUAGUAUAGAUUAUGUCUAACAGAGUUGGUUGUCAAAUUGAAUAUUCCCUUCUUGAAAAUAAUUUAAAACUAUAGAAAUUUCCAUUCUUUUGAAAUCACACAAGUCAUAUCCACUAAAUAGACAUUGUUUAUAGGGCUUUUUUUGCAAAUAGGCCCCUGAGCAAUUUUUAUUUUAAAAAUAGCUCUAUCAAAAUUAAAAUUGCAAAAAUGGCACUGUCUCUGCCACGCAGGCGUCACGUCACCGCCACGCGGGCAGGGCUGGGGCCAGGGUAUUAAGUUGAACACGGUGAAUCAUUCACCGUGUCUAAACACGGUGAAUGACGUAUUUUUUAUAUAUUGAAAAGUGGAAUAAGGAGCAGGGAUGUCAAUAGGUAUGAAUAUCCGAAAUAUUAUCCGAAUCUAAACCCGAAUACAUUAUAUAUAUAUAUAUACAUAUAUACAUAUAUAUAUAUAUAUAUAUACAUAUAUAUAUAUACAUAUAUACAUACAUAUAUACAUAUACAUAUAUAUAUAUAUAAAGUAAUUUAUUUUUGUUUAUUUAUACAAUAUAUAAAUAUUUAAUAAUUUUUAUUUUUUAGAUCUUCAUCCAACGAUUAUAGAUUUUUAAAACCCGUCGGUUGGAUGAAGAUCGGAGAGGGUUUAAAAAUAGUUAAUAUUUUAUAUAUUGUAUAAAUAAAUAAAAAUAAAUUAUGUAUAUAUAUAUAAUUUAUUCGGAUUUGAAUUCGGAUAAUAUUUCGGAUAUCCAUACCUAUUGACAUUCCUAUUCCUUAUUUCUCUUUUUAAUAUAUAAAAAAUACGUACUAAACACGGUGAAUCAUUCACCGUGUUUGAAUACGGUGAAUGGUUCACCGUGUUCAACUUAACACACAAGCUCGGCCCUGCCCGCGUGGCGCUGACGUGGCGCCUGCAUGGCAAAUCCAGGAUCAUUUUUACAAAUUAAAUUUUAAUAGAGCUAUUUUUAAAAUAAAAAUUUACCUGGGGUCUAAAUACAAAAAAAAAAAAUCCUUGUUUAUGUUUUCAACUUUAAGCAAGUAAUGGAACCCAACACCGUUUUUUCCUUUUCCAUGAUUUUUUUUUUUUAUUCAUACCUAGCUACAUACCUAAACUAGGUCACAGUGCAACUACCUGGACCUACAAAAAACUUACCUAUCUAAGCAGUACUAUUGACACCCUAUGCAGGGGUGUAUGAUUUACACUCAUUCAUUAGAUGGAUUGGUGUAAAUUUUACACCCCCAGAUGUGUUCUCAAACUUAUUUUGAUUUUUCAAUCACAUUCUUUUUUUUUUCUUUUUUUCUUUUUUUUUUUAACAAUUGAGUCUUCAAUUUUUAUAAUUUAUUUUAAUUGUGUCCCUGUUCUCCACGACUCCAUUAUCUUUAGUGGAAUUGACAUGUGGCUGCUUGGUUGAAUUUUGGAGGGAAAAUCCCCUCUUCUCCCCAAUUUUUUUUUUUUUUUUUAUCUGGUUAUUUUCUUCUGUCAUCAUAUUCUUCCUCUUUUUCUUCUGCUUCACUUCUCUCCUUUUAUUCUUCUUCCUUUUCUUCUUUUUAUUAUUUUUCUCCUUUUUUUCUUCUUCUUUUCUUCAUCAUUUUAUUUUAUUUUCCUCCAUUUCUUCUUCUUCUUCUUCUUUCUUGUGUUCCUUUUUCUUCAUCCUACGCCAUCAGCAUCAUCUUCUUCUUCGUUCUUUAUAUCAUUUGAGCGCUUACUCUCUUCUUCUUUUCUUAUUUUCUUUUUUUGGGUCUAUUUCUUGUUCUUUAUCAUCGCCUUCUCCUCCUCCUCAUCCUCCUCUUCUUCUUCUACUUCGUGAAGAUAUUAAAAGCUCGCAUAUUGAAUUAUGUCAAAAAUAACAAAUUUAUGAACUAUAAGGGCGCAAUUGAAAUGAAUUGCAAGAGUUGAGGACUCAAUUAACAAAAAAAAAGAAAAAAAGGUUAGGAACCUAACUGAAAAUUUGGGAAAGGUUUGGGGACCAAUAGUGUAAUUAAUCCAACUAAAAUUGUCACAUUAAUUAAUUAAAUCUAAUCUGAAUAAGAUCUAUGGAUUUAUAGGACUUCUUUUCUCAGUGCAUGAAUAUUUGGUAAGUACCUUUUUUUUUUUUCCAAUUUACUUUAGAAGCUUAAAAUAUAAAAUAUUUAGUGGAUGAAAAGUUUAAUCAAAUUUCUAAAAAAAGUAUACUGUAAUCGGCCCUCAAAUUAUGCUCUCAAAAUAAGAUAAGUCACCCCCUAAGUGAAAUACAUUACUCUGAUACAUCAUGAAAGCUAAAACUGUAUAAAGAUUUAAAAUCAAACUAUUAAAUAAUUGCAAUCGUGUAUAAAAGUCAUCAUAAUAUAAAAAUCAUCGCCGAAUAACUUAUACUCAAAUCUAGGCUUUAUUAUGUGCAGCAUAUGUUGGCAAAUCUAUAUCUAUAUAUUUGCUUUUUUUUUUCAUGAGAUGAUUUUCUAAAAUUAUACUUGGUUGUAUACUAGCCAAUCUCUUAUUGCCAUUAAUUGAGGUCCAACUCUUCGCAAAGAAUAGAAAAUUACACAAUUAUACUCUUUUAUUUGACCUCUCUACAAAUAUAUGUAUAAAUAAACAAUGGAGUAAAAUAAUAACUAUAAUAAUAGCUUCCUUAUCUACAGAAUUUGUAUUUUUUGGAUUGACCUAUAUAUUAAAAUACACACCAUGUCAAAAGAAUCUCUACAUAACCUGCUUUAUACGUGGUUUGUCCAAGAAAAAGACAACAAAACUCCCUGUUUGUGGGGAACUCAAAUCCUUCACAAAUUUUCACAUGUCUAACCAAAAAAAAAAAGGAAAGAAAAAGAGAGAGAACAAAUUAUAAUAUCUCCAAAUAUACAGCUCACAAAAAACAUCCUCCCACCACUUAUUUCGCCUGAGAUCCCGAAAUUGGACUGCACCAAUCAAUUGCACUUAAAUUGAUUGAUUAAUAUUUGAGAAGCACUUUCCAUCAGAAUCGAAGAGAUGUGACUUAAUUUGUGUCUAAUUUGAAUUCAAAAUUUUGAUUAUACCCGGAGAGCCCUCGCAGCUGUGCAAAUUCACCAAAGUUUCGAAGACAGAUCGAAUAUAUUGAACAUGCCUGUACUCCGCUUUAUUUCAAUUAUAUUGAAAUUUCACUGUCUUCGUCCAUAGACGCCAUCAGCAGUGGUUAAACUGCAUAAAUUAUUUACUUUCUUUUUGUUAUUCUCUCUGCUGCAUCGAUCAUACCUAACAAAUUAGAAUUUUUCGGCUUUCGUCGAAGCCCUCGCCCUUGCGACGAGGCGUAUAUGGCAAUUUGUGACUGCAUCCAGCUGUUAAAGUUUUCAAAGUGAAGAUCACUGUAGGCUGCCUCAAGAAGCAACUGAGGAGAACAAACCAUGCAAAAAUUAAUGCGGCUUAGAAGGGAAUCUAGUUUCAACUAGGGUUUGGUUGGGAGUUGGCCCACAUUUGACACUUUAUUUUCUUUAGUGGUGAGCUAAGCUUUUAGGGGUGUAUAUUUAGAAUUUCACGGAUUCAACGUUGAAUUGGUGGCCACGUGUGAGAAUUAGAGUCGUAUCAGAAAAUAACAUAAGUUGAUUUAUAUAAACGUGGGCUUAAUUAGCUUUCACAUUGAUAAGUCUUAGUUUUGUUAGAAAAAGUAGACGGUAGCUAGAUGCAUACAAAUUAGAUGGCCAAUUCAUUUAUAUCGAAUUGGAUUGCUUUUUUAAGAUCGUCCUUACCUUGGAUGCUUACAAAUCUUUCACGAGCCGUCUCGUCCUAGACGUCGCAUCUCGUAUAUAUGAAAAAAAUUAUUAAGGUUCACAUUUUAAAAUUUGAAAACGUUGAUAGUGUUUUUAAAGAAAUAGAAAAAUCAGCCGAGAAAAAAAAGAAAGAUUGAGAUUUUCUUUUUUUUUCCUUUUUUUUUUUUGGUAAAUAUAUCAAUCAACCUUCCCAAACAAAUUGGAAAGGGAUAGAUCAAACAAGUGGAUAAGGUCUAAUGUUCCGUCCAUUUCAUGGUUAUUGCAAUUAACUUUGCUAGUGAUUAUGCUAGCAUAUUGCUUGGUUUGGAAAAAAAAACAUAAAAAUUAAAAAGAGUUGUUGUUAAUUGACAUAGAUUUUCUUAUGGAAUAUAUAGAGUUUUUGCCAUGUAAAAAAUUAAGAAGUUUUUGUCGAAUCAUUGGUUAUCAUGCUAUGUAUAUUAUUAUUAUAAUUUAUAUUUAUAAAUAAAAUAUAUUUAAAAAAUAUUAUAUAAUAUAUAAGUACGUGAAAUAAUAUGUAAUAGAAUAUACUUAACACUAUAAAAUAAAGUACUAUAUAUUUAUAAAUAAUAUUCAUAAAUAAAAUAUUCGAUAAGAAUUUAUAGAGGGAGAGAGAGAGGUCCACCAUGGACUCUCUCUCACGUGGUCUACGAGGUGAAGUGGACCCCGUGCUGAGCUCAAGAUGAGCUGCAUUUUUUUUGUUUUCUUGCUCACAGAGAGGGGAAAACAAAAACCCAAUAUUUUUAGAAUUUUUUUUUACAGACAAUUAAAUAUCUCAAAAAUUACUUUUCAAAUGAAAAAUAAUUUUCGGAGUAGUUUUGUAAGGAAUCAAACACACCCUAAAUAGCUCACAACUUAUUACAAAACUAGAAUCACACAUUGCGAUUUUCGUUAAUAUUGAAAACAAAAUAUAAAAUAUUAUAUUUUAAAUACCUUGAAUAAAUUUUAGAAAGAAUUAAUGGUAGCGUACUAUCACUUUGUUUAUUUUUAUAAAAUUGAACUUAGCUAGAAAUAUGAAUCAACUAGACUUCGAACUUGGAACCUCAAGUACCAAUCAUCAGAUCCUUUGUCACUUGCACUGAGAACAGCCAGUAAUACGCUUAAUGGUUGAUACCUCGAGAUUUUCAAUUAGAAUCCUAAUUGCUUCACAUUUUCAGCUAAGUUUAUUCAUAAAAAAAAAAUAACAUGCUGCCGCGUUCUCUUAGAAUAAAAAGAAAAAAAAAAAGGUCUUCAAUGAUUGUUGGUCAAAAUUGAUAGGGAGGAAUGAAACAAUUGUCCUACUCUCUUUUCAACAAGUUUUGACCACUUCUCUUUGCAUCCUAAGCUUAGUUAGAACCAACCUUAAUUAAUCUCUCCUCUUAAUAGCAUCCUAAAUCAUAUUUAAACCAACUUUAGUUAACUAAAUCCACAGCACUAACUCACUUAAUUAAGUCCCUUUCCUUCAUCCUUCUUAUGCCUUCAACCUGCAAGAAAAAACCCCCAAAUCUCUGACCAAUUUUCGCACUAUUUUUGUUAGCUAAUGAUAAGUUGUCAUUCAAAAAAGAACUCCAUGCUAUGUGGUUCAAAAUGUUUGACAUUUAUUUUCACUAUGGAUCUUUGUGUAAUUUGUCGUAGUUCUCCUAAUACUACUUGGACUUUAAUUAAUGUGUACUUUUGAGGAUCGAAGAGGAAAAAAAAAUGUCAAAGAAACAUUAUUAAUUGAUCAAAUGUUAGGGGGUCGAAUUCCAAUUGGAAACUCUCAAUCAAGACACUAGUAGAGGAUUAUUUGUGGAGGAGAAAGAGAGUUUUUUUUCUUUCCUUUUUUGCUCUUGUCAUUUAUUUCACAUUCCUACGAAGUAACCGCGAAAAAAUGGUAAAGAGAAAAGGGUUUUCUCUUGGAUCAGUACAUAAAGAAUAAGGUCCAACACGAAAUAGAUACAAUUUUGAUAAGGACGUAUCGGAGCCAUUUGCUUAUAUUCAUUGAAUAAAAAUAGUAACCGACAUGAAUUGCUUCUAUCGAAAGUGCAUCCGCUAACUUCAUUUGUUUCACCCGUUUAUAACAUUGAUCAAGAGUAUCUUUUGUUAGUAAGUAACUACGACACCGGAGUUGAGAAUUUGUUUGGAGCUUGUACAUCGAUCUUUGUUAAUAGAGUAUUUAUUAUGAUUCGCAUCUAGUAUGGAAAUGACAAAACCUCCUGAUCGAUAGUAUUAUAAUUAUUUUAUUAGUUGAAAAACUAUGUGGAUUAAUUUCCACAACUUUACUAAUAUCUUUUAAAACAUUCUAAUUGAAGUUGCACAAUAGUAGUGCAAUGCAGGUAACUUGUGGGCUCAACCUGAGAUCAGUUUGGUGCAUGUAGCUUGUCUUUUUCCUUCUCUUUGACCUGCUUUUUCAGGUCAUGACCAGUCACAUGGAGCUUGGUUUGAGUGGAUCCAACUCAGGGAUAGGCCCAAACCCCUACUUAGCCCUGUGGUGGUAGAUGCCAUAUAACAAGUGGGUGGAGUACCCUCCUUUAGUCCCUUUUUUUUUAUAAAAAAAAGAUUGGGGCAAUUUCAAACACAACCUUAUGAAACUUAAAAUAUCAUACUUUGUCCUUUCAAAAUCUAAAAUAUUUUUGAAAAAUAGGUAGUAUUCUACCCGCUUCGUUUACUUCAUUUAGAAAUAAACUUAGCUAAAAAUGUGAAUCAAUUAGGAUUCGAACUUGAGAUCUCGGUUACCAACCACCAAGCCAUUUACCAUUUGCUCUAGAGACGGUCGGUUUCAAAAUCUAAAAUAUUAUUAACAUUCUUUUAAAUAUAUAAAUAUAUUACAAAUGCCUCUCUGAAUUCCAAACCCAAAAUCUAAACCCUAAAUCCUUUAAGGUGAAAACGUAAAAUCUAAACCCUUAAUCCUUUAAGGUGAAAACGUACAGAGCUUACAUGAACUAUGAACCAUUUUGAAUCAGCUGCUUAAUUUUUAAAAUUUUAAUUUUUUUACUAUCCAGCCUUUCAAUUUACUUGAUUUAAGUCAGUCAUAAUAUUUCGACUUCAAUAAUUGAAUGUGACGUUUAUCUUUAUAGAUUUAAUUAGUAUUACUUUAUAUAAUUUUCGUAACUACAAAUUUUUUUAAAUAAGUAAUUAGCUUAAAUUGACAAAUUGAAAUAUUGUAAAGAAAAAUCAAAAUUUUAAAAGAUUGCUUAGACAACUCAAUAUGAUCCAUAGUUCAUAUAAAUUGGGUAUGAUUUUGUCAUUCUUUAAUGUUUUUAAAGGCACUAAUGAUAUUUUAAAUUCGAACGAAUCUUUAUAAAAUUACAACCUAUUUUUAAAUUAGGGUAAACUUCAAAUACCAUCCAUGUGGUUCCGCACUUUCUCACUUUAGUACCCUAUAGUUUAAAGUGUAUCAAUUUAGUAUCCUAUGGUUUUAUUUUUAUUUUUUCGUCAGUUUUUUUGUUAAUAUUUUGUUAAAUUAUAUACAAGAAACUUCAGAUACCGCACCUAGGUUUAUUGAAUACUCACUUUAGUACCCAUUUCAGAUACUCCAUCUAGGUUUAUCGAAUAUUCACUUAGUACUCUUUAGCUUUAACUUCGUCACUGAUUUAAUAAAAAAAAUUAAUAAAAUCGAUAAUAAAAAAUAAAAAUAAAAAUAAAACCACAGGACACUAAAUUAAUAUUCUUUAAACCAUAUUGUACUAAAGUGAGAAAAUACGAAACCACAUGAAUGGUAUUCGAAGUUUUCCCUUUAAUCGCAGCGUUUCAUCUUUUCUUUUGUUUUCUUGCUUUACUUGUGUUAUAUAGAGAUAAAUUAAUAAAGGAGGUGAUGUGUGAAGAUAAUAAAGCUAAGCUUUAAGGAAACAAACGAAGCGAGCAUGAUUUGAUCUACAAGAUUAGAAUGUCGGCAUGGUGUAGUUGUCAAUGUUAUUCAUGUUGUGGUAUGAUGAUGUUUUGAGAAUAAGUAAGAUACUUUCUAUGGACAAAACUUUAGUGGCGAUCUCCCUAACGAGGCGUGCUCGUAGGGGAGCUUUCGAUUUGCUACCGCAUGUUACUUUUAUUUUAAUCCAAAAAUUUAUUAGAUGUUUUUUAAUACUAAAAUUUAUUUUUUCAAAAAAAAAUUUAGAUAAAGAAUUAUGAGUUUUGGACAGAGAUAAAAAAAUAAUACAUGGUGACAGAUUAGAACUCCUUAACGAGAUAUUGUUGGAGAGCUCUCCACAUAAACUUUUUUUUCACUUUCUAGUAAUAUUGUCAGAUGUGUCUCAAGUUUAUUUUAAAAAGUAACUGAAUGAAUAAUAUUAUGAAAGUACGAAGUUAUAGUAAGCCUAGCCAGUUUUCACCGCUUAUUUAUUUGCCUCCUUCACAUGUGUGUUAUAAGUACUAUAUAAGUAAAUUUGGAUUAAAUGAGAGGUAAAUAGGUUCUUACAUAACAUUUUCCUCAUGACUUGGUUCCAGACUUUUUGUAAGGCCUAUAAUAUAAAUUUGGAUUAAAUGAGAGGAAAUUAAUAAUACUACAAGUCUAACAAGGCUUCAAAUUUGAGACUGUUGGAUUAUUAGCGCUAAUCAUUAGUCCCAAAAGCUCAAACUGUUAGAAAUAUACAACAAAUUUACUUAAAGCGUACAAACAUAACGUCUAGCAGUCUCGCUUUUAACUUGGUUUAAUCAGUCUCAUGCCACUUCAAAUAUGAUUCGACAUAAUCUGAUUUUCGCUACAGGACAGGACACUUCGCCUUUUAAGCUAACAAAGAGGUAUUCGGUACCAACCAUUAAACUUUUAGCCAGCUGCUCUAAAUACGGUAGGUGAUUUCGUGUUAAACUGUAGGAGCAAUUGAAGACCUGUUUUGUUUAGAGUACCGAAUUGUAGUUCUUUAAUUAAGAAUUGUGAACAAAAUUUUCCCUUCGUGGCCAGUUUUAAUAAAAAUAAUUUUUAUAUAAAUUCCUUACUUUUCAGAUAAUUUUAAAAGAGUUCUGAACUUUUCUAUGUCCUCACGUAAUUAGUUGGGAAAUGUUGACUUUUUAUUCGAAAAGUCAUGAAAAAUAUCUUUCAGUGAAAUCUACGUGUACUAUCACAACUUUUAAUUUUUGUCCCUUUUGUAUAGCUUCAUCCUUUUAAGGCUAUUAAAUUAGAUAUGCUUAUGCAUGCAUAUAAAAUUUUGAACAAACUUCAAAUAUCACCCCAUAUAGUUUCACACGUUCUCACUUUAGUAUUUUAUAGUUUAAAAUAUAUCAUUUUAAUACCUUGUGCUUUCAUUUUUCUCUUUUUAUCAACUUCUCCGUUAACAUUUCGUUAAAUUAUAUACAAAAAACUUCAAAUACAUCACCUAGGUUUAUCGAUUAUUCACUUUAGUACCUUUUAGUCUUAACUUUGUCGUUGAUUUAACGAAAAAAAUUAGUGAAAAAGAUAAUAAAAAAAACAAAAAUGAAACUAUGGGGUACUAAAUCGGUACACUGUAAACCAUAAAGUACCAAAGUGAGAACGUAUGAAAUCAUAGGACUGGUAUUUAAAAUUUUUCCUAAAAUUUUUAAGAAUAGAAUGCUACAUGUUGUAGGAUAUAACUCAGUUAUGUUUACAAUAAUAAAUCUAUGAAAUUGGGACAAAAGUUAAAGAUAUUCUUAGAUUUCUCUAAAAUAUGCUAAACAAAGGCUAUUAAUAAUAAUAAUAAAAAGAAUAGCCCAGAAAAUUAUAUAAAAAAAAUUUAAAAAAUUAUAUGCAAUUUUAUCCUUUCGAAUAACUUCUGUUGCAAAUGGGAGGCAAGGGGAUUUCUUUUUCUUUUUUUUUUUUCCUAGCUGCCUUUUGGAAAGCUAAAAGAGAAUAUUAUUUUAUAUUUUAAUAUUUUAUACAAUACAUGAAAGAGGAACCCGAAAAAUGAACGACCGUGCUUCCCGGGUCGAGGAAUUCUACACUAUCACACUUGCACCAUAUCAUUAAUAAUAAGUCAAUCAUUUUUUUUUUUUCAAACAAAAAUACAAUAAAAAUAUUUUUUUAUAAUCAUGAUGUGACAUAUAUUUCUAAAAAUUUUUUUUGAUUGAUUUGUUACGCCACAUCACCAAUAUACCCAUUGCAUUCUAGAAUUUUUUCUCUAGGUCUAGGGCAAAUUGAUGGGAUCCAUUUUUUUUCAUUCCUCUCUCAUAUUAAUCAACCCUUUUCUUUUUUUUUUUUUACCUACGCCAUGUCUAAAAAUUCAUUAUAUAAAUUAAGCCUAUUUUAAAAUAAUUAAUAUAAAAAAAAUUAAAAUUUCAUCUGAUAAAUACAAUCUAUAAUAUAUAAAAAAUCUAGAUAUAAAAAUUAAUAGAUUUUUAUAUUUAUAAUAAAAUUUUAUAAAUACAGUGAAACAAAAGUUAUAUACCCCACAAAUUGAUGGGGCCCACUUUUUUCAUUCCUCUCUCCCUCCCAACUCAUAUAAAUUAACUUUUUCUUUUUCUUUUUUUUUUUUGCCUACACCACGUCUAAAAAUUUAUCAUAUGAACCGAAUCUAUUUUUUAAUAAUUAAUAUAAUAAAAUUAAAUUUUCAUAUGAUAAAAUAUAAUCUAUAAUAUAUAAAAAAUCAAGAUAUAAAAAUUAAUAGAUAUUUUUACUUUUAUAAUAAAAUUUUAUAAAUACAGUAUAUAAAAAAUUAUAAGUCCGGUAUAUAAGACAUCCUCACAUAUUUUUCAAUAUGACUUUAACUUUAAUAUAAAUAAAGUUGAGCUUUAAUAAGGUAAAGUCCUCUAAUAUAAGUCUUCCAACUUUAAUUUUUUAGUUAAAACUUUAUUUAUAAAAUAGCUAUCAAAAUUAUUAAAUUUAAUUAAAAUUUUAAAUAAAAUUAUUAGAAUAGUUAACUAUAUAUUAUAAAUAUUAAAAUUAAAAAAACUAUUAAUAAAAAAAUUACUUUUUAUAAUGUACAUAAGAUUGCUUUAUAUAUAUAUAUAUAUAUAAUUUUUAGCUAUAACUUUUUAAAUUUUAAAAUUUUAAAUAAAUAUGUAUAUAUCAAUUGGUUAAAAUACAAUUGACCUGUUGCGAAGCGCCGGCCCUACACUAGUUGAGCAACAAAGGCAAAGUGGAAUCCAUGUGUAACAAAAGGGGAUGGAGCUCUUGGACCAGGGAAUAUUUAAGUCGCUUUGUGGAACUAUAUAUUGUAUUAAUUAAUUAGGAUGUUGCAUAAGGAACUCACCUGGAGCUUUCCUAUUGCAAUGUAACAUAAAUUGAGGAGGAAAAAUUAUUUGGGAUAAUCUAGGAAAGUUCCAGAAUAUUAUGAUCAAUUGGCUUCGUUUGGUUCGGAUAUAAGUAAGAACUAGUUAUUCCAGAAAUAGAUAUAAGAUGAGGUAUAAGGUAGGUAUAAAAUAAUUUUGUGUUUGGUUGAGUAUUGGAUUUAGUCCAGAUAUAAGCAAAAUAGUAUUUGGUUGGAGUACGUGGAAUAAGAAGAAUAGUGGGUGGUUAUAAAUAAAAAAUAAUGAUAUUGUCAUCUUUAUUAUAUUUGAAUUAAAAUUUUUAAAUUUUAUAUUUAAAAUUUUAAAUUUAAAUAUAUAACUCUUAAAUUUCAAAAAUAAAAAAUUAACAUUUAAAUUUAAAAAUCUCAAAUUCGAAAAUUCAAAGUUCUAAAUUUUUAAUUUCAAAUUUUAAAUUUAAGAUCAAAGCUAAAUUUAGAAAUAUAAAAUUUUAAAUUUAGAAAAUUAAAUAUAUCAAUUUAAAAUUUAAAAUUUAAAAUUUAUAAUUUAAAAAUAUAAAUUUUUAUUUUAAGAUAACAAAUUAUAAAUUUUAAAUUUUAAAUUUAAAUUUAAAAUUUAAAAUUUAAUUAGGGAUGGAAAUAGUUAUUCCAUCCCCUAUACCUGGGGAAGAGUUAACGGGUUAUUCCGGGAUAACCCGUUAAUGGGUGGGAUAGCAAUCCCACCCCUCUUAUUUUUGUUGUUUGGGUAUAAGGGGUGGGAUAACCCCUUAUCCCACCUCUUAUAUUCGAACCAAACGGGGGCUAAAAGUAAAACUGUACCAGUUCAUCUGAGAUUUUUCUUUAGUUUAUUGGCGGUUUUGUUUGGUUUGCCAAACUAUUUUAAUACUAAACGAGUUAGAUAUUUCGCAACCGAAAAAUUUAAAACUGAUAGAGUCAUUAAACAAAAGUGCUUUCUGAGCGCCAAAGUUUAAAGAAAAUGAUCAGAAUUAAGAUUCUUGCAACUUCUCAGGCAUCUCAACUGAUGGAAUCCCGUGAUCCCGUCUAAUAAGCAAAAAAAAAAAGUGUUGAAUAAGAUGUUUAUGCAUCCACACAGAGCCGUUGAACAUACUAUCCAGCUAACCAUCGAAAGCCACUUGAUCAUCUUCGCAUGCAACUUCCUCAAAAGAAUAAGGAAGAUCCAAAACAAGAUUCAAAAUAACUAGGGACCAACGCCUAACAAGUCAUAUGCUCAGCAAGGUAAUGCAAUGGCAUUUUCAUGAACUUGUGAGGCCAGGAAAAGGGAAAAUUGACGGAGUAAACAGAGAAACCCGUGACUAAGACGUUACUUGGGAUUACGGAUAGAAUACAUUACACAGCAGGAUUAAAGUGUAAUGCAAAACAAUAUUCCAUUCGUUUUCAUAGGUAACAAGAAGUUGAGUGAGAGGAAUGCUUUGAUACACUAUGUAAGUAUUGAAAAGGAUAUGAUUGUGUUUUAUAUGAAGUAACUUGUUGGACAGGUUACUAAUUUAGAAUAGUCAAGUACAAUAUCGAAAAAAAAAUUUGUGGCAUAUAAUAAAUUUAUCAGGAUCCUAUAAAAUUUUAAAUUUUUUACUUAAUUUUGUUUACUUAAUUAGAUAAUUCCUAAUCUGUUAAGUAUCCAACUCAAAAUGAUAUUGAAUUUAAAUUCAAUUUUUAAAUUCGGUAUCGUAAUGUAAAAUUUUGAUUUUAAAAUUUAAAAUCAUCCCUUAAAUUUGAAUCUAUAUUCCACUUUUAAUCUUGAAAUCACAUUUUAAUGCUUGAUUUAAAUUGAAAAUUUAGAAUUUAUACUAAAAAUUUUAUUUCAAAUUUGUGUUUUAUAUUUAAGAAGAAUUAAAUUUGAUUCAGAAUUAAAUUUCGUAAGUUGUUUCCAAAUUGAAUUCGCAGUCUAGCUGUAAUUUGAAUUCUGAUUUCUUUUGUAGGCACUUGAAAAGUCUAUAAUUUCCUUAGUUGGAUAAGACCAACGAUAGAUCUUAUGGACGAAAACAUUGUACAAAGACCAAAAUAUUCUUCAGACUAAUACAUAUGCCCCUCAAUAACAGAUCACCUUUUAUAAAGUAAUAUUACGUCUCUGACCACGGCCAGAACUUACAUGGUAUAUUGAAGCAUACUGAUCUUUAUAUACUUCCGUCGUAACUCUAUUUUAUCUAAUAGUAUUACGCGACACUCGGGACAAAAUUUUACUAAGCCAUGCAUGAUUGGAGAAUGGGAAAAAGGUGGUGGGAGAGAUACAUGUACACCCAAAGAGAGGAGGAGGUGAUGUUCUAAGUUCUCCCAAAAAGAGCCCAUUCCUGAUCAACCCAUAUUGUAAGGUUGUGCACAUGGGAGUAGCUCCACAGAGUUAUUGCCCGGCACUAAAAUUAAAGAGCUACAUAUCCCCUCCUCUGUUUUUUUCUUGUGUUUUUUUGGGCUAUACGUUGCACCUCUCCAUCAUCCCACGUUUACCCACAGAGCCCCACUUUAAGAGAUUGAGCUCGUAACGUUGCGUUAUUGGCCAUGUCCAUGCACAUAAAUGGUACGAGCGAAUUGAUGAAGGAAACGGAGUUUUGGACAAGACAUUGAGAAUGUACCUGACAAUAUAAAAGAUCUCCCAUGUGAGCAUGAUUGCUCAUGUUCGACAAAAAAAACUUACAACAUUUUGCAUGAUGUCAUUGCAGAAGGUAUUCGAUGCAAAUAUUAGGACAUACAAGAUUUAUUUGAAUAAACUAUUUUGAUUUAACUAUCGAAUCUUUCAAAAAUUUAAUUUUACUAUCCAAUCCAUCGAUUUGUUCGAUCUGAGUGAGUCAAUAGUAUUUUUAGAUUCAAAGUGCCGUUGGCUGACUCAAAUCGAACAAAUUCGAUAGAUUGGAUAGUAAAAUUAAAAAUUUAAAGGUUGAAUAGUUGAAUCAGAAUAGUUCAUAGUUCAAAUAAGUUUUGUGCGUUCUAUCAAAUUUAUGGUUUUAUUAAACUUCUCAUCAUAUAUUUAAGAAAGCAGAAAAAACGAAAAAGAAAAAAAGAAGUAUGCUGUUUGUUUGCUGAAACAAUUUUGGGGAGAAAAAGAAGGAGAGCGUUGCAAGUUGCAAGCUUAACCUAAAAGUAAAUUAUGACUGACGCGGAGAAAAUGCAUUAUGUACGGUUAGAAAGUAUAAUUAAAAAAAUCUAUUUAUUUUUAUAUGUAAUAUUACGUUGUGCAUAUGAUGAUAAUUUAUUUUUUCUAUAGUCCUGGUAAAACUAUAAAAAUAUGUUUUUAUAUACUUUCGUCCUAACUCUGUUUUGCAUACUAAAAAUGAAUUGGGCUUCGUUGUUUGGAUCGGAAAAGAUCGAAAUGUAAAAUGUGAGCCCGAGGCUGAUUCUUUCUGGGCUAAAUCUGCAGUGAUUUUUAGGUUGGACCGGCCCGUUUAUUUAUUUUAAGAAAUGAGAUUGCCCGUAUACAUGCAUAGGUUGAAUACUUGGAUCCCUCUUUUUUCUAAAAUUUUUAUAAUUUUUAAUAUAAAAAUAUAAAAAUACUAUUUUCUACAAUUUAGUUUGGUAUUAGAAUCACAUGUCCUAAGUUCGAGUUCCCUCGGGCUCCUAGAAUUAUUUAGUUUUAUCUCAUUUAAUCAAAUCCACGUCUCGGACGCAAACAUCUGAAUCAUGUAUAUUUUUGGGACUUCUAAUUCCAUCUUCUAUCUUCGUUCUUAGCUUCUUAAUUGAACUAAUUAGGCAUAGUAAACAAGAUCUUGUAGUCCUCUCUUGUAGUGUACAAAUAUGCGAUUAUAAUUUCCAUGGAUUGCUUAAACCGAAUCCUCUGUUCACUUUCACAAUUUUUUAUUUGAGAAAUGAUUCGGUACUUUUUUUAAAAAAAAAUAAAAAAGAUCUUAACCGUUGAUUAAUAGAGGGUAAAAAUGUAACUUUAGGAAAUUAAUUGAUUAACCAAAUUUAUGAAAUUAUUAGGCAUUAAUUUAGGAAUCUACUUUAAAUGUUUUAGUGUUUCUCAAAUUAUCCAUUAAUUUAAAUUAUAGAAAUUUUAGAAAUUGUUUUAUUUCUAAAUACGAUGAAUUUAAAUUUUAAAAAUUAAAUACUUAAAAUUUAAAAGUAAAAUUUAAAUUAGAGGAAUUUCGUAUUACUAUUUAAAAACUAAAUUUCUACCAAGAUUUAAAAUACAGUUUAUUCGCACCAGUUUAAAACGUAAUGCAUAAAAAACUUAGAAAGUAAGAUUUCUACAACUAGAUUUCUUUAGAGGAAUUUUAUAUUACUAUUUAAAUUUUAAAUUCAAUGAUUUAAAAACUAGAUUGAACCGAUUGAUUUGACUGAUCAGACUUUGACCUAUUCUAUCAAGAAUCUGAUUUUAACCUAUUGAACCGAAUAACAUUAAGAACAAUUUGGAACCGGUAAAGAUAAUAAAUAUUUUAAACAGAAUGAUAAUUUAACUGUUAGAGCUAAUAAAUAUUUUAAAUAUAAUUUUAAACAUAUAAAUUAAAAAGAUUAGAAUUAUUGGUGAGAAAAAAAAUAGUUAGGAAUUUGAAUUCGAAUCUGACUAACAAUCACAAAACUUAUUUCCGAACUCGACGGAUUUCAAAAAUCCAUAUCCAAAUUCAAAACUGACCAAUUUUUCGAAACCCAAAAUCAAACCUAAACCAGAAGACUAGAAUUCAAACAAUUAUUUCUGUUUACCAUAUUUCAAAGUAUUUAUAUGAAACUUAAAUUUUUAAAAUAUAAAUUUGAAUAUAAUAUUAAAUUUUAAAUUUAAAAGUGAAAUUUAAAUUAGAGAAAUUUUAUAUUACUAUUUAAAGUUUAAAUUCAAUGAUCAUAUUGUCAAAUCAUUUGAAAUUUUCCUUAUAUGAAAUGCCAAAUUAUGAAAGGAAAGAUAGAGAGAGCAAAAAGAAAUAAAGAAAAAAUAAAAAUUUUGAAAAUAUAGUAGAUGUAAAAUGACUAAAUUGCCCAUGUAUUAAAAGACAAAAAUAUCUUUUUUUGAGGUACCUGGUAACCGGUACCUCUCCCAAAGUGACCUACUAUUGCAGGUCACAAUUUAAAAAAAAUUAAAUCUAAGUCGUUGAAUACGCGUGAAUGAACGGUAACCAAAAAAAAAAAAGUAUAGAAGCAUUACUCUUUUUAUUUUCCUUCUUCGCAACAUUUCAUGUGUUAAUAGAGAUGAAGGUUUAAAUCAGUGUUACCUCUCUGCUACCAAGCAAUGUUUGCUCCUCUUCAUUAUCUCGCGAAGGUUUAAAUGAUUUUACGGAUAUUUGAAUUAAUGUUGCUGCUAUUUACCUACUAAAUCGCAAACUCGAGCUCGAAUAAUGUUUCGAUUAAAUUGGUAUGAUGAGUUAAAUAAAUUUCUGAGCUUAUUUAUUAUUAUAUCGAUCUUUUGGAUAAUAUAGUAUCAUAGUUAAUGUUUCGUAAAUCUCGUUACUUGAAUAGCAUUCUAUGAGAAUUAAUUUUAAAUCUUUUAUUCUGUAAUGCAGGUCGAUCUUGGAAGUAAUAUAUUGAGAGUGGUCAUCAAUUCAAAAUGCUCUAAUCAUCUCCGAAAUUGACGGUGAUCGAUUCAGUUCCCAUGAAUGGUUCUUUAUUAUUAUUUUCUUAAAAAAAAAAAAAGUCGAUUCAACGCCACAAAACAUGUACUACACUUGCAACCACAUUCAAGUCAAACACAAGUGCCUUGAUGAGUUUCUUUAAAAAUUACAACUUUUGAAGUGGAUCAGAAAAUGCAAGUUUAAGUAAUAUUAGAUUUCAACUUCAUGUAGCGUUUGUUUGCUUUCAACUGUAAUGUUAACCUCAUUUCUUGCAGCAACUGGUGAUAGCAGCAGAGUGAAGGUUGUUCACCGGCACGGCCCGUGCUCGCCGCUCAGCCGCCAAAAAGACACCAAUCACGCGCGCAUCCUCCGCCGAGACUGGUCUCGCGUCAAAUCCCUCUCUCCGCCGCAUAUCUUUCUUGUUAACAGCAACACUCAACAGUACGUCGUCGGCCGACACGACAAUCCCUGUCCGCGGUUGCUCCUUAUUUUCCGCCAGCGAGUAUGUCGUCACUGUCGGCGUCGGCUCUCCAAGCCAAGACCUCACCUUCGCCCUCGACACUGCCGCCGACCUCACCUGGGUCCAGUGCAAGCCCUGUGCAGUGUACUGCUACCUGCAAAAGGACCUGCUCUUCGACCCUUCGAAAAUCGACGACGUACUCCAACGUUUCCUGCUACUUCCCGGAAUGAUAUCACUUGUCACGUGUGGCACUCGUCCGUUAUCUGUACGAACGAGCCAGUCAAACCAUUCGGAGGCAUAAAGCCGGCUCACUUAAUAUACGUUCCAAGGUGGAUCUAAAAUUUAGGUAUGGCAUUGCACUGGAAGUUGAUAUAAGUCCGGGAUUCUUCACAUUGCUAGUAUAUCGCAAACUUGUUUCGCAUUUGCGAGCAUUGCGAGCGAGCGCGCGGCAUCGAUGGUAGAAAACACGCAGCAGAGAGGGUUGGAGAUUGUUUACAAUGUGUUCAAGAAGGUGAUUGGAUUUGGAGUGGGCGGUUGUUGUAGGAUGGAAUGUUUGUGGCUCUUGAGAAGGAAUAACUGGAGCAGAAAAAUAAAACUAAUUAUGUGAUCGUCUAUACAUUCGAUGAAGAAACAAUUUCCUGCUAAGUUUAUUUCUAAAUGAAAUAAACGAAGUGGGUAGCGUGCUAUCUAUCUCUCAAAAAAAAAAAGAAAAAUUUCUUUAUUUAAAUUUUGAGAGAGAGAGGGAUAGAAUGCUAGUUGCUUUGUUUGUUUUUUAAGAGAUAAACUUAAUUAAAAAUAUAAAAUAAUUAUAUUUCAAAUUUGAGAUUUCGAAUGUUAAUCAUCUACACUAACUAAUAAGUUGAAAAAAUAUUCACGGUCAAAUCCUUCUACCAGUUCAUCACAGACGCAGGACUGCACAUCCCGAUGAACCAACACAUUUGGAACUUGAAAAUUUCAGUAAAAAUCAAAGUCUUUAUUUGGCUGCUACUUCGGAAGAGAUUACUCACUGCAGAUAGAUUGCUCAACUGAGACAUACUUGUAGACCAAAAUUGUGUUUUCUGUGCGGUUCUCACGGAAAGCUGUGACCAUUUAUUCAGUAAUUGUGUUUGCGUUCGAUACUUUCUCCUCAGUGUGGAAAGAUUGGACGUAACUGACAACAUCAUGGGCGACGUCCGAAGCCUUUGGCCCGGAAUUUCUAACAACCCAGUUGAUUCGUUGAGAACACAAGGCUUGAUCCUUCUGGCUGCGAUUUGGUGGGUGGUUUGGACGGAUAGAAAUAACUCCGUUUUUCGGAGAAAUCCGCCCAACACUACCCGGUCUUUAGAACGUGUUAAAUUACUUAACAGCAAUUAGACCGCACUGCUCUGAUGUGUUACUAGAGCUUCUUUCCCUUUCUUUUCUCACCUUGUCUCUUCCUUUUCGCUUUUUAAUCUUACCUCUUUUUGCCGGUUUCUUAGAGAGGCCUUCGUUACUUCCAUCUUGUAUGCUCAAUUCAUUUUGCUUAAUGAAUGAAGUAGCUAGCUUGUUACCUAUUUCUCAAAAAAAAAAGAAAAAAUGUAAGUGAAAGCGAGCAAUAUUGGAGCCUCAGCAAAUGAAUGUUUAGAAACGGGACUUGUGUUGGACUAUGUCGGGCAUAAGCUUUAGACUUAGAAGAGAAACAGCUAAUCACAGCUCAAAAUCUAGCUUUGUAUGUUUAAUGUGGAUCAUGCCGGGCCGGCCCAUUGCCAGGACGAGGCCCGUGCGGUCCGUAGUAGACCGAGCAGUGGACUGAUCCGAUUAUUUUUUUUACUUUUUAAAUUUUUUAAUUGCUUUAAUCUCACUUUAUUAUUUUUUCUUUUUGGCCUUUUUGCAUAAAAAAUCCACUUAUUUUGGGCUUUUGCAAAACCGGGUCAUCUUUUUCGUUUUUGCAAAUUCGGUCUGCUUUUUCAGCAAACUGACCAAAAUACCCUUAUUACUUUUUCUCUUUCCUCUUUCUCUCUCCUCUUCGUUCUCUCGUUCUUUUUUUUUUCNGAACUUGGCGAGGAGGAUGGAGUAGCGGUCGCGACGCAUGCCGUAGACCCACUCGCGACGCGCGGGGUCGAGGUCGUGGGUGCGGUCGAAGAAGCCGACGAGGGGCGGCGCGGGGCCGGAGCGGGAGGAAGAAGAAGAAGAAGAAGAGGGAAAAAAAAAAAAGUGCUCCAGCAGGAGGAAGAAGAAGAAGAAAAAGAAAAAGAGAAAAAAAAAUUACUCCUGCAGGAAGAAGAAGAAGAAGAGCCCGCCUGGCGGUGCUCCGGCGGCGCGUCCGCCUGGCCUUCGCUUUUUUUUUUCGGUGAAAGAACGAGAGAACGAAGAGGAGAGAGAAAGAGGAAAGAGAAAAAGUAAUAAGGGUAUUUUGGUCAGUUUGCUGAAAAAAUGGACCGAAUUUGCAAAAACGAAAAAGGUGACCCGAUUUUGCAAAAGUCCAAAAUAAGUGAAUUUUUUAUGCAAAUUGGCCUUUCUUUUUUAAAGUUUAUAGUAUUACUCAUUCAGUCGAUAAAAUUUGAAUGGCUUUUUGUUAAUAAAAAAAGGUUAUUUAAAAUUUAAAAUUUAAAUUAUAUUUGAGAGUGGUGUGCUGUGGCCCAGCAAUCCAACAUCCUCAAGCCUACGUGGCUAUGUCCACGUGGAGCACCCCAAUUGGUUCGCACACGCGUCUUAGUCCCUGCGUUUUCCCGAAACUCCAAAACCGAGCUCGCGCUUCGACGAUCUUCGUCCCUUCCUACUGCGAUCGAGAGAAAAAGAAAAAAAAAGAAAAAGAAAAAAGAGAGAGAUCGAAAUUAUUAAGAGCUGCGAAAUGCUCGUCGCCUCUUCCUUCCUCCUCCUCCUCAUCCUCUCCUACGCUUCCUCUGCUGCAUCGCUCUACUCCCCCUCCUCCCCCGUGCUCCAACUCACCCCCUCCAACUUCAAAUCGAAGGUUGUCCCCCGAUCUGAUCCCACUCUGCUUUUCGAUCUCUUCUUCUUCGAGCUCCUUGCGAUUUGAGUGCUGAAUCGAGGGUUUUGGUGCUAGGUUUUGGGAUCCAAUGGGAUCGUCUUGGUGGAGUUCUUCGCGCCCUGGUGCGGCCAUUGCCAAGCCCUAGCUCCCGCGUGGGAGCGCGCCGCCACCGUCCUCAAGGGCGUCGCCACCGUCGCGGCCGUCGACGCCGACGCUCACCAAUCGCUCGCUCAGGUGUGGAAUCAUCGCCAUGUUUGUGCUUAAUUUUGUGGUGUUGUUUAUUUGUGAUUGUGAUUGUGGUGGACUAAUAUGAAUCGGAGAAUGUAUGCAUCGCAUGUCGAACUUUAGUCUGUAGAUUUAGUAUCGGUGAGUUGCUUGAUCAGAGCGGUCGCUUUGUUACCCAACAUUUUGGGCAAAUUUGAUCCUAUUAAUGUAGCGGCAAAUGCAAAUAUAUUCCUGUGAAACUGUUGCAAGUUGACUUCAAUUGAGUAUUAUGAAUGGGUGAAAUUAUGCCUUGUACGUCAAACUGUAGUUGAUAGACCGCAUCAGCUAGUUGCCUAGUCUGUUCUUGAACUUCUUUUAGGAUUUUUGAAGGAUUUAUGAUUCAGGGUUUGCAUAAAACAGGAGGUUGAAUAGAGAGACAAUUGAAUUGAAAAAUGAGAGUAAAGUAUUUAGGCGGACACUUAUUAUGGUGGAAUAGCCAUUUUUGCAAGGAAUAUUCGACUUUACCUGGUGAACUGAAGAAGAGGAAUUGCAAAUUUUGAACAUAGAGAGGGAUAUAUUUGAUAAUUUAACUUUUGAAUGACAAAUCUGCAAUUUCGAUACAUUUGGAUUACAUAAGAUAGCUACCUCAAAAAUUUACUGUUCCUCAUUCAUAUAUUAAUUCUGUUGCAACUUUUUUGUUCAACUUUAUUUUAAAUUCAUUGUUUUUUCCUACAUGAUUUGGUGCUGUUUUGAUGACUUAACUCUGCAUGGUUAUAUUGCUGGAGCAGACUAUAAAUUAAGAAAUUGUCAAAAAUACACUUCUGGCAUCACAUUAAAAGCUUUUACGUCCUGCCAUACCCUUUUCUAUAUUUGAAUAAAUGGAAGUGACAAUGCAUGAUAUAUAUGCAGGAAUAUGGAAUUCAAGGAUUCCCUACAAUCAAAGUGUUUUCACCUGGUAAGCCUCCAGUGGAUUAUCAAGGAGCGAGGGAAGUAAAGCCAAUUGCAGAAUUUGCUCUAAAACAGGUUUUGAAACUCAGAACAAAUCCUUUAAAUUCUUUCUAUUUAAUGAACCCACCAUAUGGUCUUCUCUUCUAAAAGUUUCAUUAGUCAUUGGAUUUUUGGUCUCUUUGUAUCUUGCACCAGAAUCAUCUUAUUGUAUGUCUCUUUAAUCUAAUUAUUAUUAUUAAUAGUAGCACUAUCUAGAUGUAUGGCAUGCUACCAUUCUGUUCACAGAAAAGCCUUUUAACUUGUCGAAAAUUUUUGAUAUUUUGUUUACAUUGAGCUUUAGGGGAAAUCGCUAUUUGGUAUUCAUUGAUUUUGAAAUUACUGGCAGCAUUCUUCAGUCAUACAUGUAUGGGAAGCGCAAAGAGUCAAUGCAAGUGUCAUAGCAAUUUUGUUGCUUAGCUGCUUUUGUCCCCCUCAAUUAUUUACAAAUACAUGUAGGAGUUGUGUAAUAAUUUUUGUUUCAGCCUUUGGGUAGUUAGCUUAGAUUAGGUUCAUAAGGAAAAGUUGAUCGUAACUUGCACUUAUUGAAUCCUCCAUGUAAGUCGGCUAGUUUAUUUAAGUUUGCUAGUUUAAUUCCAUAUGAAAACCUUAUGUUAACUACCUGUCAAUCGCAAAAUUCAUCAUAAAUCCUAACUAAGGUGGGUCCAGUAACUCCAGUUUGUAACACUUUGGUGAUAGUUAUUGGUCGACCAUAUAGACUUUUUUUUUUUGUUUCAUUUGAGGCUCAAACCAAGAUGCUUUCGGUUGGUUGACUUUCCAUGGUAGUAUUGUUAAUAAUUCACAUGAUGCCAGAGUAGCUUUUUCGUCUAUCAUAUGAGUACAAAUAAAAAGAAAUUAAUCUUAUUCACAGGUUAAGGCACUCCUGAAGGAAAGGUUGGAGGGCAAGACUUCAGGAGGUUCAAAUGAGAAAUCUGACACAAGCGCUUCAAUUGAACUGACUUCUCGUAACUUUGAUGAGCUUGUCCUUAAAAGUAAGGACCUCUGGAUAGUGGAGUUCUUUGCACCAUGGUAUGCAGCUUUGAAACACAUGCAACAGUUAUUGUGUUAACAGUAAAUCGACUGAUCUUAAUGUCCUUUCUAUGUAUGCCUGUUAACCGUAUUUGUUCUUCCAAACUAAUUGCUAAUUUAAGGAUUAUAAUGCUUUAAUUGAGUGGAGUAUAAUAAUAAGCUAUUCAAUCAAUUUGUAGACGCCAAAAAAGUUUAUGUAUGCAAGUGCUUGACAUUUUUAACUAAGGAAGGUCAAACUUUAAAUUUCAAUGAUGGAGGAAUAAAAAAAAUCUCCAUUCCUUGAGCAUGAAAAGUGCUUUAUAUUAGAAACUUUGAUACCUUUUUUCUGUCAUAAGGAUUUCAAAUAUGGCUUAGUUGUUUGGUUGUUUUGCCUCCUUUUUUUAAAACUAUUUUCAGGAUAUUAAGCUUUCUCCCGGUAGUUAUGCUUUUUUUUCAGUUUUUUUUUUUUCCUUUUUUGUUGCUUUUCAAACUAACCAAAUUACAAUCUCAAACAGUUAGUUCUGGAGAAUAUUAUAUUCUAACAUGUGAGAUUGAUAUUUACACCUAAAUUUCUUCAUGCUGUCACAUGUUGAAGACGAUAUUGUUGCAUGCCAAUUAACAUGCUUUUAGCUUUUAUUUCUCGAUUAAGGCAGCCAGAUGCAUGAGACAGCUUCUACUUUAGGAUCUGGCAACAUCUGUAUUUUAUUAUUUAGAGGGUCUUUUUUUCAUGAUUGAAGAUUUAUGGUGCUUAGACUGCAAAGGGUUAACGAACUAUUGCUCCAAGGCCUGCCCUCUAAAUUGAUGUGCUCAUAUAAUUAAGGCUUAGUUUGGUAUUGAGUUUUAUCUAACGCUAUUUGAUAGAAUGGAGUUGAGAAAAAGUAUAUAGGGAUAUGCUUCUGCGUUCUCCGAUGGGAUCGCAGAAAAUAUAUCGUAACCGACUAACCGCAAUAUGCGGAACGCAAUAUUACGUACGGAAACAAACAAGGUAUUUUCCCUUCGUCGUUUCUCACCGCAUGUAAUGCAAUCUCUCUGCAAUCCCAAACGAAGCCUAAAUUGAUUCCAUUUGUUCCAGUCCUAAGAUUAGCUUUUUCUGUUUCAGGUGUGGGCAUUGCAAAAAAUUGGCACCAGAGUGGAAAAAAGCUGCAAAUAACUUGAAGGGCAAGGUGAAACUGGGCCAUGUUGAUUGUGAUGCUGAAAAGGUACGUUAAUCUACAGAUGAGGUUUGUGACGAAUUACAUUAGAUUAUGUGGUUAUGAUAUUGAUGAUACUUUUGGAAAUCACAAAGGCGUUAUCUAGCUAGGAAAAUCAUAAUUGUUCUUUUUCACCCUCGUAUUAUUAAAACAAACAGAUGAGUUUGUUCCGUAAGCUGAUAUGCAAAUUUCUCAGUCCUUAAUGAGCAGGUUCAAUGUACAAGGAUUUCCUACCAUUUUGGUAUUUGGUGCUGACAAGAGCAGCCCUUUUCCCUACGAGGGAGCUCGAGCCGCAGCAGCAAUCGAGUCAUUUGCACUGGAGCAGCUGGAAACCAAUGUGGCUCCACCUGAAGUGACUGAGCUCACUGGCCCAGUAUGAAUUUCUAUCAUUGAUUUAUAUUUGAAGAACAUGCUAAACUUUGGCUACUGCAUAAUCUCACUCAUCUUUUCUGUAGGAUGUGAUGGAAGAGAAGUGUGCGUCAGCUGCCAUAUGUUUUGUGGCCUUCCUCCCUGACAUCCUGGACUCAAAGGCAGAGGGAAGAAACAAAUAUCUUGAGCUUCUAUUAUCUGUUGCUGAGAAAUUCAAACGGAGCCCCUACAGGCAAGUGCUUAUUUAGAAAGCACUUUGUUGCUUCCCUGAAUUAUGAAGUUAUUGGUUUGUAUCUUUUUGAACUCAUAAAUUUUAUACAAGUUGCAACAAGAAGGGGGGAGAAAAUUGCUGAAGCUGAACUUGUAGCUUUAAAUUGAAGCAUUUGCAUUUGGGGCCUUGAAGCUCAUUUCGCGUUCCGACCUAAUUGGCGCACUAAUAUGCAGCGACUAUAUGUUUCCUUUAGAACUUGCUACAAAAGCUUGGCAAUUAAAAAACAUUAUUUCUUCUAAAUCUCGAAUUCAUGAUAAUAUGCUAAUUAUUAUAUAAACUAAGGUAGUGUUGCUUUGCAGCUUCGUGUGGGCAGAAGCUGGCAAACAGGCUGACCUUGAGAAGCAGGUUGGAGUUGGCGGCUAUGGUUACCCAGCUUUGGUAGCUCUGAAUGUUAAGAAAGGUGCAUACGCUCCGCUAAAAAGUGCUUUCCAGCAUGAUCCAAUAAUGUAAGCUCCCCUAUCGAAGUAUUCUUUUGUUUUCUUUGUUUAUAGAAGUUGUUUAAUACGUCCCUCGGCAGAGAACGACUUACUAAAACUUUGUCUCCAGUGAAUUUGUGAAGCAAGCCGGGCUUGGCGGCAAGGGGAAUCUACCUCUAGAGAAAACCCCCACCAUUGUUCAAACAGAACCAUGGGAUGGCAAAGAUGGCGAGAUCCUUGAAGAGGACGAAUUUUCGCUCGAGGAGCUCAUGCGAGAUGACACUGCAACGAAAGACGAGUUGUAACAAACGAUCAUUUCCGCAGGGACGAAGGUGUGAGGAAGUGUGCUCGAAUCUCUCGGGAUUAUUUGCACUGCUCAUGCAGUUUUACACUUAGCUCUCCAAAGACUCGAGUUCUUUUUAGCUAUGUUUAUCUUUAAUAUCAAUUGACAAAAGAACAUUCCCUUUUACGGGGUGCAGAAUGAAACAAAAGGUUAAAUCCAGCAUGAGUUUUAUUAUAAACUUAUAACUCUUGUAGUGAUUUUAUGUUUUUAAUGGCGACGGCGCGAGUUUUUAUUUGAUACUAGUGUGGUGUAGAUUUUGGAAUCAAGUAGGUAUAAUGUAGUAAAUGCCAGCAACACGACCCACAAAUCUAGCAUGCUUCUGUCCACAGAGAUUGUUGAUAGGUUGGUAUCAAUGUAGAAAUUUUUAAUUGAUUAAUACAUUGUCUUCUAUUAUAUAGAUUUGCUAAAUGUAUCAAUAGCUCAAGAGAACUCUUCCGCAGGGUACACAAAAACAUAUGCUUUGCGUAUUCUUUUUUAUUUUCUAUAUGUGAUGUUCGGGGCUGAUAUAAUAUUGAUACUGCAGAAAUUGUUAGUCCUAAUGAAAUUCGGCGUUUCUCUCGACGUCGGCACCGUAUUUGUCUACGCGGCCUACGACUUCCCCCUGUUUGAGCGGUGGCCCCGCGAACGCAUUAUACAAGCGAUCCAGCGCCAACAGGAUGGUCUUAUCGUCACCGUCGAUUGAACCGUCCAAACCACUCCAAAACCCUAAAGAGAAAGAAAAUAAGCCCACAGCCACCCCUCGAGAACACGCACUCUUUCUCUCUCGAACCCUAAUUCCCCUUCCACCCUCGCCCUCUUCUCCCUCUCGCCAUCGCGGAGAUGGCCCCGAAACGCCCCGCCGCUGCGGACCCCGAAUCCUCGUCCUCCGAGGAAGACGAGCAAGAGGAGGAAGAGGACGUGAACCUCUCCUCCCCUCCCCCCAGGAAGCCCCCCUCCUCGUCCUCCUCCAAGAAGCCCGAGAACCCCUCCUCGAAGCCCCCUCGCAAACCUAGCGGCGACGAGGACGAGGAGGACGACGACGAGGACGAUGGCUCCGGCUCCGACGACUCCGAAGACGACGACGACAAGAGCAAGAAGAAGCCCCCUCCCCAAUCCCAAUCCCAAUCCCAAUCCCAAUCCCAAUCCCAGUCCCAACCGCAACCCCAACUCAAACCCCACCAACCCCCGAGGAAGACGACGAGGAGCCCCCCCCGGCCCAGCGCCCGUCCCGCGGCGUCGACCCCUCGAUCAAGCCCAUCAGCUCCCGCCCCAUGGACGCCUCCCCCAAGCCCAAGAAACCCUCCUCCUCCCCCUCCGAGCCCCCUUCCAAGAAGCCCAAGAGCUCCUCCUCCGACGCCCCCCCUUCGGAGCAGAAGCGCCAGCUCUUCCAGCGCCUCUGGGGCCCCGACGACGAGAUCGCCGUCCUCCGCGGCCUCGCCGAGUACCGAUCCAAGAAGGGCUCGCUCCCCUCCUCGUCCCAGGACGUGGACGCCCUCCGCGGCCACAUCCGCGGCGCCCUCCAGCUCGAGGUCACCAACCAGCAGCUCUCCGACAAGAUCCGCCGCCUCAAGAAGAAGUUCGCCACGAACUCCGCCCGCGGCAGGAGCGGCGCCGACCCCAAAUUCACCAAGGACCACGAGCGCGCCGCCUUCGAGAUGUCCAAGAAGAUUUGGGGCGCGGCGAGCAAGAGCUCCCCCUCCGCGAAUGCCGCGGCGGAUGCCGACACCGACGAGGAAAAGAGCGAGGAGAGCGACGACGAGGCGGGCAGCGAGCAGAACGCCAAGGAGGAGAACAACAACAACAGGACGCGGCUUGCGGCGGUGGCGUCCGUGGCCAACGGCAAAGCGGAGCACGAAAGGGGGAAGUUUCCGCUCCCGUACCUCAAGGAGGCGGUCGACGAGCUCGCCAAGGAGCACCCUUGCGGGGCCGCCUUCAAAAGGGCUUUCGAGUUCCUCGACGAGCCAAAGGCGAAGGGGAUGGAAGAGAAGCUCAAGAAGCUUAGAAUGGAGGAGAUCAAGCAGCAUUUGCGGCGGAUGGAUCUGAUGAAGGAGACCGUGAAGAUGAUGCUCGAAGCUCUCGCAAAAUCUGAUUGAUGGGCAAGUUGGAAAUUCCUCCUCCUCUGUUCUCUCUUUCCUUUUGUGCAAUUACUCUUUCUAGUUCUUGUUGAUGGACUCGUAAGUGCUUUGUAGGUUGAUGGGAUUUUCCGCCUAAAAUUUCUCUGCUUCUGUAUCGCUUAGAUAUGUCCUUGUUCUUGUUACAUAUAGCAAGAUGUGUCUUAUUCCAUGGAUCUUCACUCACUAAUGUUUAGGAACCGGCGAUUUAUUGUUAAAGUAUUUGGUUUACUCCUGUUCCUCAUCUGAAGUAUAGUCAUGAAUUUACAUCUUGUUCGGGAUGUUUUCUUAAAUCACUAAUUUGCACAAAUUAGUAUUUAUUUAGUGGGUGUUAUUUCAAUUGAUUUGUGAUGAUUUUAGAAUGAUUUCAGUAAGCGUAAGUAAAUCUGAUGGUUGAAGUCUUGCUAUCGUUUAUGUUUCUCACACAUGGUUUUUUGGGUAUGUUAUGAAACUAAGAACAGAGCAUGGAAAGUAAACAUGGAAUUCAAUCCAACACCAUUCAUUCCAAACAAAAGAAUUCAGGCCCAAAAUCAGUUCACUUGAAUUCAAGAAAUUUACAAACCAAUUCAAUUCCAUCUUGAUUUGAUACCAAACCUCUUGCUAAUAUUGAAAUGACUAUCAAAUAGUGUAUGUUUGUUUUUUUUUUCUCUUGCCAUAUUAGGUUUUAUGCCAGUUUUACAAGUAUUAAUUAAUCUGAAGAUCCUGUAAAUCUUUACUAGAUAAAAGAUCUUAUUAUGUAAUUUCUGUGUACUGUGGGAUUAAGGUAUUACAAUUGUAGUUGUGAGCUCUUUUUUUUUUUUUUUUUUUUUUGAAACUACACUGAAAUGCAUUGCCUAUUCAACCCCAUUUUAUUCAACUCCAUUUCGUAGGGAAUAGUUCAGACGNUUUUUUUCUUUUUCUGCAUUAUUUUAUUGUAGUUCACUGUACUUAUGAAUCAUUACGUUUGUACUGUUUUGUGUAUUCUUUAUUUGUUGCUCGAGGUAUCUUCUGGGUUUUGCGCUAAUUAAGUUGUACUGUGAGUGCAGGUACGUAAAAUUUGUUUGGAUCAAUGAAUAGGUAUACCAUGUUAUCUAGUCAUCAUAGUAGUUUUCUCUCAGUCCAAUUGUGCUCUCUCAUAUAUCUAGGAAACAGUUUAAAUUUGUUAGCAAGCAAUUUGGCCAUAGAAAAUUUGUUUGAAGUUUUCUAGUAUUUAAAGGAUUGCUUAAAAUGUGAAAUGGGUUUCUUUCUCGGAUAGGUUUUGGGAGAAACUUACGAUUUCCGAUACUUCUGUAUAUCUUUAUUCAUGAUAUUAGCAAAGUUUAGCCAUCAUUUCUGGUAUCUCAAGUUCUCAACCAUGAGAAUGCCUUCAUUUUAGAGAACUAAUUUUACUGUCAUUUUUUAUUUAAGGGAACUUAGCCUCCGUUUGGUUCGGGGUUAAGGAAAAAAUAACUAUUCCAGAAAUAGAGUUAAGUUCAGGGUUAAAGUGGGGUUAAACUUUUUUUGUGUUUGGUUGGGGGUUGGAGUUAGUCUAGAAUAAUGAAAAACAGUGUUUGGUUGGAGUAGGUGGGAUAAGAAGAUAAUGAUUGAUAAAGAAGGAUAAUGAUUGGUUGGAGUAGGUGAGAUAAGAAAGAUAGUGGGUUAUUAUGAAUAAAAAAUAGUGUUUGGUUGGAGUUUGGUGGGAUUAGGUGGGGUUAGCUAAUCCGGGAUAAUUUAUUUGAGGUGGGGUUAGGUGGGGUUAGCUAACCCCACCUAUUUUUUAGGAUGUUUGGGGAUAAUAUAGGGGUUAAGGGAUUAUUCCACCCCUUAACCCCCAACCAAACAAGGGCUUAGGGAAUAAAGGUAGAAUAUUUUUACAAGUAAACUGAGUCUUUUUUACUUUCCCUGUGGGACAUCCGAAUCAAGGAUCAAUAUGUUGAUCGUAUGUUAUAUACGAUUUAGGCUAUUUGUAAUUCUGGAAUCUGCUUUUAAUUUUUAGUAGUAGUCUAGCUUUAUUGGGAGCUCAUAUAUUCCCAAAAGGAUAAAUAAUUUUACAUGUGCGCUGAUAUGUAACCUCCCUGUAAAAGUAUGAAUAUUGUCAUCAGUUAGAGGGACUCGAAAUUGGAUUCUGAAGCUUGAGUUGAUAUAAGAUCUGUUCUUUCGGAAUUCCAUAGAUCUGAUCCUGUACUUUCUAUCUUGGGAUGAUUGAUUGAUGUGAAAUAUUCAAAGUUUCCCGGCUCCAGGUUUAUAAUUUUUGUAAUGAUCUACUCUCUUCUCUUUUUUGUUGGGAGGUAAAGGCCCUUAGGCAUUAUUAAUUAGUUUUGUUAAAAGUUCAUUAAAUUUAAUAUUUUAAUUAUUUCUUACUAGUUAAUUGUUGUUGCUUUAUUUAUUUAAAAAAAUAUAUAUAUAACCUUUAAAUUUGAUGAAAAUAGGUGAUAAAAUUUGAUAAAAUUUUAAUUUAUUGGGAACUUUUGCUCUCUCUUUUUUUUAAAUAUUAAAAAGUUUAAAAGAAUUGAUUAAACUCUAUGGAGUUUUUAAGGAUAAAGGGUUGUAAUCAAUGUCAAAAUAGCUUAUAAUUGACUGGGCUUUCAUGCAAUUUUACCCAGCCUGUAUGAACAAAAGGAGAUAUAAAACGAUCAGUGAUUAUUACCUCCUCUUACCCGUGAAUUUGAAGGGGGUGUUCGAGAACCACGUUAAAUUUCUUUUUACUAAAUACAUGUAGCAUUAUAUUAUUAGAUCUAAAAAAACAUAUAAAAACAGGAAAUAGAGUGCAAAUCUCUGAGUUCUUGUUUGUUUCAUCAAAGGUGGAAACUCAUGUUGAAAUAAACUUUUCAACAAACUAAAGUUCAGGUAACGAUUACUCCAUUUUUGUUGUUUGUUUGUAUUGCUAUGGAUCUAAAGUCUUUUUAGUUUUACUGGUUUGUUUGUAUUGCUAAAGUUUUUUUAGUUUUACUGGUUGCUUGGCAGGAACUAGGAAGUUGAUAUGCUAAUAUUUAUUAUAGUUUUGGUUAAAAUAUAUAGACACUCCUGAACUUUACCCCAUUUAGAAAUUGAUCCCUAAUUUUUUUUAAAUUUGAAUUACACUCCCCUACUUAUUAAUUUAAGCUCUCUUCUUUGCAAUUUUUGAAAUUCAGUUAAAAUGAAAAAAAAAGGCCAAUAAAAUACAAAGCAAUAAAAUACAUUUGCAGUUUAAAUUUGAUCAACAUAUGAGAUCCAAGUUCGAAUCCUAGUUGAUUCACAUUUUCAGCUUCGUUUAUUUCUAAAUGAAAUAAACGAAGCAGGUACCGUGCUACCUAUCUCUCUCAAAAAAAAAUUUGAUCAACAUAUUUUAGUUAUAAUUAGUAUAAAUAUAAUGCCCAUAAAAUAGUGGGUUAUAAGUUAGGAAGUUAAACAAUAUUAAGUAUAUUAGAAUUUACAUAAAAAUUACAUCUUAGAAAGUUAAUGGUCCUUCAAUUUUUCUAAAAUACUACUUAUUUAUUGGCUUAUCAAGAAAAAUUCGACUGAAACAAUAAAUCCUAAAAUUACUGAAGAAGCGUUUAAAUCAAACUUUUAGUAAGUAGAGAGGCUGUAAAUCAAAUAAAAAAAAUUCAGGAGGUAAUUUCAAAUUCUGCUAAAAUUUAGAAGUUGUCUAUACAUUUUUAACCUUUUUUUUCUUCACAUAUUUUUUUUCAUAAGUAAUUUCUCUCUAGAAUGAGUCUGAGACAAUUAUAAUUUUUUUAAAAAUUUAAAUUUUAACUGAAAAUAAAGUUAUGACUUAAAGUGAAAGAAUACACAGGUACUCCAAUUUGGUCUGUUUGGUUAAGGAAUAAAGCGGGGAUAACGAAAGUUAUUUCUACUAUUACAUCAAUCGAGUGAUUUUUAUCCAAAAUUUACUGUUUUUGACUAUUCCAACAUAACUUUUGAUAAACUAUUCCAUUUUUUUUUUUGGAUAAUAUUAUUUUAAUAUUUAAUUUUAAGUUUUAUUAAAAUUAUAAAUUGAAUUAAAAUUAAAUAAUGUAAACAUAAUAUAUUCUAUAUGAGCAAUGCUACUAACACAUCCCAAAAUAGGAACUAGGCUGGAAUACUAUCAAUAUCACAAAUCUAUUGGUUCUAUUAGUUUUUUAACCUUUGGAUUGAAAAAUGUACGGCUAGAAUGACGUGGGCCCCCUAGGGUUGAGUCGGUGGUUGGUUGAAUAGUAUAAUCUAAUGGGUAAAAAUAAUCAAAUGGUUAAAUCUAAGGGUUAAAAAACUAAUAGCACCAAUAAGUUGAUGCUAUCGAUAGUAUUCCAGCUGAACUCUCCAAAAUAGAAUAUACAUCUUACACCCACUAUAUCUAAGGGCUAAAAAUUAUUUAGAUUUUUGUGAAUCUUAGGAUGGAGCUGUAAGAUCUACACUCUUCAAAACACAACUAGAAUUUCUCAUUAUAUAUUAUAAUAAAUUAUUUUUAUUAUAAAAUUAUUUAUAAUAAAUUCAACUCUUAUUUUCUUUCACUAUUCUCUACUAUUCUAUCAAAUUAAUCAUAUAUAAUAAUUUUAGUUAUUUUUAAAAAUAGCAGCGUCAUCAACUAAAUAAGAUUUUAAUUUUAUUGCUGAAUAUUUCAAAAUUAUUUGAGAGGUAAAAAAUUAUAUCUAAUAUUCUUAAUCCUUGGGAAAAAAAAAGAUAAAAAAAAAAAACGGGGCCUAAAAGAUCGGCAUUUGCGCUCGCCUCCCCAGUUCCCAGUUCCCACUCCGCACUUCUCUCCACCAUCCAACCAACGCUCUCCACCCGACGUGGUCCGUUUCUACCCAUACAUACAUAAAUACAUCAUAAUACAUAACACACAUAACACAUAACACAUAACACAUUACAUCAACACCGCUUCCUCUCUCUCUCUCUCUCUUUCUCUCUCUUGCUCACCGCUCGUCUCCACCUUCCUCGUCCACACACGCGCGCGCACACAAACCCACGCCCAAGAGCGUCCAAAGAAGGGGGUGGGGUGGCGGGGGGGGAGGAGGAAUCGAUCGAUCGAUGGGGGACUCGUCGGUGGGCGCCCUCGUCCCCUCCGUGGUGAAGGCGGAGGCGGCGGCGGCGGCUCCCGCGACCUCCGCAUCCGCCCCGGCGCCGUCCUUCUCGGAGACCACGGACGCCGCCGGGGGCGCCGCGGCGGCUGCGGCGGCGGCGGCGGCGGCGGCGGCGGAGGAGGAGAGGGGCCCGGCCAUGGCGGUGGAUGCGGCGGCGGCGGCGGCGGAGCUCGACAAGGACCUGCUUUGCCCCAUAUGCAUGGGGAUGAUCAAGGACGCGUUCUUGACCGCGUGCGGCCACAGCUUCUGCUACAUGUGCAUCGUCACCCACCUCAACAACAAGAGCGAUUGCCCCUGUUGUUCUCACUACCUCACCAAGAACCACCUCUUCCCCAAUUUCCUCCUCGAUAAGGUUUGAAUUUGUCCCUAUAAUUUGUUUCUGAGUUCAAAUUGGGUUUUUUGAGUGAGGUGCGGUUGGAAUUUUUGUAAAGAUCGCAUCUUUCUUGAUCGUGUGGGCUUAGAACUCGUCUCCCUUUUUCUCUGAUCUGGUCUAUGGUGCACUUGGUGAAUCCAUUUUUGGGAUUAUACCUAUACAAGUGAACGAACUGCUAAUGCACAAAUAGAGGCUAAGAAUUUCACACCAAUUUGAACAAUUACUUGUGCACUAUAGAUUGAAUUGUUGAAUAAUCAGGGACAAGGGUGACCAAACUACUACUUGGUCGGAUUGGUAUGUAAUUCUUAGAAUUGAAUGAAAGUAGGCAUGCGUAUUAGAAAUCCACCUAGUAUGUUUUACAAGUAUUGAAGGAGGAAAGAAAUCUCAAUUAAAGUGUUCAUUUGACUUGUAUGGUAGAUUGGUGCUUAAAGCAGUAAUUUCUUGUAGGUACUGAAAAAGACCGCAGCCCGUCAAAUUGCAAAAACUGCAUCACCUAUGGAGCAUCUUCGUCUAGCACUGCAACAGGUCAGUGGUUACUUCACAUUGAUACAUGGGUGUUGCUGGUGCACAAUGUUGGAAGUGCUGCUAUGAAACUUCUGUUCCGUAUACUAAACAGGGAUUUAUCAUGUUUUGGCACAUAUCAGGAGGUAGUAUGGAGUUUUUGCUAUCUUGCUUUGUGCUGAAAUUCUUGCCCAUGGCUUCAUAUAUGAUGGUUAAUAAUAUGUUCAGCUGUUUGAGUAUGACUAAAAUUUACACUUUUCGAUACCUAUUUUUUUUAUAAUGACAGGAUUUUAGAAGAUUCUUCUAUCAUAAGUUUUCUUACUAUAUUUACAGCCUUUGAGCAAACGAAGUGAGAGACUAACAUCAUUCAGCUCUAUGGCAUGUAGAACAUUAUACUUUUAUGUAUACCUUAGUUGGAUUUUUAUCAUUCAACAUUUGGCGAUGUUUGCAUCUUUCUCUAUCUUGGUAUUACUUUUGUUUAAUGUAUUAUCCGAUAGAUUGUUUAUUUAUUUUUUUAAUAACUAUUCUACUGAAAUCGGUGAAUAUAUUCAUCACUCAUGUGACAGUCCAUAUAUGCAGGACUUUUUUCUAGCUUCUCAGCUUCCAUCUACUAGGUUUACAGCCUUUUUUCAUGUUUGUCAUACUGUAUGGAGACAACAGCCAUUGUUUUUUUCUAUGGGUCAAUCCAAAACAACCAUAAGGCUAUCUUUAAAGUUGUGAUAAGACUCUCUGACCCAUCAUAUCUCAUAAUGCUUAGAAUAUCUGUGUUCUUCAGCGGAAUGGAAGCCUGUUCACUUUUUGUUAUCUGGAAGAAACUGUUCUCUAACUUUUCUCGGUAAUGUUUCUAGUGUUGUGGGCAACUGAGCAUGCCAACUUCCAUCCUAUAUAGAAUUUAUUCUUAAAUGAAUUAAUUUAAGUGGGAGUGUCAGUCCAGGUGCCGGAUUUGUGCUUGGAGAUUACUAUAAGCAAUUUCUUCUUCGAAUAUUGGUCGGAUGGUUGGUUGGUUGCUUGGAUAGCUAAUUAUAGGAAAACUAGUCCAUUCGAUGUUAUAUCGAUCCGGUCGAUCUUUUUUGUGAAACAAGGUUUUAAGUGCCCGUCGGCACGGGCCGUAUCCACUGUACCGCACCAUGCCAAUAAUAUACCGGCACGAUACAGAUCCCGUGCCAAUGGCAUAGCUCAAAACCCUCUAUUCUUUAAAUUAGUAAGUAAUUUUCUCAAUAAAGUUCAAAAGAUGUGAUAAAAAGACAUAAUAAAUAGUUAGAAUAUUUUGUUGCUAAAGAAAAUAAAUAUUUCAUGCUAUUAUGUGUCGGCACACAAGAAUUUUUUUGACCGGCACGCAUCAGCACGGCUUGGCGCGCAUCGUGCCGUACUGUGCCGGCAAGUUUCCGGCACGAUCCCGUGUCACGGCACUUAAAUCCUUGUUGUGAAAUUAUAUCGCUUUGUUGCUGAGUAUCUGCAAUUUUAUUCAAAAAGACCAUAGCUUUAGUAACUUUUUAUCAGUAAUGUUCAUGCAGAGGAACUGCAUGUGUUUCAUCAAUUGAAAUUCAACUGUUACCAUUAUUGUAGUCAAGUAGAAUAUUAGUCAUCUUAAAAAUCACGGAUCAUCUUUUGCAGACUUAGAUGGCUCUUUUCUUGUAGACAGGGAUGUGAAAUGUCAGUUAAGGAGCUAGAUGGCCUGUUAAGACUUCUUGCUGAGAAAAAGAGGAAAAUGGAACAACAAGAGGCCGAGACAAACAUGCAAAUACUGCUUGAUUUCUUGCAAUGCCUGAGAAAGCAAAAACUAGACGAGUUGAAUGAGGUUUGCUUUUGUAAAUUUGAUUUUGUUUCUUUUGUAGGCCUUCUGUAUUUCCACCUUCUGUGGCUAUCUUAAAAUCUGAAUUUUCAUAUACGCACUUAAAAAACAUAAUUUCUCAACUAUGUACCAUUCUACUUGCAGAAGAGACCCUCUUUGAAAUGCUUUUUUGCAUAUGAAACCAACCUCCCCUAGUGGGUCGGGGUGAGUCCCCAACUUAUAUGUUGAAACUUAGAUUUACAGUGCUAUAUGUUGUAUUAGAUAAUAAUUUUGUCAAGAUGUAUAUGUAAUAUAUCACUGGUGUUAUUUUAAAACUUUUUGUUAUCUUUUCUUAAUGUUUCUUCGUAGGCCAGUUAGUUCUGCUUCUAAUCUAUAUUGUGAGGCUAGCGUAUCGUACUGGAGUGUAAGUUCAUAUCCCUUUGGUUCUGCAGGUGCAAACUGAUCUACAGUACAUCAAAGAAGAUAUAAGUGCUGUGGAGAGGCACAAAAUAGAAUUGCACCGUGCCAAAGAGAGAUACUCCAUGAAAUUGCGCAUGCUUUUGGAUGAUCCUGUUGCAGCGAAGAUGUGGCCUUCCACAGCUGACAAGAAUAGCAAUCUCUUUCUCUCCAAUGCUCGCAACUCUCUUGUUGGUGUUUGUUCUGGAAAUUUACAGGGUAAGAAAGUUGACAUGAAGGCCCAAAAGAACAAUCAAGGCUUCCAAAGAAGAGAUGGUUUUACCGGUUCAGAGCCACCAAAUCCUCUAAUUCAAUCAGGAGUUGCCAUAGCUAGAAAGAGACGAAUCCAUGCACAGGUUUAAGUCUAUCAUACUUUUUAUUGGAGAUACUUUUUGUAGUAUCUCUCGUCAUUACUUAAGUUAAAAGUGAAUUUUAUAUUAUAUGUCCAAUUUUUUUUAAUAUUUUCUAAUUCUUGCACCUCAUAUUUUGUUAUCGAACUAAUAUAGUUCUUCCAAACUUCUAAAUGAUUAUACCUUUUCAGUAACAUAAUUACCUAAAAGUAAUCUUUGUUGUUCUUGUUUUGUUCGCUCUAAAUUGACCUUAAUUUAUGUACUAUUCUAAUCGUGCAGUUUAGUGAACUCCAAGAAUAUUAUUUGCAAAAACGGCGUCUUGGUGCAAAUCAACAAAGUAGACAAGAAGAAAGAGAGAUUAACAGUAUAAGCAAAGAAGGCUAUCAUGCAGGUCUUGAGGACUUUCAGUCUGUGCUGACAACAUUUACUCGAUACAGGUCCAGCAAUUAAUUGAGUUCUUAGUCAGGUUUUGAAUUUGAUGCUUUUUGCAUUUGGUUGAUAAAAAGAUCAUUGUACAUAUAUAUUUUUUUGCAUUAUUAAUUUCUAAGAUCCUAUUGUGAUUUAUUUCUCCCUGUUUUCUUUUUCAUUCUUGUACACUUUUGUAUAAUUCAGUCGCUUGCGUGUCAUCGCGGAACUUAGACAUGGAGAUCUCUUUCACUCAGCAAAUAUUGUAUCAAGGUGAGUAAACGGUGGAAAGAAUACUUUGAACUUCUGCAUAUAUCUUUUUUUUAGUGUUACUGUUUUUGUUCUUUAACUAGCUUUGCUGGUUUUGCCAUUAGGCUUGCUGCUCAUUUUACAAAUCUUGAUAUUAGAAUUGGCAUAUGUGGCUUUUAUUUUACAAGUUAAAAUGUGUUCAUGUUCCUUCCAUAUGUAGAUUAGUUUACAGCCUUGUAACUUAUAAAAGCUUUAUUGCUUUUUAAAAGCUUUCAGAAACCUUUCACCCGACAAUGGGCUUCCAUCAUUACUUCAAAGGAUCCAGCUGGGUUGAUACCUUUGAAUAUUUGAAUAGAUUACAAGUGCUUGGAGCUAGAAAAUUCAAAAGGAAGAGUUACUUGGCAUGCACCUUUAUAUCAGGCAAAGAAUAUAUUCAUGAACUAGUCAUCCAUCACACUUAUUUCCGUUACAUGCAAUGAAGUUAGUGUUGCUUGUUGUUAUUAAACCAAUCUGCGGGUAACAUGAAAUCCAAAAAGUUUACAAAAUGGAGCCUGAUAUAAUGUCUUAAUUAUGGGAAAUACGUUAUGAAAUAGAACACAACAUUUCUAGCAUUUCUUUUUAUUAUUUUAAAAAUAAAAAGAACAAUGAAAAAAAAAUAAAGUUUGAAAGGAAGAAUAUGUUAUGAAAUAGAACACAUUAUUGGCUUCAACUGUUAGUAGAUCUAAUAGAUCUCCUAGUAGAGAAGUAUAUCAACAUUUCUAAAUAUCUUUUAUUAUUUAAUUUUUUGAAUUAAAAAAAGAGAAUGAAAAAAUAAAAAAGAAAAAUUUGAAAAAAAAAACACUAUGGUUUAUGAAAUUAAACACAUUAUUGGCUUCAAAUGUUAGUAGAUCUAAGAGAUCUACUGCUAUCUCAACAUUCCUAUCCUUUUCUUUUAUUACUUUAAUUUUUGAAAAUUAAAAUAAUAAUAUAGUAAACUAAAUUUAAAAAAAAACAUUAUGCAAUAAAAAUAUUAUUAGCUUCAAAAGUCUAAAUGAUAGUAGAUUUAAGAGAUCAUUAUCUUGGCAUUUCAAAUCGUUUAUUUCUUAUUCUAAUUUUCAGGGUAUAAAAAUAAGAAAAAAGAAUAAUAAAAAAAGAAAAAAAAACUUGUAAAAAAAGAAUAACACAGAAUUGAAAGAUUUUUCAUUAACAGUCAUGAAGAAACCUAAAAAAUCUUGAUCUACAAAUUCUUAAGUUACAUGAUAGAAGUGGCCAAAAAAAGGCUAAAAAGACCAUAGAUCUAUAUCAUGAACAAGGUCAAUGUUAGAAAUUUUACCUUUAAACUUCUUCAAAUGCCAAAAUCCUAUUGUUUUCUGGAGGGAAUAAGAGAAAAAGAAAGAGGAGAUUUCUCUCUCUCUCAAAUUUCACAGCUAUGAUUAGGUCAAACAGGACCAAAAGCGGUCUUUACUGCCUACCUAUACACAUCAUUUGGAGGUCUGUGACCAUCAAAACGUUUCUUUCGACCACCAAAACUGGCAUGGGGCGACACAGAGUGGCACACCGUGAGACAUGGUGGUACACCCAGCAUUUCUGGGUGCCGGGCGACAUGGGCCUAUGUCAUGUGCUGGCACGCCAUUGGCAAGGUAUGGUACGGGCGGCACAGGCCUGUGCUGCUGGCACAGGCAAUCCUUGGUUUCAGACAAGGAAACAUCGAUGUCAAAAUCAUUUGAUAGUUACGAUCCACAGUAAUUGCAGCCCGUUUACAUUUUUGAGUUUCUUUCCUGCUUAAUUGCUAAGUCCAGAGCAAUUUUAUGAUACUUUUUAAGAUGCAGCAUAGAGUUUGAUCGUGAUGAUGAGCUGUUUGCCACUGCUGGAGUUUCAAAACGUAUUAAAGUCUUUGAAUUCUCCACAGUAAGCUUUUCUAUCUUCUUAUCUUGUAAGUACUAGUUUCACCCAAAGAUAUUAACCUCUUUAUCUUGUAUUUUCAACAGGUUGUAAAUGAACCGUCAGAGGUACACUGUCCUGUUGUAGAGAUGUCAACCCGGUCCAAACUUAGUUGCCUAAGUUGGAACAAGUACUCAAAAAACAUUAUUGCAAGCAGUGACUACGAAGGAAUAGUGACUGUUUGGGAUGUAAAUACUCGCCAGGUAUCUAUGUUUGUUUUCAACAGCCUUUCCUUUUCAAUUACCAUCUAAUCCCAUUUUUAGUUUCACUGAUUGCUACAAAUGUGGUGGGUAAGAAAUGUUCAUUACUCUGUAUAUCCAGAGCGUGAUGGAAUAUGAAGAGCACGAAAAGAGAGCAUGGAGUGUUGAUUUUUCACGCACAGAUCCAUCAAUGCUAGUAUCUGGUAGUGAUGAUUGCAAGGUAAUCCAAUACUGCAAAUGUUAUCUAUGUAUUACUACUACUAUUACAUCUUCCUAUGCCUCUUGACAUGUUAACUAUUACAACUGACGAAAUGUGACUUGUUAAUACUGAGACAUUAUCUUAUGUAGUACAUCUUAUCUGAUUUUUAUUUGGCUGCAUCUUACUCCUGACAAACAGGUCAAAGUUUGGUGCACAAAGGAAGAAGCCAGUGUGGUUAAUAUUGAUAUGAAAGCAAAUAUCUGCUCUGUCAAAUAUAACCCUGGAUCAAGCAUUUAUGUUGCUGUAUGUAACUAUAAACUGUUACUUGUUAUGUCUUUUUCUGUUAAUACUUAAUAAAGGCACCGGUAUAGAUAACAUCAUUUUUCAGGUGGGGUCUGCUGAUCAUCACAUUCACUAUUUUGAUUUGAGAAAAACAAGUGCUCCAGUCCACGUUUUUAGAGGGCACAGAAAAGCAGUUUCCUAUGUGAAGUUCUUAUCUACCAGUGAGCUUGCAUCUGCGUCAACAGAUAGUACAUUGCGCUUAUGGGAUGUAAAAGAUAAUUCUCCUGUAUGUGCUUUCAAAGUUGUCCUUAUCUGUGUAGUUAAUUUUAUAUGGCAAUCUUUAUUUUGCAAAGCUGUUUUUGUUUGCCACCUUAUCAGCAGCUUCUUUUGGUUAUUACCAUUUCCAGAUAGAACAAAAUAAAGUACAUGACUCGCAUCAUAUGGACUUGCACAAAUUUCCUAUAUUUCUCCCACGAACUCACAUGUGAGAUACAAAGAAAUUUUCUUCGUUGAAAGAAUUUUUCUACAUUAACAUACCAGUAUAUAGUUAGUGGAGUAAGUUCUGGAAGUUCAAUUUAGGUUGAAAUGUGUUUACUUCUGACUAGUCAAUAUGGCAAGAUGGAAAUUUGAUGCUGAAUCUUGUCGUUGCAUGCUUUCCACAUUUGGUUUUCUUGUUCUUGUAAACCACUCUUUCAUAGAUGGUUACCUCUAUCCAACCUUUAAUGAUUUGAGAUCCUCUAGCUUCUGUACCCUUGCGCAGUUAUUGUAAGUAAUAUCUAACAGUUCUUGGUUUUCUGGCUUUCAAUGUUAAUUCAGAUUUAGGAAAAAAGGGCUGAUAUCACAACUUAUUCUCUCAGGUACGCACAUUCAAAGGCCACACAAAUGAGAAGAAUUUUGUGGGUCUUACGGUAAAUGGUGAAUACAUUGCUUGCGGAAGCGAGACAAACGAUGUUUUUGUUUACCAUAAGGUUAGUCAAACAAACUUCUUAAUCUGCUUCCGAUGCCUCCCACAGUUGGCUCAAAUCAUUUUUGUUCCUCGUUUUCAAAAGCUCUCCUCUCUCCUUCGUAUUUUGCUAAGAGAGGUGGACCCCUCAUUCCAAACUAACUUGCAAACCUCGCAGGCCAUCUCUAAGCCUGCAGCUUGGCAUAGAUUCGUAUCGUCCGAUCUGGACGACGCGGAUGACGAUGCCGGAUCAUACUUCAUAAGUGCUGUUUGCUGGAAAAGUGAUAGCCCUACUAUGUUAACUGCGAACAGUCAGGGGACCAUUAAAGUUCUGGUGCUUGCUGCUUGAUUACCAAUGAGCUUUGUACCGAGGACAAAGCUCGCCUUCUUAUGAUUCACUUGUACAUUACAUGUACUUCGUAAGUGGCUUCGACACGCUUUUCUUUUAAUUUAUUUUCUCAUUCUUAUCUGCUAUUCUUAUAUGGAACAAGAAGGCCUUUAUCAGGUCAUCGAUCCUAGCAGCAGUUUUGAAGAUAAUCAAUCAGGUUUAGGCAGAUUAUGUACAUACAGCAACUUGGUUUACACAGUAUAUUAAUGCACUGUUGUUGAUCUGAUAUAUCAUGCAUUUAACAUUAGUGCAGGUGCUUCCAUUAGUAGUUUCUGAGAUUUUUGUUUUUCGUGGUCGACAAUUAACAAUCUUUUUCUCCAAUUAAAUGUGGACCGUGCUUCUGUGAUGAGAAAUUUUUAUCCAAUUCGCUCGUUGGCUUUGUGAUUGCGCGGGCUGAAAGCAAGAGUGGCUGAAUUUUUCCAUUUGUUUCUUAUGUCGAUGAGAUAGUUAUGAUAUUUUAUUUGCGGUACCACCGAAGAACGGAGGAAUAUAUGAGCUAUUUAAUGUGGUAGGGCCGUAAAAGUCAAAAUCUUAAACAUUUCAUGUUUGGGUCUAGAAGAAUCGCAAUUUUGAUUCAGUUUUAAAGGUUGGGGGUUCAAACCCCCAACCUUUAAAAUAGUCUCUUAGAACAACAACCAACUACCACAGCGGCAGUCAAGAUCAUGCGACGAUGGAUUACUAUCAUAGUAUGAAAUCACUAAUGAUUUUUUAUUUGAUAGUUUACUAGAAUAUUUUUUAUUUUAUGGCAUGUUUGGUCCAUGAUUGAAGUGAGAAUGAGAAAUUUAAUUAUAUUGUUAUUAGAAUGGAAAUCGGAAUGGAUAAUUGAAAGACUUCAACUUUUGAUAGAAUGUUUUAGUUAAGAGGUAGAAAAGUGGUGAAAGGCGAGAGAUGGGGCCAAUUCAGAAUUCAAAGUCGGAUUGUGGUAUAAAUUUAUUGAAUCAUUUCUAUUCUAGAGUGGAAUGGAUAUAGGAAUAAAACAAACAACAACUAUCGAAAUCAGUAAAAUUCUGAUUUUAAAAUUUGAAAUAGGUGUACUAAAUAACCCCUUAAUUCAUUAUGUCAUUACUCUGUUACUAUCUAUACCUAUAUAUUAUUUUUCCUAAAUUUUUGCCACGUGAUGAAUUCUCCUUCACCGCUGGCUUCCCUCUUCCCACUCUCAUUUCCAUCCAAUGCUUCAUUUUUCUAACCCUUACCUUUUAAUUAAUGAAUUUAUAUAGUCCUAUCUUCACCCAAUAUUUUAUCUUCCUAUCCCUCAUCUCUGAAUUAAUGUAUUUAUAUGAUCUUAUCUCCACUCAAUACUUUAUCUUAAUAACUCCCACCUCUCAAUUAAUGUGUUUGUAUGAUUUCAUCUCCAUCUAAUGCUUCAUCUUUUUAGCUUCCACAUCUCAAUUGCUUUCACAAAAAUAAAUAAGUAAAAUAAAAUUUCUUCGUACUUUUUUUUAUAUUGUUUUUUUUUACUUAUUUUCUUGGCGCACAAAAAGGGCUAAUGUUUUGUAAUUUUUUAAAUUUUUUUUUUUAAUUGUGUGUGGAUUGAAAUUAGGAUUCUGAGAAUCGCGACGGGGCGCGGCAGGAGGAAAUGGUGAUGAAUUUGGAGUCAGUAAGGGGAAAAAAAUAAUGGAUGUGGAAGAAUCUAUACAUAAUUAACAUAGUCGUGACGAAGGAAAAAGCUCGAUACUAGCGGUGAAGGCGAUGUAAAGAUCGGAAUUUGCCUCCCCGACGUCAAUAGGGCGAUGAAGGUGUGUUUGGUGUAGAAAUUUUUUUAUUGCUUUUUUUAUUAUUGUUAUGUGUGAUUUAUUUAUCGAAAUUAUAAAUUUUUCUAUAUCUAUACCUAUAUUUGUUUUAUAUCUUAUAUUUGUAUUUAUUGAAGUUUCAUAUCAAAUCAAAAAAUUUAAAAUUUUUAUUUUAUUUAUAUUUUAUCUUUUAUAAUAUCAUUCCGUCGCAAUGCGCAGGUAACUUUACUAAUUAUUACAUAAAAUUCAGAAAAGCUCCUCUCAUAAUACUAUAGAAAAUUUCUCCACUUCGAAUUUUGUUCAGCAACAGGACACAAAUUAACUACAAUAACUUUGCUAAUCGAAAAGAUGUUAAUUUACAACAAUUUGCUCUUAAAUAUUUUUUUUCUAAAAUAUAAGGCUAUUAAGGUACCAAUUGGGAUUGGAAGUAAUAUCCAAUACAAAUGACUCCCACUAAGUAAUUUAGGCCACUAUUUAUACUGGUGCAAACUAUAACCCCAAUUUUUUAUUUUAUUGAAGAGGUAGCAUGUCUAGUUUUUGUAGAGGUAUUUAAAGGUUAAGAUCUCAAAUUUAUUUUAAAAUCACAAUUCAGCUGUCCUUUUCGCAUAUAUGUAAGUGAUGAUCUAUCAAAAAAUAUAUGUAUCACUAAUUAAUUAGAUUUUUUUUUUCCCCUUUUAUUCACUACUAGCUCUGUUUAGUUCGGGUAUAAGCAAGAGCUGUUUAUUCUAGAGAUAGGUAUAAGCUCAGGUAUAAACUUGAAAUAGACUAAUUUUGCAUUUGGAUAUAAAUUAAGUUGUUAUUAAAAAUAAGAAAAAUAAUGUGUGGAUAGAUAAGAUGAAAUAAAAAGAAUAAUGGGUAGUUAUAAAUAGAAAAUAAUAAUAUUACUCCUUAUAUUAUAUUUGAAUUUAAAUUUUAAAAUUUUUAUAUUCGAAAUUUUAAAUUUAAAUACAUAAAUUUUAAAUUUCAAAAAUUCAAAAUUUAAAAUUCAAUUUUUUAAAUCUCAAAUUUGAAAAUUCAAAAUUCAAAGUUCAAAAUUUUAUAUUUUGUAUUUUAUAUUAUUUAAUAUUAAAUCUAAAUUUAAAAAUCUAAAAUAUCAAAUUUUAAAUUUAAAAAAUUUAAAAUAUCAUUUUAAAAAAUCUAAAUUCAAGCGCCUGGCCUCUCGGUUACCGAGAAACCAACGGCAACUUAAAAAAGAAGAACGAGAAUAUUCCGCACUAGUUUCAAAUUCAACACUAUGGGAUACAACCAAAACUCGUUACAAUUUGCGACCACCAAACUUGGAAACAGGAAACCAUGCACCGGGUUCCAUUGAACCGUUGGAGCCUGUGGAAAUUAACCGAUCGAGUCACUUAUGGGGGAAGUGGCGACUCGCUCAAACUGUGGGCCGCGUCACAUUGCCCUUUGUGAUCCGGUCGAGCCACUUUCAAUUUUUCGUCCUUCUCAAAAAUAUUGAGGCCACAAAAAAAUAAAUAAAUAAAUAAAUUAAUUAAUAAACAAAUAAAAGCCACACAAGUGCCCGAUUGGCUACGAGUCCAUUGGAAUUCCCGCAUGCGCCGCUUCACCACCUCCUAAUUGGCUCCUUUUCGAAACCACUUAAUUAGCACACAGUUUUAAAACUAAAAAAAAAAAAAAUCUAAUUUGAUUUAUAGAUUGAUUAGCGAAUCUUAGAUGAUUAUUCCCCAAAAAAAUACUUUAUUUAUAAACAAAUCUUACAAAUUGCAUAAUUCAAUGGAUGAAUUUCAAUCUUAAAAUUAUAAGUCAUGCUUAUAUCUCCGUAAUUUACACUUCUUCACCAAUUAAACACCCUCAUGCAAGCUAAUUUGUAAAGUAUUGUAAAACUAGUGAAGUUACCCGCGCAUGCGGCGGGUUAAUACUAUAAAAGACAGAAGAUUUAUAAAGUAAAAAUUUAAAAUUUUUUUGAUUUGUUAUGAAACAUCAAUAAAUAUAAAUAGUAUGAAAAAAGAGUAUGAGAAAAUCUUAUUUUUCUAAUUAUUUUUUGUGAAAAUAAUUUGUUUAGAUGACAAUAGGCCAUAUGAUCGAAUGUAUUAAUUAGAAAGUAAACGGGAUAGAAGACGAAGCAUCGAGUGGAGAUAUAUGGGACGUGGGAAGGUGAAGGAUCAGGAAAUGAGAAAAAAAGAGAAGGUAAGGGUGAAGAAAAAACUGUCAUGUGGUAAAUGUUAUGAAAAAUAAUGUAUAGCUAUAGAUUAUUUGUAAGUAUAGUUUGCCCUUCUUUCUAGGUUUAAACUGUAAGCGGGAGCCCAGUAGGAUGAGCCGGAGAAAUUAAGCCAUCUCGAUAACCAAUAUACCACAUGAGUUUGUACUGAAUUAAGAAUAAAGCUGUGCUUAUGAAGAUUCUUAUGAACUUUUUGUAUACUUGUUUAGGUAGCUGUACAUCGUUGAUGGAUGUUUACACAUGACCACGAAAUUGAGAGUGUGGAAAUGCAUGACUUUGUAGAAGGUACGUAUGCUUUGCGUAAGCAUAAACAUUACUACUGAAUUGAUUUUAUUAAGCUACAUGAGAUGAUUGAUAAAGAUCCUAAUAAUAAGUAAUUAUUGAGCCAAUUAGGCGCGGAUGAGAUUUAGGUGCGAAUAUUUCCUUCAAAAGUAUCUUUUGGGUCGUGUAUCGAGAGCACCGGAAAAAGGUAUUGCGCCAAUUGAAGAAAGUUACGGCAACCGCAAGCAGUUACAUGCGGUUCCAAUCGGCUAGAAGUGGUCCGAAAUAUGAGGAGAUAGUGGCCGAUCGUAUAAUAACUGACCGAGGGGGGUUAUCUAUAAAUAGGAUAAUAAUACCCCAAAAAGAGGUUUUCGUCCCUGCGCACAAAAAAACACUAUUAUUUUCCUGUAUCUUCCUUCCUCGCAUUUACUGUUUUCCUAGGAGUAGUUGCUGUAACUUAGAUAUUUGGAGUCUGUCUGCUCUCUCGGCAUCACUUCCUUGAAGAAUACACUUAAAGUCUGCCUGCCCCACGGGCAUCACUCUCCUGUUCUUAUACUUUUUCAUUUUCUAUUCAAUAGAAAGUCACGUUCGGCUAUUCAGGCUGAUCAGAUUUCGUAUUGUGCUAGCCAUUCGGCUCAUCUCCCGGCUUAACUUCUGACUUUUCCCGUAUAUUCGGCUCAUCCAGUCGAACCGGAGAGUAAAAAGAGUUUUCGAACCCGGCUGACCCGAUCCCUCGUCAGCCGAAUCGUUUGAUCUGUCGAAUGGCGCAAACUUCGAGGGUCACUAUUUGCAGCCGUUUCGCAUCCCGACGCGCUCUCAGAGGAGGAUCGUUGACUAGGUCCAGGGUCGGAAAAUUUCGGCACCAACAGUAAUAUAAAAAUUUCAUGCUAAAAUAACUUUUAUACUUUUUAUUUAAAUUUUUAUGUAGAAUAAUUAUUAUAAAAAAAAAUUUCCAUGUCGCAUGUGUGUACUUACUUAGGGCAUAGAUUUUGACUGUGUGUGAAGGCUAGGAGGCAGCACGAGGUUUCGCCCAAGUGCUGUUGUUGUUGUUGUUGUUGUACGUAGGAGAAAAGUAAUAAAUAACAAAAAAUAUAUAUAUGGGUGUUGUUAUUGUGUUCUUUUUAUUUUAUAAAAGGUGGGAAAAUGAUAGUUUCCCACUUCAGUAGUGCAAUGCGCGUUCCAAAAUGUUCAAUGUUAAUUAGAAGUGAUGAUAUUUGUGUUUUAAAUGGAGUUGCACUCCUGGGUAUUAUUAAUUACUCAUCUAGACAAUUUAUAGUUUUGAGACUUGUAGAGUAAAAUCAUUUGAUCCAACUGAUUUUUUUUAUAUAAAAUCAAACUAUUUAAUGUAGGAAAGAUUUUUUAGAUAAUAUUAUUUAUGUCUCGACUUCGUUUGUUGCAUAAUGUGUAAAAUAAAAUAAACCAACUAAAAGUACAAGAUAUAACUUUCAUUAAAUGGCUGUUUUGUUUUAUGUGUUCUUUUUGCAAGAAUCAAAUAACUAGCUUUUAGAUCAUCAAAUAUAAAUAUAUUAUGCUUCUAAUUUUCUAGCCAUCCUUUAAUUUUAAUGGGUGGUUAAGAUGAAAGAGAAAAGAAAAAUAAGGAAGAAAUUAAAAAAAAAAAAAAUUAAGACAUCCAAUUUCACUUCAAUUGAGAAAAGAAAAAUUAAUUAUGUAAAAAUUACUUUUCCACGAGCUAUACCAAAGGGGUACUUAUUCUCGUUAGAAAAAAAAAAAAAAAAAUCCUCUAUUAUUACUACAUUAUUAUAAAUAAUAACGACUUAAUCCACCAUGCAUUACUCUUUUAAAACUUAUGUACAGCAUACGAUGAACCGCCGACAAAAACAACUCUAUUAAUAACGAACAUUAAUUAUUACCGCGCACAAGGAUGUGGUUCAUGGCCAGGUGCUCCGCUCCUUCAUCCACGUACACCUGUUCCUAUAUAUAUGACGCCAUCUUCGACUACGAGGCUUAUAAAAGCCCACGCUCGCUCUCGCCGUUCCGCACCUCCAUUUCCUUUUUAUGUGUUCAUACCUUCGCCCCUAGCUAAUUACUCCGCAAAAUUUUUAUUUUUCGUUUUUUGGUUUUGUUUUAUUCAAGUAGGAUUGAAUAUUUGGUAUCAAAUGGGCACCGCGAUCGUCGACCCGGCCCGAACCGCGAUGGCGAAUCACAUGAAUGGCGGCGGAGGCGGAGGCGGAGGCGGAGGCGGUCGCUUCGCUCCGCCGCCUCUUGCGCAGAUCCUCCCGAGGCGUGCGCCUGAUUCCGACGAUGAGGAGGAGGAGGAGGAGGAGGACGACGACGACGUGGAGGACUCGGAUUGGGCGGCGCUGUGCGGGAGCCACGAGGAGGUGGAGCCCUCGGUGCAGGACCCGCGCGACGAGGGGACGUCGGACCGGUGGGUCCGGCGCAACCCCUCGCUGAUCCGGCUCACGGGGAAGCACCCCUUCAACUCCGAGCCCCCGCUCCCGCGGCUCAUGCACCACGGGUUCCUCACCCCGGCGCCGCUCCACUACGUGCGCAACCACGGGCCCGUCCCCCGGGCCGAUUGGUCCGCGUGGACCGUCGAGGUCGCGGGACUGGUCCGGCGCCCGGCGCGGCUCACCAUGGACCAGCUGGUCCGGGACUUCCCCCCGGUCGAGAUCCCCGUCACGCUCGUCUGCGCCGGGAACCGCCGCAAGGAGCACAACAUGGCGCGCCAAACCGUCGGCUUCAGCUGGGGCCCCGGCGCCGUCUCCACGUCCGUGUGGCGCGGGGCCCGCCUCCGCGACGUCCUGCGCCGCUGCGGCAUUGCCGCGCGCGGGAGCGGGGCCCGCCACGUGCGCCUCGAGGGCGCGGAGGACCUCCCCGGCGGCGGCGGCGGCGGGAAGGGGUCCAAGUACGGGACCAGCCUCCGGCGCGAGGUCGCGAUGGACGUGUCGCGCGACGUCUUGCUGGCCUACAUGCAGAACGGAGAAUUGCUGUCCCCCGACCACGGCUUCCCGGUGAGGGUCGUCAUCCCCGGCUUCAUCGGCGGCCGCAUGGUCAAGUGGCUCCGCAAAAUCACCGUCGCCCCAGAGGAGUCCGACAGCUACUACCAUUACCACGAUAACCGCGUCCUCCCCUCCCACGUCGACGCCGAGCUCGCCAACGCAGAAGGUAUCCAAAUUCAAAAUCAUACUGAUAUACUCUCUUCUCUACUUCGACUUCAGUAGAGCUGAAGGACGCACUAAUAAAAUAAAAUUUUUAAACAUAAUUUAUUUUAUUUUAUUUAUUUAUUUAUUUUUUGAUUUGGUGUGGUGGAUGAAUAAAGAUUGGUGGCACAAGCCGGAGUAUAUCAUCAACGAGCUAAACAUUAACUCGGUGAUCACCACGCCGUGUAACGACGAGAUCCUCCCCAUCAACGCAUUAACCACGCUAAGCCCGUAUACCAUCAGGGGCUACGCCUAUUCCGGUGAGUCCGUUAUUUCGCUUAUUAUUUUUAUUUAUUUACUACUGUGGUAAAAAAAAAAUUAAAAAUAAUAAUAUUUAGAAUUGAUUGAGAUGUUUUUUUGGGUUAGGUUGUUUUUUUUUUUUUUUCCUCCCAUAAUUUUGGUGUCCGCUGAAACUUUUAGUUAGUGAAAAAACAAAAAAAAUAAAAAAAUAAAAACGAAAAGAAAUUAACAGAAUUGAUGAUUGUGGUCGAAAUUGCGACCUAGUAAUUUUUAUCCCAUGAAUUUUGACAUUGCGGUUCCUGUGAGCCUUUUGCUUACCAAUUAAGUAAAGGGAAAAAUAUAUGGAUCAGAAAAUAUAUACUUUUUUAAAAUUACUUGCUCUAUGUAUUUGCUAUUAAAUGUAUAGGCAUAUUUCAAAAUAUUUGGCUCAGAAACUUGCGUCAAUAUAAUUCGAAAUUAAGCCCGAGUUUGCUCGAGAAAAAUAACUUAUUUUGUUAUUACUAAACUGAAUUCAUUAAAAUUAGUUAUCAUUUACUAGAGUAAAAAUAUCUCAAUUAAGUAUUCACUUCGCACAGACUAAACGACGCAAGUUCGAAGCAUAAUUAUUUUAUAUUUCAAAUUAAAUUUAUUUUUUUUAAAAGGAUAAAUAAAAUUAAUAGCACAUUAAUUAUCUUCUAUUCACUUCACCUAAGCUAUUACACACGUUCUUUGAAGGCGGCAAUUUAUAUACAUACAGAGAGAGAGGGGGAAGGAGAGAAAGAGUCCUGUCGGAAUACUAUCGAUAGCACCAAAUGCUUAGUGUUACUAAGUUUUCCGCCGUUAGAUUUAACCUUUUGACUAUUUUCAUUCAUUAGAUUAUAUUACUCAACCAAUGAGUCACUCAGCUCCAAGGGGUCCAUAUCAUUCUAAUCGUAUAUUUUUUCAUUUAAGAACCGAAAAUCUAAUAGCACCAAGCGCUUGGUACAAUUAAUAGUAUUUCAGCCUAGUUCUAUAUAUAUAUAUAUAGAGAGAGAGAGAGAGAGAGAGAAUUGAGCUCCUAUAUUUUUAAAAGUAUCAAGUCAUUAGUGCUUGUAAGUUUUUAGCCAUUGGAUUAAAAGAUGUGCGGUUAGAAUGAUAUGCGCCCCCUUGGGUUGAGUGGGUGGUCGGUUGAAUAGUAUAAUCUAACCGGUGAAUAUGAUCAAAGCCAUUCAUUAUCUACUAUUCACUUCACCAAAUUAUUACACACGUUCUUUGAAAGCCGCAAUAUAUAUAUAUAUAUAUAUAAUCUGCUUAUUAUUUAUUACACUGACUCAUGAGAGGAACAACAAAAGAAAUUUGCCUCUUAUUCAGAAUAAUAUAAAGCCUAUUUUAAAUAUUAUUUCGGCUUGUUUACAACAUGCUGUUUUUUUUUCUUUUUUGGCUUUAUUCCCGCCGACUCACAACGCAAAAAGUCGGCAAUUGAAAUAUUAUUAUUAUUAUUAUUAUUAUUGUUACUACUGUGUCCACUGAUAGUUUAGAAUAACUACUUUUUUAUAAAAAAAAAAAUAAAUUAUUAUACUAUUUUUAUAUUUUAUGCUCAACAUAAUAAUUUAUUUAAAGCUGCGUUUUUUGUUUGACAGGGGGAGGUAGGAAGGUGACGAGGGUGGAAGUCACGCUGGACGGCGGCGAGAGUUGGGUGGUGUGCGCAGUCGACCACCGCGAGAAGCCGAACAAGUUCGGCAAGUACUGGUGCUGGUGCUUCUGGUCCGUCGACGUCGAGAUCCUCGACCUCCUCGGCGCCAAGGAGAUCGCCGUCCGAGCAUGGGACGAGUCACUCAACACCCAGCCUGAGAAACUCAUCUGGAACGUCAUGGUACACAACCAAAAAUCAAAAUCAAAAGUUUAAAUUUUGAAUUUGUAAUUAAUGCACUGUUUGUUUUAGUAGGACUGUGGCCACUUGAGCGAUAUAAAAUUAAUAUUCUAAUUAGAUAAAUAAUAAAUUCAAAUUUUACAAAACAGUUGUUGAAUAAUUAGAUAGUAAAUUAAGAAAGUCUAGAGGAUCGUAUUUUCAAAAUGCUUUAUAAUUUAGACGAAGUUUAAGUAAAAAUAUAUAAAAUUUAUCCGUAGUAUGGACUAUUUUGAGUUGAUUACUUAACAUCAAAAAUAAGUUUAAUUUUACUGGUCAACCUUCUAAUUUGUUUAAUUUGAAUCGUUUAAUAAUACUUUGAUUUUAAAAUUUAGAAUAAUUAUAGAUUUUAAUAAAUUUAUAUUUGCGAGAAUUGUAUAUAUGAAGUAUUCUAACUAUAUUUGUAAAGACAAACGAUCCAUUCAGAUUUUAAAAUUAAAAUAUUAUUAACUGACUCAUAUUAAGCAAAAUAAAAUAUUAUUAGACAAUAAAAUUAAAAUUUUUUAAAAAAUUAAAUAGUUGACUUAAAAUAAUACAUAGAUCAGAUAAGUUAUGUAUGUUUGAACCUAAAUUUCAUAAAUUUUUUACCCGAAUAUCUUGCCAUGCAUUUUAAUUUAUGCGACUAAACUGGGAAGACAGUGAGUUAAAUGGUGUGAUCAUUUCGGGGAUGCAGGGCAUGAUGAACAACUGCUGGUUCAGGGUGAAGGUGGCAGGCUGCCGGCCGUACAGGGGCGAGAUCGGGCUGGUCUUCGAGCACCCGACGCAGCCCGGCAACCAGCCCGGCGGCUGGAUGGCCAAGCAGAAGCACCUCGAGACUUCCACCGCCACCGCUGCCGCCGCAGCCGCUCGUCUGCCGACUCUCAAGAAAAGCACGUCGUCCCCCUUCAUGAACACCGCCGCCCAGCAGUUCUCCAUGUCGGAGGUCCGCAAGCACUCGUCGGCCGACUCCGCCUGGAUCGUCAUCCACGGCCACGUCUACGACUGCACCGCCUUUCUCAAAGACCACCCGGGCGGCGCCGACAGCAUCCUCAUCAACGCCGGCACCGACUGCACCGAGGAGUUCGACGCCAUCCACUCCGACAAGGCCCGCGCCAUGCUCGACACCUACCGCAUCGGCGAGCUCGUCGCCGCCGGCUAUGCCUCCGACAACUCGGUGCACGGCGCGUCGGACUUUGCUAACCAUCUGGACACGAUUAGCGAGGCCGCCCGAGCUCCGGCUGCGGCUCUCGUCGAUCGGCGCGAGAAGGUGCGGUGCCGGCUCGUGGCCAAGGCCGUGGUCUCGCGCGACGUGCGGCUCUUCCGAAUUGCUCUCCCGUCGGACGACCAAGUUCUUGGUCUUUCAGUUGGUAAACACAUUUUUCUUUGCGCCACUGUCGACGGAAAGCCGUGCAUGCGCGCCUACACGCCGACGAGCCCCGUCGACACGGUUGGGUACUUCGAGCUCCUCAUCAAGGUUUACUUCAAAGGUGAGCACCCAAAGUUCCCCGACGGCGGAGUCAUGUCGCAGUACCUAGAGUCGCUUCCAAUCGGCUCCGCCAUCGACAUAAAGGGGCCACUCGGGCACAUCGAGUACUCCGGCCGGGGCAAUUUCAUGGUCAACGGGAAACCCCGGUUCGCGCGGCGGCUCGCGAUGAUCGCGGGUGGGACGGGGAUCACGCCAGUGUACCAAGUUAUCCAGGCGGUGCUCCGUGACCAGCCGGACGACCGGACCGAGAUGCACUUAGUCUACACGAACCGGUCGGAGGACAACAUUCUCCUAAGGGACGAAUUGGACUGGUGGGCGGCGGUGUAUCCGGACCGGCUCAGGGUUUGGUAUGUAGUGGACAGGCUCAGCCGGCCCGACAAGGAGUGGCGGUACAGCAUCGGUUUCGUGACGGAGGCCAUAUUACAGGAGCACGUCCCCGCGGGCGGCGCCGACGACACGCUCGCACUCGCGUGCGGGCCGCAGCCGAUGAUACAAUUCGCCGUUUUGCCAAACCUCGAGAAGAUGAAGUAUGAUAAAUCCGACUCCAUCUUUAUUUUUUGAUACGGCACGAUACGAUUCGGACACUGUAAAUAUAUAUGUAUGGAUUUAUUUUGACUACUGUGCUAGUCCUAUUCUUUGGUAAUUUAAGCCAACAAAAGCCUAGAAGAGAGGUCAAAAGCGGAUAAGCAGAUGCGUAUGGAAUCUCCAUUUCCAUUUAUUAAUUUGAUUAAUGCAAUGUGUAUUAUUAUGGUUUGAUGGAAUCUUUGAAACAAGGGGGUUAGUUGUGGGACCAAAAAGUAUAUGAGAAAAUCCUCUUGGAGUGGUACUAAAGGAUAUUCAUUAGAAGUGGUUGAUAGUGAUGGGCACUGAAAAAGAAAAUGUUCUUCAAGUUUGUUUUUUUCUUUUUAAAGAUAAGUGCUAAAUUCAUUGAACUUUAAUAUCAAAUUGUAUGUCAUUGUUAGUCUCUACAUAAUGCAAUUUAAUUUCCGAGUUAAAUGUAUUGUAACAAAUGUAGCUCAUCUAGAAGAACCCCAAUUUUUUUAAAUAAACAUCAAAGCGUGGUCUGUAAGUUUGAGACGAUCAUAUAUACUUUUCAUUGAUCUAGGCUAUAGGUCACACAGUAGCCACCAUCCGUACAAAUAUUUAUUUAUAUUUGUAUUUCUUUGGUUAACAAACUAAAAUUUAAAGGCUAAAUUUAGUCUUACUUAAACUUCAAUACAACUUAAAAGUGAUUUUCAACCUAAAAAGUAGUUGUGCGCAAAGAAAUAGGUUGAUUAAGUUAGUUUUUACCACAAGAAAAUACUCUCUAGUAAGAGCUAAUAAACAUGGUACAAAAGGCUACAAAGGACAUUGACAAAUUUGCUUUUGUUUAAAGUGUAAGAGCAGAUGCGGAAGAGUAAAAUUAAAAGCAUGCAUGGUUGUGAGGAGGUCAAAGUAAUAGUGAAAUGAUAGAUGCAAUGAAUUAAGGAAUCAUUGAAUUUGCCCUCUUUACCUUCAAGGACACAUUACUGUCCUUAAUAGAGUAGAUACUUUCCAAGAAAAACUCUUCAACACUGCAUACAAACCACCCAUGGUUGAGUGUUUACCCACCAACCCUGUUGCUUUUAAGUUUCUCCUUUUGACUUUAAUGACAAGAAGAGACAACAGAGUCCAAUAACAUCAUAGAAUAUUCUAUUAAUACCCCAACAAUAUUUAAUAAUUUUAAUAAAUAAGUUUUUUUUGUUGACAUGCAAAUUACAAAUUAUCCGAAGUGAUAUAAAUGCUACAGAACAGUAUUAUAAUAAGAGAAAUGCUAAGAGUACGCCUCUAGACUAGGUAUAGAUCUUACACCCCUCACAUCCAAGAACUCUUAUUCUCUACUUGUCAUAUUAAUUUUUUUUAACUAUGAAUUUAAAGAAGUUUAUGAAGCCUAAGAUGCUGGAACUGCUUCAGAUAUAACAGUAAAUAAAGAUGAUGCCAAUGAGAACUAGCAAGUUCAAAGAAUUUCUCAACCAAAUGUGUUAAUGAAUCAUGGCCCUAGCUUGACUUAUUAAUCUAACAUUAUCCAUCAAAUAGUUUUCAGUGUUUGAAAUUUGCUGUAAUUCAAUUAAUCGAAUUGAUCUAUAGUUUUUCAAGCAAAUUUGCAAUGAAAUGUAGUUAAGUAAGGUCCAACCCCACAAAGAACAUGGUGUCACAUUAAGCCUCUUGAGUACUAACAUGCAAAACAAAGAAUACCUACAUGGAUUUCUUGACAAUAAAAAGCAUUCUCAAGGUGAGAUUAGUUGAAGGAAGUUAAUGCAAAGAUGAGAUAACACUCCCCACAGAGGACACAAGAUAAUUGAUUUAAUCUAAUGAUUGAAACCAAGAACAAGCAUUUUGUUCGGUAAUCGAGAAUGUUUACUAGAAACAACAAUAUGACAACAAAGAAAUGAAGAAUACAGAUCAUUCAAAUAAUCUUAAUGCUUCCUAGAAUGAAGCAAAUAAUUUACACCAUAUGCAAAUGUUAAGAAGUGCACAAAUAAACAAAGAUGCAUCAACAUACAUGACAAGAACAACAAUAUUUCAUUUGGGUCUAAAUUACAUGAAUGUAAAUCAGUAAACUAGAGAAGAAAUUCACAAAUAUCUAGCCAUUACCUAUUCAACAGUGUGCCGGUUUCCCUUUGAUCAGCAAUAAACAAGAACGGUACUAGCUUCUGCUCCUCAGCUUACAUCCAUGCCCGAUCUACCCCGGCUUCUUCGUCGGCGGCGCCGUCGUCCCUCCGAUCUCGCCACAUCCAUGCCUCUCCCUUGGGCACUAAUGACAGAAGCCACCGCCUCAUCAUCAACAUCAGCUGAAUACGCAGCACUAACAUCAGGACCGCUAAUUCCAUCUACAGAAUCAUAACCACUCUCUUCUUCCCUUUGUUCCGAUCCUGCGUUCUCUGUUUGAAGCCUCAUAAGUCGCGCACCCUCUUGCAAGAAGAAGUAAAGGAUCCUCCUACUAAUGUCAUGACUUCCCCUUUCAUCGUUCUCUUCGUCGGAACCGUCCAUCUCUAUAACAUAAUCCCCAAACACCACUGCCCUCGGCAUUGACGACCUGAUAGUGCUGAUCACAUCCUGCCGCUCCCUCUCGUGCUCGAGUGUCCUCCACUUCUGCUCAUGUGCAGGAUCCACAUCACGAGGCCUUGCGGAAGGGUGCACAGACUUCACAUGUUUGCGGAGCUCUCUAUAUGAUCCCACGAAAGAGCAAUCAUCCUGCAUACAGCUUCUCUUCUUACUAUUUAAAUAUUCACGAGCUGGUUCCACAACGGUCCAUCCCUUCACCUCGCCCCGGCACAGAGGGCAGGAAAGCUCGAUUGCUUCUGGCUUUUGGCCUGUCUCCUUGGAGUAGGCUUUUCUGAACUGGUCGAGGCAAUUAGAGUGGCGGUCACUGGUCCCGCACAUAUAAGGGCGGCAACCCUUGUCAUGGGACGAACAGAGGAGGAGGACGGCGUUGUGGGGGUACUCCAUACACACCGAGCAGGUGGUGUCUUCCCACUCCCUCUUCUUCUCUGAGCAUAAGAGCCUAUUCUUCUUCCUAUCAGUUACAUCUUCUGUAUUCCAAUGGUAGGAUGGGAUAGAAUAUGGAGUAGACCUGUGCUGACGAGUUGAAAGUCUUCGGCGUCUGACACUUCUUGCCAUUUUAGCAGAAUAUCUGAGGAAAAUAAUUGUUAAAAUCUUAAACCAGUGUUAUAAAAUGCUCUCCUAAUAUUCAUUUAUGGGAUUCUGUUGACAUGUAUGUAAGAAAGGUUGUAACGAAGACCACAUUUUGUGAACCUCUUUCUUUGUUAUGCACUAUCCUUGUUCAAAAAUAUAGAGCAACGUAAGUAAAAUUCCAAUAUCUCGCAACUAAUAGUGUAAUUGUGUGUGGGACUGAAAGAUUUUAUGCUUGCACUUAAAAAUCACAUGAAAAUUUCCAGCUUUACACUUGUAUAAAAUAAUACUGGUUCAUGCAAAUAUGUCUCUGUCUGUGCGAAGAGCAUGUAACUGCAUGCGUGCAAAGAACCACAGACACAUGCGAGAACAAAGAAGACAAUAAGACAGAUAUGACCGAAUUUUCACUCACCACUACUCAACUAGACGACAGAAACUUGUCGUGCAACAAUAGCCUACCUGUGGGAUAAAAAAGUUUUGUAUAACACUCAACAACUUAGUUCUCUAUUCAGGAACAUAAAACAAGCAGUACUAUAGGCCUAGAGACCAUCAACCACCAUUCAAUUAUUUAGACAACUCUACUUCCAAGUUAGAGGUAACAAAGAAUAGCCACAAUAAUAUACGAGGCAAAAUGGAGUUACUUUCAGUCCAAAACAUAUCACAAAUGAAAUAUUUAACAAACAUAAACCGUCCAUCUACUUUACUGGAAGACAAUUUAGGUCCCAAAUAUAUGUAGAUUAGCAUGCGCGCCUUUGAAAACGAUAGAUCAUAAAUCUUUCGAGUCAAGGGAUCUGGAUAAAUCUCAAUUGGCAAAGCUAGAUCCUACGAUUCCUUGGAGACGUAAGGAUUUACACUAGACAUCUCACAUUACGUCUCCAACUUCAAAACAGAUGAUGAAUCCAUAUAGCCAAUUACAGAUGGUAUUGUAAUGAGUGGAUAAUUGUCUUGUAAUACAAUAAUUAUAAGACAAAUAAAAGAUUUAUCUGAUAACUAUGUUGCUUUAAUGUAUCUAUUCAUCUUUGACACCAAGCAUCCUCAGAUCUACAAUUGCCUACAACUUUAUUUUAACAUUCACCAUAACUCAAGGCCAAAAUUAUUCAAUUUAGCUGUUCGAACAGAACCUAAUUUUAGUCCUAAGAAAAACUAAAACAUUUCAACACUAGCACCAACUUGGGUAGAUCAUUGUUAUACUCCAUCUCCCAAAAAACCAAGAACUUGAAAAUCAAGGAUGAACUAAAAAGUGUUGCGAUAAAAUUGAAUUAACUCCAUAUGAAGUGAAAAAUUCAGAAUUCCAAUUGCUACAGAGCAUAAGCCAGGAAUAGUAGCUGUGUCACAAACCUAAAUCAUACAGCAUUAAUUUUUUUUUAAAAAAAAUGGAGGUAAGAGAAUUUAUUUAGAAUUCCCAGGUCAAUUGUUAACAAUUCGUGUAACAAUUUCGCCUUUCCCCAACAAUUUAAAAGCUCAAAUGCCCACUUUGAUAUCUAAACUACUCUCCUAUGAAAUCAUACUCAUGAAUUACCUGUUUUUGAGGAAGCCCCCUCUCAAACAAACAAAUGAGGAAAAUAAAGCAAGAGAUAAUAGAAAAAUGCCAACUUUGUUACUUAAGACAGUUGAGGGAUACAAACAUAUAUAUAGAGAUAAAUAUAUACAGCAAACCCCACAUCAAACAAAGAUAGAAUUUUUAUUAGUGUAUUAUAUAAGAUGCUCUGAUCAACCGAUAACCCCGAUGGGAUCUACCCUAACCACGCAACGCAAGCAUUAUUAAAUUAAAAAAAAAUUAAAAAUAAUUUAAAAAAAAAAAAGGUGGGGGGGGAGACUCACAUGCUCUUACGAUCUCGGCAUCUUACAGCUACUACUCAGAUCUCCCAACCCCCCUCAAACUGGGGACCCCAAAAAAGGGGGAGGAGAAAAAAAGUUAAAAAGAAAAAAAGGGAAAGGUAAAGAGGGAAGGUAAAAGAGAGGGCCCAAAAUUGAACUCGAAUGUUUCGGAAAUUUUUAAAAUUUUGCGAGGAAAACGAAGAAGGGGGAAGGGUCGAAUUGUGUACCUAGGGUUUCCUCGAAUGGCGAUCGAGCUCAAGCAAAUCCUCGCGCUUUUUUUUUUUUUUUUUUUUUUUUUUUUNGGAAGAAGACGAAAUGGUAACGGAGUUGUAGCCACGUUUGUUAUAUAGGGAGGGGACGAGUGGUGUUGAAAAUGGGAAUUAACGUCAUUUGGACCGCGCGAUGAGGACACGAUGUCGAGGAGUUUGGAUGUGGACCGUAAUAGGCCGGGCCUGAUCAACCAGAUCCGGCCCGGUUUGAGUUGAUUAGCUCUUCCUAUAUGGGCCGAAUUAAGCCCACGACAAGCAAGGCCUGUAGUAGGCCUAAAAGUUAUUCAGGCUUGGGACCCCUUUGGUGUGGAGACUAAUGUUAAGUAAAACGGAGUUGGCCAAAAAUAUAUAGGCUUCGUUUAGAAUUACGAGGAGAUUACGUUAUAUAUGGUGAAAAAGUACCAUGAGAAAAUAUCCUAUUUCUUUUCAUAUGUAGAGUCAACCGGAAAACACAGAAGCAUAUCGCUAUAUACUUUUAUCCCAAUUCCAUUUUAUCUAAUAGUAUCAUAUGAGCCUCAAUACCAAACUAAGCUAUAAUAAUAUGUUUCUUCAUUUUUUAAUGAGACAGUAAAAUGUAUAUUAAGUAUAGAAAUAAAUAGAAUAUUUUUCAAAUCUUUUGUUGUUUCAAAAUUCACAAAUAAAUGGUUGGUGUAUUUUCCAGCAUCAUUUUAUGUGGAAUUAGUGAUUUAGAAGCUGUUUGGUUUCUCCAAAAAGCAUGGAAAAAAAAAUUUCAUAAAAAAUCUCUUUAGCUUUCAGUUUUAAAUCCAUGUGAUUGCAAAGAAAACUUGCUUCUUUGGAAAGCUUAUUUUCAAAUUUUAUAGAAAACUAGUAUUUUUGUUUUUCUUAAAAAAUUCUGAAAAAUAAAAAUAUUAAUUUGCUAUGAAAUUUGCAAAAAAGUUUUUUAAAAAAUUAGUUUUUCUUGAAACCAAACGAACGAAAAACUAAAAAAAAAAGUUUUCAUAAAAGUAAAAUUGAACUGUCUACAUAUGUACACGAAUACAUGAGAUGAACGAAGAUCAUAAAGGUUUAAGGCAUUACUUGUUCUUGGGGCUUUUCAAAAUAUUUUCGAACCUCUUUACAGCAUAGAAAAAAAAAAAAAAAAAAAAAAGGAAAAACUGUGGCAGUGUUUGGGUGAAGAACGAGGACCCAGAGAUGACAAUAUAUACGGAAAUACGUGGACCAUUCCUCCAAAUACUACAUACGGUGGUAUACGCUCUACGCUUCGAAAUUAAUGGGCGGAGGAGGAGAUACGUAGAGAAGGCGCAUAUUUUUGUUAGCAAAUUAUAUCAAAGGACAAUAAUUUUAUAGGUAACGGCAAGAAUUUAAUUAUCACGGCGUGCCAAAAAUUUACAGACACGGUAUGAUACGGUGCAUGUCGAAUCAUACCAAUAAAUGUCAAUCAAAGAAAUACAUGUAUACCAACAUAAUAGCAUAAAAUAUUUAUUUUUUAGCAACAAAAUAUUUUAAUUAUUUAUUUAUAUUUUUUAAAAUUUUAUUGAGAAAAUUACUUAUUAUUCUUUUUAAAAAAAUGAGGGUUUUGAAAUGUAUUAUUAGAACGAAAAUUGUAUCGUACUGAUAUAUUAUUAACACGAUAUGACACGGUGAAUGCAGUCUGUAUCGAUAAACACUUAAAUUCUUAAAUAACGGUGAAAUUGUGAUAUUCCAAUAAGUAAUUCUUUACCCUGCUAAAAUUUCUCUAUCACUGUCCAAUAAUAUCCAACUGUAAAAUACUAUUAAUCUUCAUAAUCUUAGUCAAUGUGGCAUCUAUAAUCUAUAAUUUAUAAAAUCUAUUAAUUUAGAUGAAUUCCCAAUGUUUGUUGUCAUAUGGUAAGUUUUUCUUCACCCUCACUAGCAUGUGACUCUUCUUCUUUCCCUCACUAAACUUUCAAUGUACAUUUUAAUGAUUCCACUAACAAAACUUUUAAUUAAUAUAUUUAAAUGGUUCCAUUCACAAAACUUUAAAUUAAUAUAUUUAAAUGACCCCACUAUCAUGUAUCAUUCUAUCAUUUCUAUCUACAAUUAUUCAUUAUUACCAUUUCCAUUCCCUCCACUGUACUUUUAAUUAAUGCAAACGAUUUCACUACCAAACUUUCAAUUAAUAUGUUUAAAUGAUCUCACUACUAUCUUACAAUCCUAACCUCUCUCUAUCUCCAAUUAUUGAUUAUGGCAAUUUUCCUUCCCUCCACCAGACUUUUAAUUUUUUUAUCUCCAACCUAUUCCUCGCUCCCUCCCUGUCUCUCACUAAUACGCGCCCACUUCCCCUCUCCCCAUGACGUUUGGUGGAUAUAUCAAGUGAGAUACAGAAGAGAAUGUUUAAUAUUUUCUUAUUAUUAAUUACUAUUAUAAUUUUUACCUGCUGUAAAGCGCGGGCCCUUCACUAGUUCUAUUGAUUUUCAUAAUCUUAGUCCAUGUGGCAUGCUUUCCUUAAGUUUUACCUAUGGGAUCCACCUUCAGAGUUUCUCCCUCUUCCGAUUUCUAUUCUCCAAUCGCUUCGCUCAUUUUUCGCUCUUCCAUACUGUGCUCGCUCACCUUCCACGUAACUCAUUGCCUCUUCGACUUUCCCUCUCAUUAAUUAAAUGCUACUCUCCAAUCACUUUGCUCUUUGUUCAUUCCUCCGCAGUGUGCCCAUUCGCCUCUUCCGUAAAAUCAUUGCCUCUUCGGUUUCCUGCCUCAUUAAUUUCUACUUUUUACGAGAUGUUGCCUCAUAAUAAAUGAUAAAAAAAGAAAAAAUUAUUUCUAAAGUUUUUUUUCUUUAUUGUACACUACUUUUUAUAAAUAAGUUAUUUGAGUUAUAUAAAAAUUGACAGAGCAAAAUUAUCAAGAACUAAUUAAAUUAUUUUGUUGCACCAACAGACUAAAUAUAAUAUAUAAGCCGUUGGACUCAUGGAUGUAUGAAAAUUAGCUCUUUACAAUUUAGGUAGUUACAACUAAAUAUUAUUAUUUUUAAAAUUUAUUUAUAUGGCUGUCAUAUAUUCCUUGCACUUUUUCUUCAAUUACUUUACAUUCUGUACUAAUUCUAUAAUAGCAUGACAAUUUUGAUAUUUAUAGAUAAAUGCAAUAAUAGUUGGUGUUAAGAGAAAUCUAAUUUGGGUUAAGAAAGAGAAUUGGACAAAUAAAUUUCUUUAUAUGAUUAGUUAAAUAUGAAUUUAAGUCUCUUCAGCAUAAUCUUUUGCCAUUUGUUAUACAUUCUUUAUAAUAUUCUAAAUAAAUAUCUUUUCACUUAUACUUCUUACUUUUUCAUUUCUUACAUUUUUUUUUUCUUAGAUUGUAAUUUCAUUGUAAAAAAAUUUUCUAUAUUUUUUAUAUUAUUAAAUCCUUUCUCACGUUAUUAUUUGUUAUUAAAUUUGUAAAUUUGUACUAAAAUAUUAUUACCCACCGCAUCGCCCGGAUUCUUACACUAGUAAUAACAUGGAAAAAAAAAAAAAACUGAAAUUCUUAUUAGGGGUUUGAAUGAUCACCGUAAUCUCCAAAUCAAAUGCUAUCUAAAAAUUUCAUUUCGCUAAUUAAUGAUAUUGAUCGAUCACCCUAUACAAAGCUAAUUACAUGCGUGUGUGAAUGCAUGUGCACAACAGCAAGUUUUCAUACGUCAAUACCUUUAUUUUAUGAAACUUUUGAAUUAGCACUAUGCAUUUAAAUCGUUAUAAUUCUGAAAAUUAUAUACAAAACUUGUUUUUCAUGCGUACAUAUUAUUCACAACAUAUAUAAAACUAAUUAAAUCACUACAACAAAAACGGUCUAUAGUGACACUUUUAAAUGUAGCUAUAUGUCAAAAAAGUGCUGCUAGCUAAAAUUACCGACACUUUUAAAAAGUGUUGCUAUAUGUGGGGUCGCUAGGUAUAUAGUGACAGUUAAAGAGUGUCGCUAUAACCUAAAAGAGUGCUGCUAAUUUACCAACACUUAUUUAAGCAUUUAGCAACCGCCGAAACUCUAUCUCGUUGGCUGCGGUGGUGGAGGAGGACGACACGAAAGGCUCUUCGUCUAGAAAUUCAGUGGAUUGAGUAAAGAGAGAAGAAAAGAUGGUAAGUGAUUUUUCUUUUUUUUUUCUUUUCUGUUUGUAAUCGGGCCAAAUGGACUGGGUGUGGUGGGUUGAGUAGAGUAAUCUUUUAUUUUUGGUUGGAUUGGGCUUUAUAUUUAGAAUAAAUGGGACACUUACUUAAAAGUGUCCCAAACAUGUGUCCCUAUAACCUAAUUUUGUUAUAGUGAAUACCCACCUUAUUAAUAACGUUUGUUUGACAUUAAAGACAAAACUCUUUUUUUGAUUCUUUUUCCAACUUUUUAGAAUGACUAAAUUCAACGCUUUAGAUUUACCUACCGGUUUAGGUUAACCUAAAAUGAAACGUACAUCCUCUACAUUUCUCCAUAAAAUUUAAAGGGUUAAUUGCGCACUAGUUCCACAAACAUAGAUAGUAAAUUGUAAAUAUAUUCUUGUAAACUUCAACUUUCAUAAAUUAUUCCUACAAAAGUCAUAAUGUUUUCAGAUAUAUUGCUCUUAUUUGUUACAUUAGAAACUGUUAAAAAAUUGUUUAUAUUUUCAAUUUGCUAUCACAAAUAUAUCCCUCCAAAAAUUAUAACAGUAUAAUACAAAAGAGAUAAAAAUGUCAAAAAUUAUAAAAAUUAAUUAGGGUAAAGUAUUUAACCUAUGGUUAACUAAACUUUUCUAACGGAUUUUAACGACAGGAAUAUAUCUGAAAAUAUUAGGACUUUUGCAGGAAUAACUUAUAAAAUUUGAACUUUAUAGAAAUAUAAUUACAAUUCAUUAUGUUUGCGGGAAUCUGUAUGCAAUUAAUCCUUUUUUUUUUAUUUUUGAGAGAAAUGUCGCAUGCUACCCGCUUCGUUUAUUUCAUUUAGAAAUAAACUUAGCUGGAAAUGUGAAUCAACUAGGAUUCGAACUUGGGUCUCGGAUACCAACCAUCAAGCCCUUUUGCCACUUGCAAUUAAUUCAAAUUUAAAAGUCAAUAAAACAUAUUUACGCAUCCUCUUUCUCUAUACAUUUUUCCAUAGAAUUUAAAAGUCUUUACACUAAAAAAGUUAACUAAAUAUCUCUAUUGACGAAGAACUUGUAUUUAUAGACCACAGAAAACUAUAAUAAUAUACUGCUCUUAAGGUUUCAAAUAUUAUUAUUUUUUUUUAAUUUCAUCUUCUGAAUUUAAAUUUUAUUCUAAAUUUUAACUUCCCUUUUAUGAUUUUUUUUUUUUAUAUAGUUUGUUCUUGGCUUUAAUUUUGUUUCUGAACUUUCUUUGUAGCCGUAUAGACGAGACUUUUCCGAACGAUGGACCAAAAAGUAAGUUGAUUAUAACGCAAAUGAAAAUUCGCAAACUAGUGACGAAUAAAAGUAUCAGGAUGCAUGAAAAUCUCGUCAAGCUUUACGACUAGAUCUAUAAUUAACCAAUUGUAGAAUCAACAAACUUUCUAAAUGCAUACGAUGAAAUUAAACAACAAUUAAAUAGCUCAUAUAUGAAAAUGAACUUUUCCAACACUUAAAUAACCUACCAGUAUUAGACUCUUAUAUUCAUCAUUAUGGUGAAUUUUGAACAAGAUUAGUUAGGAGCACAAUAGUUAAAUAGAAUCAAAAUGUGCAAUAUCUAUGGAGAGAGAGUCCGGCUACAGUGCUAUUGAUAGCACCAAGCACUUAGUGCUAUCAAAUUUCUACCGUUAGAUUUAUCUCUUUCACCAUUUUUAUCCGUUAGAUUAUACUAUUCAACCAACCAUGCACCCACUCAACCCUAAGGGACCUCUAUCAUCAUAACCGUACAUUGCUUCAUCCAAGGGUCUAAAACUUAAUAGCAUCAAUGAGUUGGUGCUAUUAAUAAUAUUCCAGCCUAGUUCUAUAUGUAUAGUCCGGCUACAAUGCUAUUGAUAGCACCAAGCACUCGUACGAUCGUCUUCGUACUCAUAAGUCGUUUUCGAUGAUAGAGCUUUUGAAUUGACGAUCCAUACCGUUAAACAUUAUUUAGAGCAUUUAGAACUUCUAGAAAUCAAAUUUAAUAAUUUUUUGACAUCAUUUAUAUUAUAAUCAAAAGAUCUCAAAAUUGACAAAUUUGAACGGUCGGCAUGGGAUACUUGCUAGUUUAACGGUGUAAAAGAAUCGAAAUCGAUUGAAUUUUUGAUAAAAAAUUUUAUUUACUAUCUAGAUAAAGAUCAAUAACUCCGAUCUUAAAUUGAAGGAUCCAAUCAUUCAUUUUUAGAAUGUCGUUCGAUUUUGACCGUUCAUUUUAUGUCCGCUUGAUGGACUUUAUUAUAUUUUCAAAAAAUUACGAAAUUUAUUUUUUAGAAAUUUCUAAUACUCUAUAUCAUAUUUAACAGGGUGGAUCGUUGAUUCUGAACCUCCGUCAUCAAAAAUAAUUUAUGAGUAUAAAGGGCUUUAUACUCAUAAGAGUAUAGUAGCCCUACUAAAUCUAUAUAUAUUUAUGUGUGUGUGUGUGUGUGUGUAAAGGGGGUUGUUUUCUCGUGUUCUUCAAGGUCAAAAUUAUUUUUUGUGCUCUUUUAAGUAGGAUUCUCCAUUCAUUAAUUCUAGAUGUGGGCUUUAAAAGUGUGCUUUAUAAAUAUUUAGCAACUAAAGUUUGGAACCUGGAAUAUAACAAAAGCUCUUUAAGAAUAGAGAUUUAUAUUUGUUUGUAUUCGUAAUUUAUCAAGAUACAUUAUAUAUCUAGCUAGUUAAUAUAUAGCCAUGAUCUUUAGCACGUUAAUAAAUGAUACAUUCCCUGUUAUCUAUAUACCACAUGCAUAUUGUUUACUGCAUAAAACUCGAAUUUAAAAAAUAAUAAUAAGAAGGUCUUGCAGUUCUAGCUAGCUAGUUCAAUUCAACACUUUGAUUUGGUUACAUAAUUCGUGGAUCAUAUGCCUAAUAAAUUAAAUAUUUAUAUAUGAAUUACAAAAAAUUCCAUAUGUAAUCUUCAAUUUGUUAUUGCUUAUUUUUUUCCUAAUGCAGUUGAUUCUCUAUUUUAUCAUCCAUUACUUUACUUUCCAUAUUAGAUUAAGCUUGUAAUUUUAAUCCAACUAAAAGAGAGGGGGGAAAGGGGAAAAAAAAAAGAAUUAAUUAAGGAACAUUAUGUGAUCAUCUAAUUAAUAUUAAAAUGUGUGCAAGCUAGUUUUCAUAAAUAUAAAUAUAUAGAUAUUAAUUGUUGUCUAUUAACUGCAUGCAUGUGGUAACUUAAUUAUAAUUUCGAUUGAUUAUCAUGCACUUUAUUACUUGAAUAUAGCUGUUGUUACAAAUACUCUACAUAUAUUAAGUACUACUGCGUAAGUUUUGCAAGUUAAUCCCAAUAUACGAGUUUCACAGUACAUAAUGAUUGAUGAGGACACCUAGCUACAAUGUGUUGAUAUAUGUUGUUCAAUAAGAACCAUUAAAAUUACGCGUGAUAAACAAUUAAUAAGAUGCUGAAAUUAUUGUUGAUUAGGCAAUUUUCCUUUAAUUUGAAUUAUUUUCAUAAAUCAAGAAGCUCAAUAGUACAAGAAAAUGAUAUUCAAAAUCUAAUCUCAAAGUUGAAAGAACUAGAGGAAAAAGGGCAUCGAUAGCCAAGGGAUAUGAUUAAGUAUAUUUUUUGUGUACAAUUAUCAAUCUAAGGUCCUAAUUCACUGAGGAGAAAGGGAGUCAAUCACCCACUUACUGCUACUUUUACUACUCUCUUCAUCCUUGUUACUCGAAAAGGGGUUGUUCGCGGGCCAUUGAUACUUCAUAUUGUGUGUUUGGAAGUUCGUGGACAUGUCGAAGAUGCCCGAAGUGCUCGGAGAACUUGCGAAGCUAUUCAGAGUUGGUAGAUUGGGCGAAGAAUUCAAAAGAUAUGGGCUUAGAUAUGAAGAAUGUAUUUGGUUAGAGAAGCUUUCAGGAAUGAUAUUGGAUGUCGAAGACGAGUUCGCACCGGACAUUAACAUGUAAUUUGGUCCCGCGGAUGUGGUGGAAGCCAUGGCGGUCGCGCCUACCGGUAAGGGAUGGUUGUGCGUCCCCUCGUACGUCGUUAUGAGUAUCGACAUGUCCUCGAGGCAUCUUUGUACCUAUACAGCACCAGUGAAAAUGCUUAGGAACGAAAAAUUGGCGCAGUAAGGAAAAUUCAGAAGCAAUAUCAUUGAUUCAUAUAUACCUGUUUUCUGACCGGGCAUCCGGGUGCGACCGUGCAUCGGUAGUACGCUCGCGGACACGGGUUCCCUUUCGCGACCUUCUGACCGUAUUUUCUCCAUUGGCACCCAUCAUUCAUCUACAUAUUUCUCAUAGCAAAAGGAAAAUUGAGAACACAAUAAACACUUGGGAGCAUGAUGAAUUGGGCGAAUGAACUUACAGUAGGACCUUGGCACCUGGCUCUCACUGAAACCCUAGUUUUCCUGUUGGCCGGAUUGAUGCUUUGGCUCGUAAUCCCCGCCAAUUCGGCGGCGGUGGCGGCGGCUUGUAGUUUGUUGCUCUCUAGGGUUAACCAACUACUCGCGAGUUCCUUCAUGGACGAAUCCUUUUCAUGCGGUUCCUCAAAUGUUUGCAAGCUCAGCGACAACCCGAGCUCCUUCGCUUCCUUUGUGUCGCCCCCUCGGUAAUUAGAUAACAACAAUGGUUUUGCUUGCUCUUGAUGAUCACCCUCGAUGGUCUCACGAGCCCUCUUUGGCUCUCGGUUAUCGUCACCGCCGAGAGAAAGGAAUACUCGGGGCUCCUAUUCGAAAAAAAUAUGGAUCCAUAUUAAAAGCGAAGCAACGCAAACAAUUAUUACCAGAUCGUAAGUUGAGUGAAGCUAAUUUGGUUAGUUACUCUUUGUUGAUGAUGAUCAGCUUUUUGCACCGCCGCGAACUUCAUUUGCAGAUCGUAGUAAUCCUUCAUGGUGCGGUCGACGGCCUUCCGCAGCAGCUCGUUCUCUUCCUUCAUUCGAUCCAUCUCGGUUUGCAACAUGCACAACUAUAUAUACCAACAACAACAGCAACUCAAGGUCAAAUAAAUAAACAAAUAAAAGAGAAAGAGAGAGAGAGAGAGAGAAUUGGUAUGAAGAAUCUUAGUACGAUAUAGCUAAACCUCAUUAGAUACAAUAUUAUCAACCAUGGGCUUCUCUUGUUUUGCAUCUUGUCCCACCUCUCUCUUGGUUUCUUUAUCUCCCUCUUUAUUGUUUUCAUCUUCUCUUUUCUCUCCAUCUUCUUCGACUACGUUGUGGUCAUCGUCGUCGCUGCCUUCAUCAUUUUCAUCCGCUUUGAUCUCUUCUUCUUCUUCUUCUUCUUCAUGGUGUUCAUCAUCUCCUCUUCUUUUUUGUUCUUCCUCCAUCUUCAACGAGAGAUCUACUUGCAUUAUCUUGAUCUUCUCCCCUUUCUUCUUCUUUGUUGACAUGAUCUCCCUCUCUCUCUCUCUCUCUCUAUGUCUCUCUCUUCCUUUUGGGGUCUUAAUGGCGCCUCCGAGGCAUCCCCAAGUCAAUGUUCUCGCGUGUAAGACGUAUUAAAGGGGGUUACACAAAUUAACAUUAUAUUAUAUUAUAUAAUAUAAUAAUAAUAUGACAAUAUAAUAGAAAGAGAGAUGAGAGAAAUUAUUGCAUGCAACCAGUGCACCAUGCGCCAUGCACCACGUGCCGCGCCAUGUGUUAUAUUUGAUCACUUAUAAUAUAAAAUCAAAUUUUGAUUCAAUAGAUAUAUAUAAUUUAAACAUAAGCAGAAUGCUCUAGUUUAGCUUCGUUUCUGAUUUAAGGAAGCGACGUACACUAGUUUGGUGUUUGACAGAAAAGAAACAUAACAAAAGAUUCUAAUGGCAAACAAAAAAUAAAAUUUUAGUCCUAUAAAACAUAAGAUGUAAUUUGAAUGAUGUCGUUGGUUACAUAGUACUUCUUCUAAUAAUACUGAUUAAUUAAACAAUAUUUUAUCAAACCAAAUGCUAUGUACUCCAUCAUACAAUUAAUAGGGUCCGAACAUCAUGGAUUGCAUCCAUUCAAUUUUCUUUAAGACUUCGAUGCAGGGUGCAUGGGGGGUGCACCUGAUGCAUGCAAAAAAUUAAAAAGAGAGAGUGAGACGACUAGCUCACUUUUGUUAAUCUGUGUGUUUUAUAAUAAUAAUAAUAAUAAUAAUAAUAAUAAUAAUAAAUUAUUAUUAUUAAUUAAUUAUUAUUUUUGGUUCGAGAUGAAAGGUGAGUGCGCACGAAACUCCGAUCCGGGUGACAGGGACACCCAAGUCAAGUGGGCCUCUUGUUGGUCAUGUGACUCCGCCCCGCGCCUCCCACGCUCACCACUUCAUUUUAAUUUCCAAGGUUUUUCUUUUUUAAAAAAGAAAAUGUAUGGAAACCCUCAACUAUAAUCUAGUAUGAAAUAGAUUUUUUUGUACUCAUAAGUAUGAAAUAGAUUUUUUUUUUUAUACUCAUAAGUUUUUGGCUAUUAGAUAAAGAAAUGUACGGUUAGAAUGAUAAUGAUCCCGUGGGGUCCAGUGAAUAGUAGGUUGAAUAGUGUGAUCCGACGGAUGAAAAUGGUCAAAGGAAAAAGAUUUAACGGUCGAAAAUUUAUGAACAUUAAAAGGUUUAUACUUAUGAGAGUGUAGUAGCCGGACUCAUAUAUAGAAUAGGACUGUUAUACUCUUAUUAGUAUAGAUUUUUUUUUUGUAUUCAUAAGUUUUCGGCCGUUGGAUAAAGAAAUGUGCAGUUAAAAUGAUAAUGAUCCCGUGGAUUCGAGUGGGUGGUUGAUUGAAUAGUAUGAUCCAACGGAUGAAAAUUAUCAAAGGGGAUGAUCUAAUAGCCGAAAAUUUAUGAGUAUUGAAAGGUCUAUACUCAUGGGAGAGUAGUAGCCGGACUCUAUAUAGGUAGGGCUAUUAUACUUUUAUGAGUAUAGAUCAUUUUGUAUCCAUAAGUUUUCGGCCGUUAGAUGAAAGGAUUUGCAGUUGUGGCCCCCGGUUAGAAUGAUAGUGGCUCCCUAGGAUUGAGUUGGUUGGUUGAAUAGUAUGAUCGAACAGGUGGAAAUGAUCAAAGUGCUAGAUCUAACGGCCGAAAACUUAUGAGUACAAAAAAAUUUAUACUCACAAGAGUGUAGUAGUCGGACUGUAUACGGGUAGGGCUAUUAUAUACUCUAAUGACCUAUUUUCAUCCAACUAUCUUACAGCCUAAUAUAUAUGGUAAAAAAAAAGUAUGGAACUUAUCCCAACUACUAUGAGUGACCUAUUUUGAUCCAACUAUCUUACAAUCUAAUAUUUUAAUUUAUUUGAUUUGAGCCAUUUAAUGACUUCUAAAUCUUAAAAUUUGAAUACAUUGUUUAAUUUUAUGGACCUGAUUAGUUUACUUCAUUUAAUUUAAAUAACUACAAUUUCAUAAAAGUAAGUGGCAGGUUUAAAAUUUAUAACCGAAGAAUUAUCGAAUAACUUAUAUCAGACAAAUUGAAAAAUUAAGUAUCAAAAUCAAAGUUAUAAAAGGUUGGAUAGUUGAAUCAGCCCGAAUUAAAGUUUGGGUAGCUCUAUACAUUUUUAUUUAUAUACUUUGGCGAAAAUGUAUGGAACUUAAUUAACUUGGUCUGUUUUGAUUCAAUUAUUCAAUUUUAAGAUUGUAACUUGUGUACCCAAUCUAUUAGUUUAUUUGAUUUAAAAUAUUUGUUGGUUCCUCCAAAUCUAGGCCAAUAUUUUUUUAAUGAAAUUUUGGGUGAAUUACAUAUGCCAAAUAUGCUUAUCAAAAGCAAAAAGUAAAUGGGGCAUUGAAAUUUUGAAAUGUAAAGAUUAUUAAAUAGCCAUAAUCAAAUAUAUUAAAUGGGUAGAUUGCAAACCUAAAUUAUAGUUCGAUUAAAAUAAUUUAUAGUUAUGAUUUUUUUUUUGAGAAAUAAUUUAUAGUUAUGAUAAAUCCCAUUUUUUAUCCUUUUUUCUAUAUAUUGAGACCCUCUCUAUCUUUAUUUUUCUAGAAUUAAAUAAUUGCAGCCAAAUUACUAAAUUAAUUGAUAAUUUCAUCACAUUUUACAUUAUUAGAAUACUUUGUAGGUAAUAAAACUAGAUCAAUUAACUGCUAAAGGUAAUUAAGCAACAAUAGAUCUGAUAAAAACUUAUAUAAAAAUAAAAAAUCAAAGAGUCGAUUUCAAAAUAGCUUAUAAUUGAGUGGUCUUUAUAUACUUUUACAAUUUUGUUUUCUUUGCGGUCACCAGUGGGAUCUCAGGUCAACUCUUUGGAAUUUCUCGGCCUAUUAAUUAAGCUAAUACAUAUAUAAAAAAAUAUUAAAUAUAAAUACACAACCCAAAAGAGAAUGACUGCUAAUAAUAAUAGAGAUUAAAUUUGUUAAUCUCUAUUAUUAUCUUAUUAAUUAAAUUCUAAGCCCAACUGUUUCAUUCGUUUUUCUUUUAAUUUUUUUUUUAAAAAAUAAGCUAGAGCUCCAUUAAUUUAAGAUGGAUACAAAUUGAUUGGUCACCUCUGUUAUUUGGUUGUUAGGGUGGGGAACUCAUUGCCAUGAGAGUUGCAUUCUAAUUAAAAAUCUCUAAGUUAAAUAAUUUUAAAAAAGGUAGUUAAAUUUUGACAUUAGUAUUAAUAUAAAUAGUAAUUAUAAAUGUUGCAUUAAUUGAUUUGUGCUCCACAAAGUUUGGAUGGAACGAUUACAUGUUUUAAAUGGUUGAUUGAUAAAAAAUAAUUAUAGUUGAUUAGCUUAAUUAUGAUAUAUCUGAUCAAAUAAUAGAUAAUAACUUGUUUUUAAAAAAUUAGAAACAAAUAAAAUUUAUUUUUAUUUUUUGUUGCCAAAUAAAUAUUUUGGAUGAAAACAUUAUGAAAAAUCCACUUUUCACUCUUACACCUUUUAAAUAUACAAAAUUCUGUUUAGAAUAAUAAAAAAUAGAUACAGUACCAAGCGAGGCUUUAUAUUAUUAUUUUUAUUAAUUUGCUCAGAAUCUUAUUGCACCUACUUGCCCAAGUAAAUAAUCUAAGUCUUCGUUUACUUUUUUUUUUUUUUAACAAAACAAAAAUGAAGCUAAACCAAUCACAAAUGAGAGGGCCAUUUGGUUGACUUGCCAUGCACAGCGGUUGAAGGCUACUGGUUUGGAACUACGACGGCAAUCCUGAAUCAUCAAACCAAAUUAAUGACUAUUUGUGUAAAUUCGCAGCAUAUAAAAAAUUAAACUACUGACCUCUGACUCCGAUAUCACUUAUCGGAUCGUUGACGCUAAUCAUUAAUCGAACUCGUGAUCUCUGAUUCUGAUAUCAUUUGUCAGAUCGCUGGCGCUAACUAUUAAUUUCAAAAGUUCGAACAGUUAGAAAUAUGCAACCAAAUCAUUCAAAAUAUACAGAUGCAACGCUUCGACUCGGCCCAACCAGCCUCACGCCACUUCAAACGUGACUCAACCCAAUCCACCCUCCCGUCAUUUCGAACGUGACUUGAUUUAACUUGACCUGCUGUUGCAGAACAAAAUGCAAACACUUAUCUGUUAGCUUAAAUGGGCCAGCAUCCUGCUCUAUAGCGUAAGGCCAUGUUGAGCCGAGUCAUGUUCGAAAUGGCGUGAGCUUGGGUGGGCCAGCCAUGUUCGAAGUGGCGUGAAGCUGGUUAGGUCGAGUCACAAUCAAGACAUGUGGAUACUGUAUCUGUAUGUUUUAAGUAAAUUGAUUGUGUAUUUUUAACCGCUCGAAUUUUUGGGAUAAAUAAUUAGCGCCAACGAUCCGACAUUAUCCUCUCUUAUAGCCAUUAAACACAGUCAACUGGUGUUUAGACUUCAUAGAAUAACAGCUAAGCUGUCACUUGGGGGGUGGCCAAGGAAGUGGAUUUUGAGAAAUUUAAGUUAAAUAAAUAAAUAAUUUGGUAUCUUCUCGGAACAGUGAAGAGCUCAGUACGAAAUCCCAAGACAUGGCUUUGGGAUUGGCCCCUGUGGACUUUACUAAAUAAUAAUAGCAGGAGACCUGUACCUACCAUCCUAUUGGUCUAUUUUUUAAUUAUACUUACAUUUCAAUUACAAUAUUAAUGAAUGAGUGAUAUGUUAUAUUUAUAAGUAAAUUUUAUAGCACUUUAUAAAUUAGUAUGUGUGGUGGUAUUUAAUUGGUGGAGCAAUCUAAAUUAUAAGAAGAUAAACAUGACUUGUAUUUUCAAGAUGAUUAAACUUCAACCGUUGAGCUGUGCAAUUUAUAAGCUGUUGUGAAAUAUGUUCAUCAAUUCAAAUCGAACGCUUUAAAGUGAUUUAUCAUUUUAUUUUACCGUUAAUUGUGUAUAGACUCUAUGAUCGGAUAACAUUACUUUUCAGUAUUACUCUUUUUUAUUCUUAUAUUAGAAGCAGAUCACAUUAACUGCAUUGAGAAUAUUCGAGUUCUAUUUGUUCUCGCAAGUGAUAACACGUCACUAUAAUUUCUCUGAUUUCAUCAGUAAAUAAGAAGGCAAAUUUGUAUAUACUUUUGUCUUAACUUCCUUUGAUCCAAUAGAAUUAGACGGUCUUCGAUAUACCAAAUAAACUCUAAGCUGUUUUUGACACAAAACGUUGUAACGACACAUUCAUUACACCAUUUGUACCCGAUCUUUAUCCAAUUUUUACAUUUCACAAUUGGUUUCUUAAUGUUCAAUUAAGAAGAAAAAAAAAUUUAACAUGUUCUGACAAGGUUUAAUGGUGAAAGAACAAAAAUAAUUCAGUAUUGAUGUGAUAUCAGAAGAGAUCUGAUGAAGUAAUGUGCAAAUAUUAAGGAUCCAAUUACAAAAAAAGAAAAGUUUAGUGAUUAAUGGUGUAAUUAAUCUUAUAAAGAAACCACCCACCAUCCACAAGGACAAUUAGAUUAGCCCUUACUUGGGAGCACCUUAUACUUAUUUUAAUGAGCCUAUUUAUAGUAUCUCCUACACUGGCACGAAUAUUAAUGUAACAGAAGCCAAUCAGUGUUCUUUCGAGGUGCUUUUUUAUUGGUAUUUUUCGAAAUGGCUCUGAAUCCUAUAGAAAAAAAAAAAAGAGAAAAAAACAAAGUUCAAUUUGAGAGGGAGUUUAUAAACUCUCUUCUCGGGGAGAUGGAAUUUGUGGGUUUUAUUUCGGAUUUUGGAUCCUGUUAUGCUAAUUAUAACUCCCACGAGCUAAGGAAUGAGAGUGUUGAGUAUUUAAAUGUAGGAUUAAUAGUAAAUUCGCUUCAAGGAGUUUGACCCGGAAUUUAAUUUUGUCUUCAAGAGUUUCUUUUUGGGGGUGACCAUAAUUUUAAUUUCAUUAUCGAGAGGGCUUUAAUCUCAGUCCAAAAACUGGUUUUGGUAUCAGUUUCAUUAGUUGUCGAAAUUUCAACACAAACGAGGAUUAGAAAUUAAGUUUGAUGAUUGCGACUACAUAGAAUUUCUUUAGACGGCGAAUAAACUUUAGAAUUAAAAGAUUCAAACCAUAAAAAAUCAUGGAUUGAGUAGUGAGAAUAAAAUUUGAUCAAAACGACUCCAACGAAGGUAUUCGGAUUGGCGGGGUAGCGAUUGACGCACUCCAAAUACUCACCGAUAAGACCUAAGUCUAAAGAAACUAAUCAGGAAAUAAAAGAGACGCGCCAAAAACUCGAAACCACAUUGAAGAUGAGGUUGAAAUCCGAAAACUCGGGAGCCAAUUAAUAUUUUGAAUUUCCGAAUUCAAACACGGAGAUUAUUCGCAAGCUCGGGAGGAAUUCUCGAAAACUUAAAAGUAAGGGAGGAAAAUAGUUGAGAUGAUUAACUUAACUUGUGAUUUACUACUAGAAUAAGAAGGGCUAAUUGGACCUUAUCGGUUCGAUAAUCGUCAGAUUUCGAGAAUCGAUGCAGAUUAGUUAUGUUAUCUAGGAGGUAACCCACUUGAUCUAUCCAUAAUGCAUUUAAUUUAAUAGGGUUUAGGGUGGUUUGACUCUUGUUUAACCCAUCAUUGAGGGAUCAAACCUCUAAUAUAUCUAUUUAAAGAUGAACCUGACGUGAUAUGGCAUUAAAUCCCACGUUACAUUAUGUUGUAACCAGCACAUUAACCCAUGUAAUAAUUUACAAAUAAGGGGGAAUCAUUGACUCAUUAGCCAAGUAAGGAAUAUGCUUAACUGGUAUAGUGGGAGCUAUUUUUAUCAUGCACAGGUAACUAAAAUGUAAUCAAAUAGCAUAGUUAGCUAAGGAUUUGAUAUUUGAUAUCUGAGAUUCCAAAUUCGAAAUCUAAUUUGCUACAUUUCUUUCUAGUCAAACUAACAGGCCAGAGAUGCCUAGGUUUCCAGAAGGCGUAACUCUCUCAUCUGACGUCCAUUUCGACAGGCCAAGUGGUUUGAAAAUGUAGUGCCUAACAGUCUUUUGCUUAAGUUUCAAGCUCAAGUACCAAUUUUCUUCUUCUUCGACAAGUUCCUUUCAUCUUAUCGGAAGUAUAUGGUAAUUUACUAUUCAGACAAUACCUCAGCAAAUUCAGUCCAAGUUACCGACUUAUUAGUUGGGAUGAUCGUUUCUGUGGUCGAAUCUGACCUGACCCAGUUCAUCAGAUUGUCUCAAUUUUUGAUCUAUGAAAAUUCUGGCUCGACUCAAAUUGACCUAAGCAUGAUCUGGUUAUUUUUGACCUGGCCCUCACUUAGAGAAACAUGUAGAACAUUUUUGACCGUUGUACUUUUGGGCCUGGAAAAAGUAAACCGACUCCAAAACAGACUCAGCCAUACUCUCUAGUUUCUUCUAGAUCUCUUCCGAACUAGAUCAGACUAGUUUUAAUAUCGAUGCUACAUAAAAAAAAAUUAUUUUUUACAGAUAAUUUGUUUCAUGAUUUGUAAUAUUUUAAGAUUCCGCCGAUCUCCGUCUACUUCUCCUAGUCUUUUCUCUCUGGUUGAAGUGGCGUCCGACCCAUUAUGAUUGCUCUUUUUUUUGUUUAUUUCUAUAUGACUAUGUAAUUUGAUCGGGCACUGGCUCUACUUCUUUUCUUUUUCUCUUCUUCGGUCAUGUAUCUGGUUUCAAAUAGGAUAUAUAUUCCUGUUUAAUUAAAAAACAAAAAGAUUCCUUCGAUCUCUGUGUCUGCGUGAUAUGGUUCUUUUCUUUAUAACUUAUCCAAUCGGUGGAAUCGAAAAACCAUAGGUUCGAAUCAGUAAUCCAUUAGCAACUGGUUAGGCUCAAAUCACUGGCCCAUUACGUAUUUGUCUAAAUUUUAUUUACCUAUUGAUUUUGUAAGAGUUGUUAUGUAAAUUUGGAAUGUAAAUAGAAUAAGGGAGAAUAACAUAAGAAGUUUGGUAAGUGUAGGAAGCAAUAUGUUUAUAUGUAAAAUCAAGAACUUAUAAUUCAUCGGAAGAACAUUUUCUUUUUAAUCUUCAGUAGCUUAAUCUUUUAGGAAAAAAAAAAAUCCUUUUUAUAUUAUAGAGGAGGUCACGAGUUCAAAUUCUACCAUGUAUCUAAAAAUGAAAAAAGUUGUUUUCCUGUAAUGUAAAGGUGUCAACGAGCCAAACACGAGCGAACUGGGGUCGGCUAGCGCUCGGCUCAUUUAUAAAAAAAGUCGAAUACGAGUUGAUUCGUCAAAAUAUCGAGCCGAAAAAUUCAGUUCGUAUUCAUUUCGUUUAUUAACGAGCCGAACACGAACUCGUCAAUGAACAAUAAGUUAAAAAAAUUAAAAAUGAUAUAUAUAGCAGAACUAGGCUGGAAUAUUAUCAAUAGCACCAAACUAUUGAUGCUAUUAAUUUUUUAAUCCUUAAAUUGAGAAAUGUGUGGUUAGGAUGAUAUGGGCUCUCUAGGAUUGAGUGAGGGGGUUGGUUGAAUAGUAUAAUUUAACGGGUAAAAAUAAUUAAAGAGUUAAAACUAAUGGUGGAAAACUCGAUAGCACCAAAUUCUUGGUGCUAUCGAUAGUAUUUCAGCCGGACUCUAUAUAGCAAAUAAAUCUUUUAAAUCUUACUUAUUAGAUUUUGAUAUAAGUGCUGAAGCUUUACAUAUAAAUGAGUUUUUUAUAAUUGAGUUGAAUUUUAUAUUUAGUUUAUGCUAAAAAUCAAAUAAUAAAAAUUUACAUUAUAUAUAUAAUUAUUUAUUUAUAUGUAUAUAUAUAUAAUAUAUAAAUUAUAUAAAUAUAAAAAAUAUCUAUUUGAGCUGUUAUCGAGUCGAAUACGAGCGCGCUGACCCCAGCUUAUGUUCGGCUCGUUUAUUAAAUGAUCUAAAAAAUUCGGUUUGUGUUCGGCUCGUUUAGUAAACGAGUUGAAAAAUUUAGCUCAUGUUCGGCUCGUUUACUAAACGAGCGAUUCGAUCUCGAGCUCACUUCGAACCGAACACGAGCUGGCUUACGAACAGCAAGCUAGAUUGCCACCUCUAGUUUCAUGCUAUCCACUAAUUUUAGUUAAAAUUUAUUAUUUUGACAAAUAAUAUCAUUUGCCCAAUACUAAGGCUCUGUGUACAAUUGAGGAUACAAUAUACUAUGUAAUAAUUUCUCAAAAAAAAAUAUACUAUGUAAUGCGAGAAUUUAUUUAAAAAAAUUUGUGUGUUAAAUCCUGUGUGCAAGAAUUUUAAAAAAGAAUUCCGUGUGUUUAUAAUACAAAUAAUAGAAAUUUGUAAUACAAGCACACACACAUACACGAGCUAUAUCGAACCAAGUAUGAGAGCUGGUUCUAGCCCACGUUCGGCUAGUAAAAAAUUUGAGCUGAACAAUUUAGCCCGUGUGUUAAAUGAGCACUCGAGCUCGAGCACCUGUCGAGCCGAAUACGAGCCGGCUCCCGAGCAACGAGCUGGAUUGUCAACCCUAAUGGUAUCAGACAAAAUAAAGUUAGGAUGAAAGUAUAAAAAAAUUAUGUUUUUUCAUUCUUCGUUGUGAGUUGCAACUUGUGACUGCAAAAUAAUAUAGUGUAUGGACCCAUAUUUGUUUUGGGCCCACAAUUCUCCCCGGUCCAUUAUAAGCAAUUGGGCCAUUUGUGUGACAAACCAUGUGGGCCAAAUUGCAAAACCAAGGCCCAAACGCCACGCCCCACGUUUCAAGCGUCUCCGAAUCCACCCGUCCAUUCCCAUCCAAACGAUCGCCUUCAACGGCCGAGAUCGCCUCCGAGGUGCGCUAGUUUUCUUCUGGAGGGAGUUAUGCGCUCGUACAAUUUAACGAGCCUACACUUUCCCCCACAGGGCUUUUCCAAAGGCCAUAAAAAUUAAAAAAGCAAAAAAAAAAGAAAGAAGAAAAAACAGCAAAGAUAGAGAAAUAUAGAGAGAGAGAGAGAGAGAGAGCCCACACAGCAAAUCUUUGAGCAGAGCCCCUUCCUCCUCCUCUUUCCGUUUAAAGAUGUUAUUCGGUUUUUAAUUCGAAUAAUUUCCUCCUUAUUCCUCGUCCUAGUACUCCCACCGUUACGCCAUAUAUAUAAAUAAAAAAUAUAUAAUAUUUACAUAUAUCUUUUGCUUUGCUUAAUACAUAAGAGAGAAAUAUUAGAGACAACGCCAAAGAUAAAUCCCUUAUUCUCGCGCCGCCGCGGUUUCCCGUAUAAAUCCCCGGAAUAAGAAGCGAGGAUAACUCCGUAGAAUAGAGAGUCUUAUAUUCUUAUUAUUCCGACCAUCUCUUCCUUAUAUAGAUUUAUUGAUUAGAGAAGUUUUUUUUUUUUAAUUUUCUUUUUUUGUUUUUCUAAUUUCUAAAACGAUACCGCUCCUAACACGAAGCGGAUACGAGGUUUUAUUCUAGAGGUUUCCUUCGCUAGGGUUUUCUGAUUAGGGUUUCGCGUUUUCGCUCGCGUCGUCGUCUUCUCCUUCCUCGCUCUGCGCCUCCGUCGUGUUUGCUUGUUAUUGUGCGGGAUUCUCCUCUCCUGCGGAAUCGUUGAGGAAUUGGGGGAUUUUGAGGGGGGGUUCUUGGGCUUUUUACUCUUCUUGGUCCGCGUGGCCAACAAUGGAUGCGUAGAGAGGUUGAAUUGAUCGUCUGAUUGGUGGAGGAGAAUACCUAAUUGAUCUUUUUGGGGGAAUUUUGGUGCAUUAUAUAGGGUUCCUUGCGGGAGAGUAGGAAUUGGAGCUAUUGCAUUUGCGAGCCCCUCGGGGGCGGUUCGAUCCCUGCUUCGGGGAUCGCCUUGUGAUGAUUUUCGCGCGCUUCGUCCUUGGAUUGUUGCUUUUGUACAGGAAAUAGUAUUCGGGGUUGAUUAGGUUAUUAUAGAGGGAGAUUAGUUUCGAGGAGGAGCGAGGAACAGUAGUUGUACCUAGAUGGUGAUCUCUGUUCAUUAUGGAGAAAACUGAACUGGCAUUCAAGCCAGAGUGGCUAAAAUCGUCGAAUGCGAGUGCGGCUAACAAUGCCUCUGCAAACCAUCAUUCCACUAUUUCCUCACAUUCAGGUAUGAUUUCCGUUUCUCGCACUCGUAUGUUAAUUUUCCUCAGUGUUGCUAGUCUUAUACUUAUCUUGGUCGUAUAUAGUUUAAAGUAGAGCUUUUUAUUCUUGUAGAUGAACAUGCUGUAGCAAACUCCUCUAGGAACAGGUUGUCGGUAUUUGACCGGGAAAGAAAUUCGUCAUCCUCCUCUCGGAGGAGUUCAAGCUCGAACUUUUCUAGGAGUCUUGAUAAAGAUACAUCAGGAAAAUCACGUGCUUACAGUAGUUUUGGUAGGAGUAGUCGAGAAAGAGAACGGAAUAAAGAUAGAGAAAGUAGGCCAGUUUUGGUCGACAAUGGGUAUCAUGACCGUUCCAAUUCAUUCAUCACAAGUAGGUCUGAAAGGGAGAGAUCUUCAAGCUCUAUGGCAGCAGGGAGGCCAGUUGAUUCAUUGUAUAAUGGAUUAGGACAAAACUCGGCAAAUGGUGUACAAUCUGGGGGGAAUAUAACUGGGGCCCGCUCCUUCGAGAAGGAUUUUCCGUCCCUUGGAACUAAGGAGAAGAAUGGGUGUCCAGAUGUAGUGGGCAGGGUUCCUUCGCCUGGCAUUAGCGAUGCUAUUAGAAAGAUUUAUUCAGGUAAUGGAGCCCUAGCUGCGGCUGAGAACUGGAAUUCUGUGUUGGUGAACACACCGCAAGCUUCUCCGGACAGUCAGGCUCCUGCAAUCUUGAGCACUCCAACGGGAUUAAAUAUGGCUGAAACAGUGGCACAAGCUCCAUUACGAGAUCGAACUGCGCCCCAGGUAGUCUUUUGAUUGUAGUAUACUGCCUUCUUUCUUGUUUCUGAGUUACUUAUGCAGUCUCAUUUGCUUUUUGUUUGUUCAUGCCGUACUGUUGUUCUUUUCAGUUAACUAUUGAUACCCAGAGGAUUGAUGAACUGACGCUUAAACAAUGCAAGCAGUUAAUACCUGUAACACCUUCGACACCUAAAAGUUUGGUAGGUUCCUUAUCUUCUGUACAUUUGAGAUAAUUUCCUCCUAUGAUUCUUUUAUUAUCCUCUUUUGAUUGUUAUUAUGCAUCUGUUUCUUAAGUUUAAACAAUAUUUCCACAUUGUUUUUUUGUAGAGAAUUUCUAUUAGAUUAAUUGAUGACUUCAUAUAACUUCUUUUCGUGGACAUUUACAAAUCAUAAAUUUUGCAUAAAAUCUUCCGUGAAUGUCCACUAAAUUGUUGAGCUAAGAAUGUUAUGCGUGUUUGUUUUCUUGCUGAUAAAAUGAUUCUUAGAAGUUUUUGCCUUCUACUCAUUAAUUAGACUGAUAGCAUGAUGAAAGUUGACAUUUAGAUUGACCACAGUAAGAGAUCUUUAGGUAACCAGGCUGGAGCUUAUAUAGAACUUGACUAGACCCCAAAUAAGCACUGAUUACUUUUUUCAGCUAAGUUCUCCUUGUGCCUUUCUGCAGCAGUCGAAGGAGAAAAUUUGAGUUGGUAAUUGUUCUCUUGAGACUUAAAAGCUCAUUUCAGCUUCUUGCCAAAGCAUAAUGUUUAGAUUAUUAUUAUUAUUAUUCGGUUGCCAAUUGUCAACAGUUACUUUUUGGAGUAGAGAAGUUGCUAGAGAGGCUAAGCUAAAAAGACACUAAAUUAUUCAACAUGAUGGCAACUAAAACACUUUAUUGAUGAUAGCAAACUGUUAGGUUCAUUGAUUUAAAGGAUCAUUCACACAAAAAAAGGAAGUCUCAAACUCUAAUUUCUUAUCAUUAAACAAAAUUGGCAGUUGACUAUACAUUAUCUAUGGUCUGUAUGCAAGUUGCUUAUCUGUCCGUAUUGUGAAAAUGCUCCUAGUGCCUAUGCUUGGAGGCGGAUGAGUCGAAAAAAUAGUUAUAUAACAUGGAUAGGGAUUCUAGUUGCAAUUUAGAACAAUAGCCAUGAAACUUACACAAUUAGGUUUUGUAGUUGAUCAUCAAUUAGUCAUGCAUUAGCGAGGCAGAGCACGAGCAGUGGGAGUUACAUAAUUGGAUCUCUAUAGCAUCUUUGCAAUUUAUCGUGUGUUAAGAAGAAUUUAGACGAAAAACAGUGAUUGGUGCAUUGUGUAUAGAUUAUGCACAGAACUCAUAUUGAUGGUUCAAAGAUUGUUCCUGCCUCAACAGUGGCUCUUAACAUUUUUGUUUGCCAAGCAUUCUACUAUAUAUGGUCGCAGAUAUCAGAAGAAGCAGGGCCAAAUAAACAUUUACAAGGAUUUAAAGCUAUUGUAGUGGCCACAUGCGUACAGAGUAUUUUGGACUUGUGUUGUACAUACAAAACAAGAAAUGAACAAACAGUACAGGUACUUGUGUGUGUCAUUGUACGUACGUUGUGCCUUGUAGUGGGUAGAGCAUAAUGUACGGAACAUGCUGUGUGCUGAUCACAAUUAGCACAUGUUCUCCAGGCGGCGGUUUAAACCUUAGUAGAGGUUUAUAGGUACUGAUUUUUUUUUUGGCUAGGAGCAGUGAAAUGGCCGGAGCCCCACUAAAUGCUAAACAAUCUACCAAUGCUGCAAGUUCAGUUGGUGCAUGAUUUGUUGUAUCGAAAUCUCUCUAUUUGUCUGUUGUCUUUUCAGUAACUGAGUGAGGACGUCUUUACCUUUGUAUCCACCUAAUUAGCUUGGCGUAAAUAAGUACGACCAAGUCAUUUUUAGGGAGCUGACUGAAUCUGGUAUUUACGUUUAAAAGAUUGGACUCACGCCAUCAUCAUGUACUGGUUCCACCAUGGUAUAUGACUGAGUUAAGCAUUGGAUGUGGGUUGAGAUCCUCAUGAUAAUUAUUUUCUUUUUCGAUUGUCAUUUCGAGUGCAAUAAGCACUGGCCAAUCAUAAGCCUUGGUUUAAGUCAUAACCAUCAUCCUUAUCCAUGUUAUUUCUCGGUAUAGAGUGCAACCCAAAGAUAAGAAGGUUCAAAAAAGUGAUGGUUGACUGUUACAACCAUCUAACUGAUAUUAAUCCUCUAAGUAGGAGUCCAUUUUCUUGCCGUAGCAAAAUCAGACAAGGGAGGAGCUUGUCAAUGUAUUUGGCGAUGAGCAACUGGCAAACUUGGUUGCAGUUGAAACUCAUGCAACUCAACAUUUCUAAGUUCUUUAAACAUGGUAUAGAAAAGGAUAAGAUAAUAACAAUUUAUCUGGGGAUUUGUCUUCAUUUCAAGUGUAGGUUAGAUUAGCUGAAAAUCUAAAUGCAAAUAUAAAAGUUGAAUUGAAGAAUAGCCUACAGAAUGUUAGAAUCCCUACUUCGAAUUCCCUACUUUACAUUCAAUUUUCAUUGCGUGCGACUUAGGUGUUUCUUUUGUGACAUAGUUUCUGUGAACCCAUUGAAAACUUGAGUUGAAAGUUGGGAACUCAAUUAUUUUGUUUUAACAGCACUUGUUGUUAGGGAGUCUGCUUAUUGAAUUUUUGGUUCUGUAGGCUGCAGGCUGUGGAAGUUACCUGGUAACUUAUGUUUUUGAUCCACCGUUACCUUCUGGCAUCCUUUCUUAUUUUAGCUGAUAAAAAGAAAAUUUUUUAUAUAUAUUCUAAAAUAUGUUUAAGCUGGAUUAUGAAGUUUAAUAACUUAGUCCUGUGGAAGCAGAUACAGAUAAUUGAAUCUUUUUUUAAGUACCUGUAUUUUGGAUUUUACUUUUUUGUUCCAUGUUUCAACUAAAUCUUAACUUGAUCAUGUACUAUUAUUGGUAGAAAGCUCAUUAGUUGUUGAAUAGUUGUAAUUAGUGCAAACUGGGAAAAGUUUCUUCUUGAUUUGCUACUUCAUCAUGUUCUUAAUCUUUUUUUCUUUUUCUUUUUCUUUUUGUGAAGAGAAAAUGAUUUAUUUACUAUAAUCUUUCUAAUGAAGCUUCUUGAACAUGGCUCAGUUGUCAAGCUCUUCGGAAAAGUUGAAGAACAAAGGAGCAAGAGGUGGAGAGUCAAGUGGCGCUCCUAAAAUUGGGCGGCAGUUAUCACCUCCUCCUCUCAACCCUGCCCUCCUGCAUGUUAGGUCUGAUACUACAAAGCCGUCCCAAAUUGGGACUUUUCAAGUCCUCAACCGAGAUAAGAAUAAUGAUACCUCCCUUUCAACCAAAGAUGGGCCAACUGUUAGCAAAGUUGUGAAUGUCAGUAGUCUUUCUCCGUCCGCUUCCCAUCUCUCGCUGAAGAGUCCCACUAACCAAAAACCUAAGGUUGAAAGCAAGAAUGAGAAGAGAUUGCAUUCUCAAGCGAAGGAUAGGCAUGAAUUCUUCAAUUUCAUACGCAAUAAAUCACUGAAUAGUUCGAGUGCUACUCCGGAACAAGGCCCUGUUUCACCCUCAUCCAGUGUAGUGGAUUCGAGCGACCAGAGUGAAUUUGGUGUUACUAAUGAAAAGGAGGGCAUCUUGUCCGAUUCGGAGUUGAAGUGCUCAGAGAAUGGGAAUUGUGUUAAAGAAGAUAAAGAGGCUUGUGAGGAAUUCGAGAGUCCACUACCUGACAACGAAGAAGUUUCGGAACCUGUUGACCCAGAGGAAGAAGCCUUCCUGCGGUCACUUGGCUGGGAUGAGAAUGCAGUGGUGGAUGCCCUGACAAAGGAAGAGAUUGAUGCUUUUAAUAUGAUGGUAAUUAAUUUCUGUGUUAGGGCCUGUUUGUGUUAUAAAAUUAGAUCCAUCCAAAGAAGCAGAAAACAAUUUUUGUUAAUUUUCUUGACAAGUCCCAUUGCAGCAGAAGCAAAAGCAGAAGCAAAAGCUGAAGCUUCUGCUUUUAAGGUUUAAAAACUCAUUUCGACUUUGUGUCUAAAUAAAGCUUCAAACUCUUUGUCUGCAAAGAGCUUGGUUUCUAGAAGCUUCUGCUUUCUGAAGCACAGGAGCUUCUCCAGAAUUGAGGCUGAAACAGGCAUCUGGCUGAUUUACUGAGUAAACUAUUUCGCUGUACUACUACUAUGUUUGCAUGACUAUCAUUUUUCAUCCUUUGUACAGUACAAGGAGCGGAAGCAAUCCUCGAAGCUGCUCCAGAUGAAGAUUUGAUCAUCGAAGGAAGCGACGGCGGGAACUUUGGCAGGCAAUAUAAUUUGAUUUUGACGACACUGUUGAUUGAGCACAUCUGUUUCUGAACCUGGAGCAUGAGUUUUUGCUUUAUCUUCUCUGUUUUCAGGGCUUAGAAAUCAUUUAGUUUGACUAGGCAAGUGUUCUUCGGUCGAGAACAGAAGUGAUUUAACAUUCUUGCUAAGCUGAAAGAAAAGAAAAAGUUUGAGUUCUUUUUUUUUUUUCUUUUUUCUUUUCUCCCUCUCUCUCUCUCUCUCUCUCUCUCUCUCUCUCUUCUCCAGAGGAAUGUGAAAUUCAAAUUAGUUACAAGUUUUCCGGGCCAUAGGCCGUUGGUCUAAGAAAUUGUGUUCUCUGGGAAAUCUGGGUGUUUCUUUUCCUUUUUUCAUAACCAUCCGGGAUUAAUCCUCGAUUGAUCCUACCGACCCGCUUCGGUUCAUGACGACAGUUUUAAGAUAUAAAAAAGAUUGGAAGCCAAGUUGUACAAUUUUCGAUUGUGUCAGCAUGUAUGUGCCAACUGGAAAGUUGAAUUUGAUAACAACCUAUUAUGGUUUGGAUCACGUCCACUUCAGAGUGGGGAAUUGCAUUACAUUUACGUACAAUAUCUGCCUUUUGAAGUCCCUACACAAAUCAAAAAAAGAAAAGAAAAGAAAGAAUAUGCUAGACAUACACUCUCAUCUUAAAAUUCACGCACCCUUGAAUUUCUAAUAUUAAAAAAAAUGAUAAAAGAGUGAAAGAUUUAUACUCCAAAAUAAAAUGUAAAAAUAGUGUUGUUCAAAAAAAGAAAAAAAUCUUUACUUCAGAAGUUACGAAACGAAUCCUGCAUCUGCAAGAUACUUCAGAGAAUUCGCCUUAAAAAAAAAAAAAAAAAAAAAAAAAAAAAAAAAAAGGGUGUUCCCUUUCUUGGGCCGAUGGAUCUAUAAGGGCCCAAGGCCCAAAUUCCAAACUCUUUGAAGCGACGUGUUCUCUCUCUCGUAACACCCAACAUAGUGCGGCGUCUUCCGAAUUUCAUUUCGAAAAUAAGAAACCGCACCUAAAAUUCGGGGGCUCGUCGCUGAGCGGGAAAAUAAGAAACCAAAUCCAAUCCCCAGCAGAUCCCGCAUCCGGCCGAAUCGGAGCGAUGCGCGGCGUCGGCGGUCGGCGGCGCGUCCCGAGGGCUUCGGCUGCUCCCGCUCCGGCGGACGGCGGCCCGUCCCUCGACUUCGAGGUCGGCGGCGCCGUCGGGCGGCGCGACUCGGAUGCGAGCAGCCUCUGCAGCAGCCGGCCCUCCUUCUCAUCCGCGGCGGCCGCCAACCCUCCUCUGCUGUCGGACCGCUCGUCGCAGUCCGCCGCCCUCCGUGCCGUGAACUCGUACCUGUCCUCCCAGUCCGCCCCCUUCUCCCUCCGGCCGCCUCUCCCCUCCGCCCGCGACAUCUCCGACGNNNNNNNNNNNNNCCCGCCUCGACUUCCCCCUCCCCGACGCCCCCGGCAGCAGCAGGGCCCUCGACGACGACGUCCUCCUCCUCCUCCGCCUCCUCGGCUGCCCCUUCAAGCUCAGCCGCUCCGCCCUCAAGGCCCCCGGCACCCCCCACUCCUGGCCCCCUCUCCUCUCCGCCCUCCUCUGGCUCACCCAGCUCGCCCGCCUCUCCGACCACCUCUCCCAAACCCCCAACAACUAUGCUCCCUCCUCCUCCUCCUCCUCCUCCUCCUCCCCCAACAACUUCCUCCUCUUCGUCGCCCACAGCUACUCCCUCUUCCUCCUCGGCGACGACGACGCCGCCGCCGACCUCGACGACGAGUACAGGGCCAAGACCCGCGCCCACGUCGCCGCCGCCGCCGCCGCCGCCAACGCCCUCGAGCGCGAGGCCGCCGACCUCGACGCCAGGCUGCGCGCUCUCUCCGCCGGCCCCUCCCGCCGCCAGGCCGCCGAGGCCGAGCGCGCCCUGCUCGCCGAGGACGCCGAGAAGUUCCGCGCCGUCGUCGACAGCUGGGGCGGCAAGGUCGCCGCGCUGGAGGCCGCGCUGGCCGACUGGGAGAAGGAGCUUGAGGCCAAGGAGAGGGAGGGCGGGAGGAUCGCCGGGGAGAACGCCGAGCUCAGGCGGCGCGUCGACGCGCAGGCAGUGAACGUGCGCGACGUGGAGCGGAUGCGGCGGGAGCUGCAGGCCGUCGAGCAGGACGUCGCGGAGGCCGAGAGCAGGAGGAACGCGUUGGAGGAGAAGGCGUGGGAGCUCGAGGCGAGCUCGGCACGCAAGAUGGGCGAGCUCGAGGUUCUCGCCGAGGAGUGCAAUCAGGCGCUCAGAAAGUAAAAUGCUCUGCUUCGAUUCUUCUCUUCGUAAAAGUUCUUAUUUUUGUGCAUUAUGCAUAGCUUCGAUCGACACUACUUGCCUUGCGUAAAUUCGUUCUAUGCAAUGAUUAUUAGAAAAACAAGAAAUAAUUGGAAAACAAAAAUAGCUUUUAGUACCCUAAUUAGUAUCAACUUUGUUUUGCCUUCCAAAACUUUAGCGCUCAACUCUUUGUACAAUUUGACGACAAAGCUGUGUCAUUGAAAGAAGAAGAUUGGGGUUUUUAGUUUUCAUUCAGGUGAAUAAUUUCGACAAAGGAUUAAAUGGUAAGUCUUUGUGUGUCCAACAUGGUAGAGCAAGGAGAAAGAGAUGUCAUGUGAGUAUGUGACAGUAAGAUUUUGAAAUGAAAACUUCAGGAAUGAGCCAAAAGGAUUCAAGGAUAGUAGUAGAAUCAUAGUAGAAUAAAGGGAAAAAGAUAAACACUGGGCAGUUUGGUUCUAAAUGUAAUUUUGUAUAGGUAGACGAGGGAAAUUUAAUAGAUUCUGGGAUUCUCGAACUUAUAACGUGGCAAAUUUGCGUCUGCGAAUUACAAGGAAGAUUUUAUAGUAGGCAUCAUGGUUGUAUUGCUUGUUAUUGAGAAUUAGAAGUAAAGAGCCUUAAUCAAUUAGAGAAAUAGUUGUAUAAAGAUUAAAAUUAAAAUGGGAAUCAAGUUUGAUGGAGAAAACACAAAGCUGAACAACUGAGCGUAUUGACUAGAAAGAACUUAUGAUGUUUGUGGUUAAAAGCACGUGCAGUGUUUGCGGUUGCAUGGGUGCGAAAGCAUGCUGUUGUAAGCAAUACAUUUGUUUGGGUUCUGAACACAUGGGAACUGUCUUCUUUUCAAAUGUGCACUAGAGUACAUUUUUGGCCAAAUAUGUGUUUGGCCAGCACAAAUAGCCAAAGGUAGUGUUAUGUUCACUUAUUCAGAGCCAAAGGUAUCUCUGUAUAUCUACGAAGAUGAGGAUCUUUCUGGAAGUCAUUGCAAAAUUAUUGUGGCUGAUGACUUGUGACUGAAGAUUUCAGAACAUUGGAGCCUUCCAUCGGAGAAACUCACUUACAUAGCUUUGAUUAUGAUUUCAUGGGAUUUCGGCAUAGUAUAGCCAUAAAACCAUCGAGGUGUGGAUUAUAAGAUGUCUCAGUUAAAUUGCAAUGCGCUUGUUUGACAGUUAGCAAUGUGUGUGCUUAAUUUGUUGUGUAGGAAGUUUGACCUAUUGCCCAUAUAAUUUUUCAGGUUAAAACUUGGAGUCGAUUUUCAAUAUGUGCUGAACGCUAAAGGAUCAUCUCCAGCUGAAGUAAUAGGCAUUAACUACAAAACAGUCCUGAAACCUGCACUCUCUGCUCUUGCUGAAGAUACAAAGAAGUUAUCUGUUUCAAAGCUCGAAGAAUCUAUAGCUCGACAGCAACAGUCACGGGAGAAUACUAAAAUUUUAGAGGAGAAGAAGGUUCGACUUGCAGCUCUUCAAUCCAAAAUUGACGAGGUGGGUCACUUGUCUUUCAGUUCUAUAUCAGCUUGUACUCUCUGCUAUAUUUUUUAUUGCAGAAAAGUGGGAGCAUUGGUAAUCACAAAACUGCUGUUAUGGUUAUGGGUUUGAUUGAUAAGUCAAAAAUGUGCCGAGAGUGUCUUCCUCAAAAAUGUACUUACAUCCUACUGCUGCCUACAGAAUUAUUACAAAUAUAUAGGAAUACUCCAACUCAAUGAUAUAUGUCAGUCAAUGUUGAAUGCAUUUAGCUACCUUCAUAGAAAAGAUGGUUCUUUUGUAUCAUACAUGCUGGAAAUGGAUCAUGGAAAUUUUAGUUCUUAUAUUGUUAAAUAUAUUUUAAGUUGAAGUUAGUAUGAUUUGCAUCCCUUCCUUUACUUUUAGUUGUUUCCUCACUUUCUAAUUUGUUGGUUGCUAUUGCAUGGAAUUGUGACUACAUUAUUUAACUGAAUCUAUUGAUGUUUCACUAUAACUUCUCUUGUUUUCAAGUGUAGUUGGUUGUAGUAACUAGUAAUCUGGUGGUCAGUUGUAGAUUGCUUUUGAGUUUUGACCCAUUAAAUGGUGUUUUCAUCUUUCUGGUAUUAUUGUCCUGCUGUGUUAGGUUUCCUUCUUUUAAAGAUUGUUCCCUUUCCUGGACAGAGUUUGGGGUCUGUUUGAUGCUCUUAAUGGUAUUUAUGAAUAUUUUUAUCAUUUGCAUCCUGGAAACGAAUGGCUAUAAGUUGAAAAAUCAAAUUGUUUUGAUUGUGAAGAAUAGAGUUAACUAAAAUAUUCCUGCGAAGUAUUUGUAAAUUCCAUUAUUCCAUGAUAAAUUGGAUGAAGGUAGUGUUGACCAUAGUUAGUUAAUUUGGAUUCGGCAAAAAUUCGGUACUGAUAUAAUACGCAUAAAAUUCGUUUUCUAAUUUUUAAAUUCGUUGAAAAAUUCGGCUUAAAAAAUGGAUUCGGUAUAAAAUAUAAAAUAUAAGAUAUAAAAUAUAAAAUAAUUUAUAUUUAAAAAUAAAAUUAUAAGUUUUUUAUUCAUAUUUUCAAUAAUUCGCGAAUUAUUCGCGAAUUAUUCGCGAAUAAUUUUCUUUCUUUCGAAAAAAUUCGUAAACGGACCGUUUAAUUCGGAUUUUCAAUAAUUCGUGAAUAAUUCGCGAAUAAUUCGCGAAUUUACUAACUAGGGUGUUGACAACAAAGAUUAAUAUAUAUAUAUUUUUUGUUAGCUUAUUCCUAAACACUGUAUUUAUCCAUUUAUGUAGUGUCUUUUUUUUUUUGAAUGGUGUAUCACAUAGUUUUUUUGGAGAAAAAAAAUUGUUUGGAGAAAAAGAAAUCAUCUUCUUCAGAUGACAGAUUUACGUAUUACAUAGUUUUAGGUUGCAUGAGUAUCUAACUGCAAGCAGUUUUUGAGAUUGGACCAAAGUUAAAUUGAAGGUUAGGUUCAGUCAUUUAAUGGUUAUUUUUAGUGAGGAUCAGAAGACGUUAGUCAUCACAUUUAUAUGUGAUCAAUUGAUGGUUUUAAGCUUUAGACAGGACAUUUAGGUAGAUCACUAAACUUUUGCCUGCAAGUGGAGGAGCUCUUCUGCAUACUAAGGAGCACAUAUGACAAGCUAAUGAACAGCUCCAUUUAUAGGCGAAAAGGACAUAUAUGUAUUGACAAAUCGCAUGGUCUUACAAUAAAUUCUGCAAAUUUCACACUAGAACAUGCUUCCAGAAUGUGCAGGCUGUAAAUAUUUUGUUUGGAUACAAGGAUGGUAGUCAUAUUGUUUUUCUGUAAUUUUGAAGUCAUGGUGAUGGUGUGCUACUGCUCUUUAUAUAUAUAUAUAUAUAUAUAGAACAUAUUGCUUUGUUGCUGUAGCGUUUUUUCUUUUCUUUUUCUCUUUUGUUCUAUAUGACAGUUAACAGAACUUGCAUUUGGAAACUGAUCAUUUUUAUCUUCUUAUGAUGGAAUUGAAUAACUCAUGGUUAUCUUCAUCUGCUAUUGUUUAUCUGGCCUAUUUUUGCAUGCUUUCAUAUAAGAUUUAAUAGGUUAUAUCGUCAUUCAUGAGUUGGAAUAUCAGUAUACAUCUGGUCCAUAAGCAGCUAUAUGUUUCGUAACAUAUAAUGUUUGCUUUCAGAUAAGAAUUAAUAGGUUGUCUCUCCAUUCAUGACUUGGAAUAAAGCAUUGUACAUGUAACAUAUACUGUUUGCUUUCCUACAUGGUUGUUCCCUUUGUUUUUUAUUAUUGACUUUAUUGGUUCUUUGUAAAUUUGUUUCAGGGCAUUUGCGCUCCUGAGACAAAAGCUAUGUUUUACGUAGCAAACACCAUACAUGAGUUCUCUUUGUCCGUAUAUGCAUUUGCCCCCAAUCUAUAAUACUUAAUGACUCAUUUCUUACCAGAUUGAAUCUCAUCUGAGUUCACGAAAGAAUGAAAUGGAGGAUCAUGCAUCCAGAUGUGCAGCCGAAGCUGAAAGAAUGAAAGAGGAGAUAUCAAAAAAGGAAAAUCAGCUGAACAUUGUCGAGAAAGAAGCAGAAGUAUUUUUGAAGGUACUUUUCCUUAUUCCUUUGGUUCCUAAUCAUUUACCGGCAAUAACAUUGCAGGUAAGUUUUAGGCAUGACACAAUAGAAAACUAACAAAUGCAACAAUACAGAGCUCUGAACAAAAGCUACAAGAUGCUGUAAGGGAAAGCGACGAAGAGACGCAGCUGUGUGCUCGUGAGCUACUAGCAUUGAUCGAUGCUGUGUCAGAGUAUAAAGAAUUCAUGGAGUCUACACUUUCUGGAAUAAAGUCGGAUUUAUCUGAAGUCGCCAAUGAUGUUGCUUCUUUGUCAUCUAAAUUGGUUUCGUGUGGAUCUAACUUGGGCUCUUCUGGACUAAAAUCAGUGUGCUAGCCUUUUUCCAAAUCGAAAGUCUUAUUUCCUUGCCCUGCAAACUUAGGUAACCUGUCUACUGUUGUGUGAAGCGCCUUGUAUCAGUUUGUCUCUCGUACAAAGCUAUGAAAUUUAAAAUAUUACUCGUCUCUUAGCCAAUUAGUUAUGGCAUCACCUGAGGAGACGUAAUAUUAACCGUGAAAGUUCAUUGAACUUUGUUAAGUUUAUUAUGAAAACAAAGAUUAUAUUCAAUGUAUCUGCCUGUUAAUAGUAACUAUAUUAUAUUACUAUCAAUGCCCUUGCAUAUUAGCGGUGGGGUAGUGAAUUACAGAACCGUCAUCCUUAGUUGCUUUCUGUUUUUGGCAAUGCCCUUUUAAGUUAUUUACCUCUCAUUUUCGGAGAUGUGGUGAAAUGUAGUAACCUCAUUGCAUUUUUCCAUGUUGUUCUAAUAAUGUUUGUACAGAUUGAGUUACUGAAGUGAGUUAAAAAAUUGGUUAACCAAAAUAAUUGCGUGUUUCGUUCGCACUAUCUUUUCAAGAUUCUUAGUAAUCUAAUAGAAAUAAAAAAAAUAUGACGGUAUUUAGUUUAACGGACAAAGUAAUAUAAUUGGUAAUACUAGAUUUACUUGGGAAUGAGAUGCAUCCUAAAGUAUUAAUCUCAUUCCUUUGAGGGAGGUUGUUUAUCCUUAUAUUAAUAGAUUGGAUUAAUUAUAAUAUGUUUAAUAUUUUUCUUUCUCUCUACCCUCCGGAUAGUUAGUAUUAUUUUCUUUACACUCUAAUCUCGUAUUUUUUUCUAAAUUUUAACUCUUUUUCUCUUUCUAAAUUAAGCUAUUUGUCCCCCUCUUUUUCUAAAAUUUUAAUCCUCUCAUUCUCUCUAACCUCGACUCUGUUUCUCUUUCUAUUUCUUUAAUUAUGCUCUUUCUUUCUAACCUAUAUUCUCUCUCUUUUUUUUUCUAAAAAAAUGUUAAAAUUUUUUAUAAUAUUAUUUAAAAUUAAUUAAAUAAAUAAAUUAAUUAACUGUAUAUUUUUUGUAAUUUUUAAUAACAUGAUUAAAUAAUAUAACCGUACGAACCAAACACCGAAAUAUUAUAUUCUUAGUAAUAGGAUGAACAAGAAUAAAAUUCUCGGAUAUCUUUUUACUCCUAGUAAUUUUUUAUAGUGCGAACCAAACGAGCCCUUAAUGUUAUUUACAUUAAACGUGUUUUACUAAAACAAUAUAUAUACAAAAAUGUAGAAAAUAAAGUGCUGAUUAAAAGUAUAUGAAACAAUUGAAAUAUUUUGGUAUAGUACAGGGACUAUUCUAUAUUAAAGCUGUCAAGUCAAGGCAUAUUGAUCAGCUUAUUAAAUAGGGUAAACUUCACAUACGACUAUUGUGAUUUUGUAUUUUUUCAUUUUAAUAUCCUAUAAUUUAAAGUGUAUCACUUUACUAUUCUUUGGUUUCGUUUUUUUUAUUUUCUUUAACACAUUUGUUAACUUUUCGUUAAAUUAUGUAUAAAAAAAUUUAGAUACCCUACUUAUGAUUUAUUAAAUAUUCACUUUAGUACCUUAUGUUUUACUGAACUUUUUACUUUAGUAUUAUAUGGUUUAUAUUUUAUAAUUGAUAUAACGAAAAAAUUAACGAAGGUGAUAAUAAAAAAGAGAAUAAUGAAAACAAAAGAUACUAAAAUGAUACAUUUUAAAAUAUAGGGUACUAAAGUGGAAAGUGAUUUGAAGUUUUCUCUAUUAAAUAUGUGCAUAAAUC
rnacentral:lncRNA from 1 species